rnacentral:lncRNA from 1 species
UAAAUUAGUUAUCUUUUCAUAAGAUAUGUUAUGGCACUGUAGUUCGUAACACAUGUUUCUGUAAACGAGAGAGUGAAAGCAAACAUGUAAGAGAAACAUCUUUACAACGAAGGCCUACGUAUUAGGCCAGGGCAAAAAAAAAAAAAAAAAAAAACAUAAUGCCUUGUUCAAGAUAGGAAAAAUCAAUUACAUUCCUAACAGUAAUGUUCCAGCAUAUACAAACAUCGUCAACAUCGUCCUUGACGUGUUUAGCUCCACCUAACUUAUCAGUUUGCUUGUCAAAUUUGAUACCCUAGUGUGUAGACAACAAUAUACUCUAAAAAGAAAAGGAGAAACAAUACAGAAAGUUUACAGUUGUAUUUUGAUGCCGAAUUGGGGACGUCCAAUAGUACAGGGGUUAACUUCUAUUGGUAAAAUACGGUGUAAUUCAGCGACAAGCUUCAUGAGUACACCAUGAUCUGAUCCUGAAGAAUAACAGAUGAGGCAACAUAAGUUUUCUACCUAACCCAAGGACAGAGCCAUUAUAAUGCAAACUUAGAUGAAGUUAUAUUAUCUUCUAAGUUUCUGCACGUUCUUUAUUCUAUAAAAAGGCAGAAGGCAGUACGAGUAAAGCAUUUUCUCUGGAUGCCACCAUCAGUGGUCCUCCACGACAUGAAUACUUAAACCAACCGACUUUGAAAUGAAGAAAAUUGUGGAGAGCUGAAGCAUUAAAAAGAAUCUAAAAUGAUCUUUAAAAAGAGAAACAAACCAGCUAGGCUGAGCAGUACAUCCCAGAAGUGGACAACGGAAGCUAGUCCCUAGCAUUCUAAAGCAUAGGUUGGGACCUACAAUAACAAGAUCAGUAACACUGUAAACAAAGCAUUAAGUACAAAACUAAAUCAUCACAAUCCAAAUCAACACACUGUCCCCUAGGAAAAACUCUUUAAUUGAAGAUGUAAAAAGGAAUUACUUUAAUUGAUGUGUCAAGCAAAUUUUGCUAAGAAUGAUAAACUGGGGCCUUUUUGUACCUCUAGCAUGUUUUCAUCAAGAAAACUGGAAGUUGUAUGACUCACGGCAUGAGAACUAUCAUAUUGGAGGAUCCUUAACUUCCCUUCCUACAUCACAUAAUAGGAACCCUCAUAAGUUCAGGAAACUAGCCGAGCAACCACAAAACAACAAGAGGAAAAUACCAAAUUCAAUUGCUUACUUUAGUUCCAUAAACAAGGCCACCUCCAACAGAAGGAUGAAAACAAGCUACGUUGACCUCAUCUUCUGCACUAGGGAGAAUUCUCACAAGUUCCAUAUCAGAAACUCUAUAUACCUGAAUAACAAAUGUAGGUCACUAAACUUAUCCCGAAAUGCACCUAGUACUUACUUAUACAGCUGUCCAACCAUAGUAUAGGAUAAAGAGGAACAACUAUACCACAUUAUCAGUAUCUAACUAUACCGUAUAAAGCUGUCCAAAUCACUUCUACUCUAAUGUAAUUUAUCCCAUUUUAUAAUUAAUCUUCUUAGGGUUACAUACAGAGUGAUUCUAUUCAUCACCCUAAUUUAGUACUUCGACCUCUAAUCAUCAUGUUUUGCCAUAACCUUCCUAUUUUACCCCAUAACCCUCCAUUAAAACCUUUUUAUCUCUUUCCUUUUUUUAUUUCAUAACCAGACCGUUUCCCAUCUCCACAGUAGAAACUGCUGGCUCACCUACAUGUUCUUCCAGUUCUAAUCUCUUGUAUUAUAUAUAUACAUAUAUAUAUAUAUGGAGCCGUUCCAAAGAGGACGUCUGCACAGCCCUUAAAGUGCGGACGUCCACCUCUGAUCCGGACCGUGUAUAUAUAUAUAUAUAGGAUUUUUCUCAGUUGCGGACGUCCGCACCAAUUUUUUGGUGCGGAUUUCCAUUUUUGAACCACUUUCCGAUCGAAUUUCCUCAUCUCCACCAUCUAGUAUCUAGAUAAUAUUGUGUAGAUCAUCUCUGCAAAUUUUCAGCCAAUUUGGUGAUCAUUCAGGCCCUCAAACUCGAAAAACAAAUGGACAGACUGAAUUCUGUCCGGUUGUGUUCAUACCAGAAAAACUCGAGUUUGAGGGCCUUAACGAUCACCAAAUUGGCUGAAAUUUUGCAGAGAUGAUCUACACAGUAUUAUCUAGAUACUAGACGGUGGAGAUGAGGAAAUUCGAUCAGAAAGUGGUAAAAAAUGGAAAUCCGCACCAAAACCGUUGGUGAGGACGUCCGCAGCCGAGAAGGGCUGUAUGUAUAUAUUUAUUUAUUUUUAGCAUAAAGCCAUAAACCUACCCCCGAGAAAGUUAAACAAUCAAGGAAAAGAGUAAAAGAGAGUAGAACAUUACAUAUCAUAUUGACAUAUCCAGCCGAUAAAAGUUAAUAAAAGUACAACAUCUUACCUCCAGAAUGGUGUAAAUAGGCACUGUUGUCUCUCCAUCAAUGACAACACUCUUAAGAAGUGAACUGUGACGUCGGCCAUAGGCAAGUAAUAUGUGUUCUGACGUAGGAGAGAACUGCCAUGGUAAAUUCGAUAUAAGUAUAACUAACUCCAAUAUGGGAUUUGAUUUAAGUACAACAGUUUGUUUGAUUAACAAAAAAAUUAUAGUUAGAGUUCUUGAAUCUUUGAAUAUACAAUGGGACUAUUCUUAAGAGUUCCAUCAUAUGUUCAGCCCAACAUAUAGGCUCUAUAGACAUGAGGUAUUACGUGGGAAAAUGGGAAAUUGAUGGCAGGUCAAUCCAAAGCCUAGAGAAUAUGAAAUGACACUAUUCUCCAGACUAGAAAUAUUAAUUGAGGGUUCAUGACUCAUCAUUCACAACCAAAAUGAUGUGUGUCACGACUUACAGCAAAAGUUAUACAGAGAAGAAAUGAGCUCGUGCCAGUUAUUAAUGUGUACCGCAUUAGAUCAAUAACUUGGUGUCAGGAGUCUAUAUAAGAAAUUUUAAGAUCCCCUAUAAUGGCAUUAUUGUUUUCUUCAAAAGAAGGUAGUAAUAAUUUAUAAAUAGAAGUUUACGUAUACUACGUGCAUGAUAGUUAAGAGGACAGAGGGAGGGGGGAACCAAAACACCAUAUUCAAAUGUAGCGGACCUGAAUAGAUGUCAAGCAGUGGGCAGCUCGUAUAGCACGGGAUGCAAGAACCAUGCCAAACCUAGAUAAUUUAAAAUAACAUCAGACAGUAUAAAGAAAGAAUUCACUGAACCAACAAGUUAAGUAAGUAAGAAAACAUUGUUAAAGGGAGCUUAUGCAUUACGUUGCCUCUUCGAGGGAAUAAAUCCGAAGCUCAUACACGACAUGGUGAGCUGAGAUUGGGUGCCGAGUUGGGGAAGUUGCUGCCCCUGUGAUAUCAUGGUUGGCCUGGCCCUGUAAUCCAGGAUCACCUUCCAAAUGAGGCAACAUACAUGCAACACAGGCUGCUAAAAACCUUCCACAAGGUGAAAAAUGGGCUCCCAUUUCACUGCAACAAAUUCUCGAGUAAAAAUCCAGAAAAUAUAAAGCCAGUAAUAAUAUUGAAUUCUAAACUGUCAUGUAAUGCUACAGAAAGUAGACAUAUCCUUUAAUUUUUUUUAAUACCCAGAAAUCCCCCAAAAUCAACUGCAGACCUGGGUAGAAACUAAUCCUACAGUCUAUUGACAGGAAACUCCAGCACAUAUCAAGGCAGAAACCUAGAGGGCAAUCAGAUCCAGCAUAUAUAUAUAUAUAUACAGCCCUUCUUGGCUGCGGACGUCCGCACCGAAGGUUUCGGUGCGGAUUUUCAUUUUUGCACCACUUUCCUAUCGAAUUUCCUCAUCUCCACCGUCUAGUAUCUAGAUAAUAUUGUGUAGAUCAUCUCUGCAAAAUUUCAGCCAAUNNNNNNNNNNNNNNNNNNNNUCCCCGACCACUUUCCAUCCCCGGCGAGUCCGCCAAAUUCCAGUUUUCCGACCAAAUCACCCAAAACUUCAACAAAGUCAAUCUGGCCGGAAAACUAAAAUUCGGCGGACCCGCCGGGGAUGGAAAGUGGUCGGGGAAGCUGCUGGAGUCGGCUGGGGUGGAGGCGCGCCCUCGCCGGCGCCGUACGGUGGCGAACGGACGAAAAUCCGCACCGUAAAACAGUGCGGACGUCCGCACCUGAGAAAAGUUCUAUAUAUAUAUAUAUAUAUAUAUUCGUGUAGAGAUACAAAAUUAGCACAACAAGCAACCAACUCACAACUGAUGAUCCUUCAUGAAAUAUUAUUGACCGAGGAACUGAGAAUAAAGGCAGUGUCGAGGUCCAUAACAGGAAAUUACCUACAAAGUACGGCAUGCGGAAUAGUCAAUCUUUCAGCAUCAAGGGGAGCACACGGAUCUUUCACAUCAUGUGGCCAAACUCUGAGCUUCACAGUACAAGGCAACUCUGCCGCCGCUGCUGCAGCUAGGGAGUUGGCAAGCUCCGAUUGAAUUCUGCUGACAACAGGUUGAGGCUCACUUUCACCGUUAGCAAUAUUAUUGAAUCCAGCACCCUCAUUAGAGCCAGUUGUUGGCAUCAUAUGAGAACGUGAAGUACGGUGCCGGGAACUAGAUCUUCCAGUAACUCUAGGUUGGUUUACAGUGGUCGGUAUUACUGAGGAAGUAAUAGGAGCUGCGCUGUCCAUCUCACCAUUUGUAGAUGGAUUGUCAUGGGGAGAAUCACUUACCAGCCGCAUAUUCCGUUGGCUAGCUUGGGUCUGACCGAUUAGCCACCCUUGCAAGAAAGGAAGUUCCCAAUAUGUUGAGUCACCAAAAGGGAAUAUAUUAUUACUUCUUCCUUCUGGUUGCACUUCCAUAGGCUCUAAAGUACCCAUUGAAGAUUGAGAAACUUCAGUUUCCAUUUCACUCAAGAUCGGACUAUUUCCCGUGUCUUCUGGCACUGGAGAAGAGCUAUUUGGUUCGAUAGGGGACAAUAGAAGUUCAUACUGCCCUGAUGGAGUUGAAUAUGUUAAAAGCCGCACCGAAGCAGAAGGAUCAACUCUCUGUUGCGCACUACUUGAACCAAUAUCUACAUCACCACGCUGCAUAGAUAUUCUCCCACUAUCUCUAGCAAAUGAAGGCCAUAUCAGGAACGGUAAAGACAUAAGAGGUAGUCCAUCUGCCAAACUAGAACGAUCACUAGAAUGAGCAUCUGCCAAAUACACAGUAGGUGGGGGAUAGCGCAAGUAUCCCGGAGAACUUGCAAGUGUCAUCGAGGAAUCUGAUGAGUCAAGGUCAUUGACCUAUAAAACAGCAAAAUGCUAUAAUUAAAAGACAAUUAAUCAACAACGCAUGAUAAUGUGACUCCACAGAUAUUCACCUCAGCAGUUAAAAGGAAAGGAGCAGCAUGAGGAUGAAAAUGCACAGCCCGAAGCGAACGUCGUGUCUUCAGUACUAUGGUUGGUAAGUCUCCUCUUCUAUUGUAGUGCCAUAUGUAUAGCUAACACAAGAUUUAAAGGAGUAAGAUGUUGAUAAAGAAUGCAAAAUGACUAUGUAAAGUCCCAAAUACACUCUAGUACCUUGUGACCUGAUGCAACAGCAAGAAGCUCGCCUUGGGCAUGGAAAGCUAUGGAAGCAAUGGGGCGUACUGUUUGCAGGAAAAGAACACUAUAAAUCACAUACUGGACACAAAUUUCAUCUUCUAAGAAUUAAUAGUUUGCAAACAUAUGUAUCAUAAUCCACGAUAAUUACAGAAAUCACGCGAUCCUAUACACUCUGCCGUGUUUGAAUCCCACAACCUCACUUCAUGAUCCAAACUUCCACUAGCCAGUAUGUCUGGAAGCGAAGGAUGAAACCUGACCUGCAAAAGCACAACCGCCUACUGAGAUGAAUACAAUAGCUAGGUGCCAGUGUCAGAUCUGCCAACCACUAAGUUGGUUAUUUAAGUCUAAACACUCAAAACUGAUUCCAACAAUAGCAUAUUGAGAUAACCCCGCUCGGAGAUAUUUGAUUUUCUAGAGCCUCACAGUAGAGAACUACAGCAUGCCUCUUAGAUAGUUGUGACCUCGUGAGGUCUUGUUAGAUCCAAAUUAUGGGUCAGAGAUCAAGAAGAACAUGGCUAGGUGCAAGUAAGUAGGUAAAACUAUAGGGGAAAUCUGGAUUUUUAGGUUGAAGCAGGUAACACUUUUCUGCUCUAUUAAGUCAAGCUGUAACCUUUUUUUUGGGUCAACAAGCUGUAACCUGGAGAAAGUAUUUAUGGGAAGGUGAAAUCAAUAAGAACAGGGUAGCCUGAGGAUAAGUUAGCCAAACCUUGUCCCAUUCGUCAUCCUGAACUAAGCCCUAUUCUAGAACUAUCCAUAUGCAGAAAUUGGAGAUUUGGAUGCAUGAGUUACAAUGUACAUGACAGCAAUGAUGAAGUACCCUUCUUCAUCCUCUACAGUGAUUACGUAAGUCAUCUACUUAAUUGAUAUGGCUUUGUGCCUAUCUGCUUAGAAGCACUAUAAUAAUAUAAAUUAAAAAGCAAUAGAAAUCUCAACAGAUGCACCUAAUUACACUAACUUCACACUUGAUUUCUGCUCUAAUUAUUAGUUAUGCCUGGCUUAAAUUGUUCAGGACCUUGUUAUUACCAACAAAGCAAAAUUUCAAAUACACAUCCCGCUAUGUUUAGCGAGGUAGAAACUAGCACUUGCUCCAACAAACCUUAUUUAGCAGGUUACAAAACCAUAAGAUCCAGAAUGUAGAAAGUGCUUUACUAUGUUUUAACAAGAAAAAAAAAAAAAAAAAACUACAAGUAAGAGUUAGCAAUUACUUAAUCUCCAGCUAAUCAAAACAAUAGUUCACACAUCUUGCAGGACCUAACACCCAAUCAAAGUGUGAAGAGUUUUAGCUUACCACCCAAGGUGUUCUGCGGUGACCAGUCAGCACCUUUAAGCAGCUUCCAGUUCGGCAAUCAAUGAUUUUUACAGUAUGAUCUCCGCUGCAGUUACAACAGCAUACACAAAUUAGAAUAAAUUGACUCAAAACAAAGCAUUGUCCAAAACACCAAGAGAUAUAUAUACAUGCAAACUGCAAAGCAGAACUUACUGAGUCGAAGCGAGUGUCUUUCCAUCAGGGCUAAAGGCUGCUGCAAUAGUUGACCGCGGAGGAGGCACAAGCGGACAAUACUUUGCAGAUAAAUGCUGGAGUGACUCUGCCUCCACCCUGAAUCACCCCAAUUUCAACAUAAACCGACAACACAAAUAUCAAACAAACGCAAAACAACCAAACAGCAAAGAGAAUCUACAAGAACGAGGCAUUACCAUGACACAAGCCCAUUUCUAGCAUCUCUAGCCGCUUCACACCUUGCGCCAACGGAAUCAGACCGACUCUUAGAAGCUUUCCCCCAUAGCUUCCUCGCCGAAUGCUUUGUUUGAGGAGACACCUCUCUCCGAGCUAACAAGCUAAACACAUUGCUAACACUGCCAGUAUACAUCAAAGCCAAAUCAGCUUUAAAACCAUCACUACCUAAUUAAUCUUCACAAUUUCGCCUUACUAACUAAUUUAGAUCAGAGCCUAAAUAAACUGAAAUAACUGAUUUAGAUUGGAGCUCAUUUAAUUACUGAAAUUUAAGCUCAGCUAGAUAACAUAUGCAGAACUAGGACCACAGCACCAAUUCAGCAAUUGAAUUAUACAAAAAACCCCGACGAAAAUCGAGAGCAGAAGAGGAAUUGUGAACCUGUGCUUGGAGGGAUUGGGCUGGGGAAUGCGGGGGACGGAGGUAGAAGGAGAAUUGGGCUCGUCGGCCCACAACGAACCUGCCCUCAUGAUUUUCCGGGCAAAAUGUCAUAAUAUCAGCUUCUCCGGCAUCCUACGGUUCAGAAUUGAGAUGACCGCGAUGAACAACUUCGCAUGCAAGAAUCAAAACCUGAGAUCGAACAGGGGGAGGGCGGUGAUUCGGUGCGGGCGGGUAUCGGAGAAUCGGAGAUCUCGUUUGACGGGAAAUGGAAAGUGUGGUGUGGCCGUGGGAAUUUGGAAUUGGGAAGAGAAGGUCAGGCCGAGGUUGGGGAGAUUCUCUUGCUUUCCUUGGGUUUCUGUGAUGGGCGUUUGCAGGGAGGGGGACCUAGGGACCUAGGGGCCCUUAUGGAGGGGAGAUUUGACUGUAAUGCCCUUGAGGCGUAGGUGGGGGAGAGGGGCUUUGUGUGGGUUUGUAGUUGUCCAACCACGAACGACUAUGAAGAGGGAAAAUGCUAUUUCUUCUCUAUGAUGAUGAGGAAAGUGGCUGGAUAAACCUUCUUUUUACUUGAAAUUCUACUCGAAAGAAACCGGAUUAUUAUACAUCUUUUUUUCUGAAAAAUAUCCACGAUACCCAAGCUAGAAAAUUACAUAUUCUCUCUUUACCCGUUACAUGUUAAUAAAAAAUUUAUGAUACAAGAUUACAGUGAUACAUAGAAUAUGUCUAAUCAUUUAACAAUUAAAUUGCUUUACUUAUUGAGAGCCUACAAACUUAGCAUGAAAACUAAAGUUAUAGGCAAAGUUUACAAUAACAAAACUUAAAUCUUCUCAUUGCCUUUUUUUUUUUUUUAUGGAUAGAAGAUUAGGCGAUAUGUGAGGGUUAAGCAUCCUCCCACAUUCUCAUCUACAUUUUUGCAUGGUAUAUGCCUUUGAGCUCAUCUAUAGUAACCAAUUUGGGGCGUCAAGCGUCCUUCCACAUUUUUGAAGGAAAGGGGGUUACUACAGAGCCCACCGCCCGUCCGUUUAAAUAUUAUUUUAUUAAAAUAAGAAAAUAAUACAAUAGGGGCAUAACCUGACCCAUAUUGAACAAAAAUAAACUUUUCAAAAAAUAUAUAUAAUACAAAGAAAACACAUAGCGGGAAUAACAUAGUACAAAUUGGAACCACAACGAGGGCCCAAAGGGAAACUAAUACUAUGUAAACCUGUAAGCUGAGAGACCUGAAAAAUCAUGACCAAAAAAUUGUAACGGAAACUGUAGUAAAGAGUCCUACCAGAUAGAAUUCACCAUGUUUGCGCCAUAGUUAGCUAACUUAUCAACAACUAAGUUACCUUCUCUAAUGUGUGAAAAGUAGACGUUCAUUUGACUCGCAAGAUGCAUGUACUUUAUGUAGUUUGUACGCAAGCACCAAGGUCAAAGGCAUCCUGAAAUACUUUAGUAAAAUCACGGAUUUCACCUCCAACCAUAAGUUAUGCCAUUAUUUUUCUCAUGCAAUGCACACCGCCUCAAUGACUGCUAACAUCUCUGCAUCUAAAUCAUUAGACACAUGAAUAUUAGCUACAAAUACACCCAUAAAUGACGCCUCACAAUUCCUAAAGAUACCACCAUAACCUGAAUGGUUAUAAUUAUGAAAAGAACCAUCCAUGUUCAUUUUCACCCAAUGAAGAGGGGGAUGAUGCCAUAACACCCACAUAACCUUAGGGGCAGUAAACCGCAAUAAUGAGAGGCCCAAAAGGUUAAAUUUGUCAAUAAUUGGGGAUGAGAAGUAUCAAAGAAAACAAACGAACCAGAUUUUUUAAGAAGCAAAAUAAGCUUUUGUUUAAAUAUAAGCUCAUUGAAAUCACCCCCUUUGUGUUUUAAUCUAUCUAUUACGCUCCAUCCACAAACUCCAUAAUAAAUUGCAAACCAAAAUGUACCAGAGAAAUCUGGAAGAAGCAAAAAGAUUAAAUGUAAAGCUAUCACCAAAAAGGUCAAUCAACAACAUACCUAGGUCAAAAUGAAGCUUGUAAAGAGAAGCAACCCAAUACCAAAGGGAUAAAGAAGCUUCACAAGUAAUAAAAAUGUGAGUAGUAUUCUCGACAUUGGCUUAGCAUAGAUGGCAUCUGGCGCAUAAAAUGGAACCACAACGUUGGAGGAACUCAUCAGUGUGGAAUCUGUUCAACAAGACUUUCUAGGUAACUAAACUUUUCCAAGGUUGAAUUGCUUCAUGCCAUAUUCUACAUCCCCAAGCUACCACUAGCAACUGGAGCAUAAAAUGGAACCACAGAGUUGGAAGAACUCAUCAGUGGGGAAUCUGUUCAACAAGACUUUCCAAUUAACUAAACUUUUCCAAGGUUGAAUUGCUUCAUGCCAUAUUCUACAUCCCCAAGCGACCACUGGCAACUGCCCUACCAAGAAAUUGUAGACAAACUUAGUAGUUAAGACUCCGAAUUUUUCCAAAGUCCAUACUGGCUGAAUGGUUAAGAUUUUUCAAGAGUGAUUGUGAGAUAAAUUAAGAUUGAUGACAAUAUAUUGAAGACUACGUUUAGAUAAGCAUUGGAGUAAUUUUCUCUCAAUAUAUUGAAUGUGUAUAAUGAUUUACAUUGUUGUGUUUAUAUAGAGGAUUCAAAUGUUGAAUCCUACCUAAUAGGGGUGGAAUUUUGAAACCGAAAACCGAAAAAAACCGAGCUGAAAACCAAACCGAAACUGGAAAAAACGAAACCGAAUUAAGAAAACCGAACCGAACCAAAUUGGUUUGGUUUGGUUUUUGGUUUCGGCCCUUGAAAAAUCGAACCGAACCGAAAAACCGAAUCUCUCUGAAACGACGUCGUUUUUUAUCUUUAUUUUCAUAUUAAAUAUUUGAUUUCAACAAUAUAAUUUUAGGUUUUAUGUUCUAUAUAAUUAUAUGUUUGUCUUUUCUAAUAUUUUGCUUUUUAUUUUCGUUUUAUGUACAUAGAAAUGUUUUAGGUGUCGUGUAUGCGAAGUAUGUUACCUCUAAAAUCGAAGACCUUAUUCUUGCGAGCUUUAGAUGAUAGACUUUAAUAUUUAAUUUAUUUUUCUCUUCUUUAUUCAAAUUUAUGAUUUUUAAACUUUAAAAUUCGGAAUUAAUUUUGAUGGACUUUAAACUAUGGAGUCUAUAUUUUGUGUUCAAGAUGAACUUAGAAGUUUUAAAAUUAUGGUUUCAUGGUGUGCUAGUGUGGUCAAUUCCCAAUACUUUCGAAAUUAUUGAGUAUUAAACUUUCAAAGUAUAUAUUUGGUUUAUAAAUUGUUGGUUUGUUGAAAAAUCAUUGCCAAAAAUUUUAUUGAUAUAUUAUAUGUGCUUAUAAAAACAAGUAAUGGAAGAAGAAAAAAAGACCUAAAAUACGAUAAUUUUUUACUAAGCCAAAAGCAUACAAAUUUUAAGAAAAAUUAUUUUAAAAAAGAAGAAGAAAAACCGAAAAAAAAAAAACCGAAACCGAACCGAACCACAGUUUGGUUUGGUUUCCGGUUCAAGGUCUCAAAAAAUACCAAACUGAACCAAACCGAACCAAAUUUUUUAUUCGGUUUGGUUUCCGGUUUUAGAUGAAAACCGAACCGAACAAAACCGAACCCACCUCUACUACCUAAAACUGACAACAGUAUGGACAAAGCCAUUUACAACAUGGUGCUAAGCCAUGCUCUAGUGGUUGAUAAAAUAAGAGAUCCUAUUAGAAGCCAUGUUGCUGCUACAAUAAUACUUGCUUUUAUCAAACACCAUGUUGUUCCAACAGUAACAUCAUGGUCCACUACAUAACACCUUACUGCUCACUGCACAAAGCUUGUUGUGGUUUGUGCAGUGAAUUAGAUGUAUGCACCAUACUUCAAUACUACGUACCUAGAUAGAGGACCAAACAAUCCUUACCCUAGAGUCUUGGAUUCGUUAAUGCGAGGCAUAUCGACAUGGAUGAGCAUAAAGUACGUUAUAUAUAUUUCUAGCUAUGACCAUUACGUGUACUUGGAUUUCUACAAAGUUAUGAAGUAACAUAACAACCAUUUCACAAACCAAUACGUCGUAGUCUGGAUGAUAAAGUUUCACGCUUGCUUUAUGUUGUUCUUAGAGGCACACACAUUUCUUAUUUCAAAAAUUCUUCAGGACACAAACUUCCUCUUACGACGACGAAAACGAUGAAGGGAUCAACCUUGUUCUAGUGAUGCAUUCACCGUCAGAGUUGGCCCCAUUUACACCCAGCAGUCCUGCAGAUUGUGCUUUGGAGCCCAACUAUUCCACACUUUGCACAAAUGCUUGGUAGAGCCUCGAACUCCACUCUAGUAACAGUAUGUUGACCCGAAUAUCUAGUGACACACAACUAUAGAUACAAGGCCUAGGUGAGAUCGACAUCCACCAACGCCAUAAGGACUAACAUGGUCAACUAGUUGCUUAGCAAACUUAUAAUCAAAUAUUGUUAUUGUAUAAAUAUGAGAAAACCCAUUGAUCCAAACGAAAGUGUAUGACGUAGAAUUCCAACAUUUUUGUGAUUGUUCGACUAAUUUUUUUUUUCUGUUGGGUAAGAAUAAGAAAAAAAAAAGGAUGGCGCUAUGUGCACUUUGUAACGAAAUUUUUGUUUUUAGACAAUAUCAUGUCAGGCAAAGCCGAAGCGUUUGGCUUUAAGUAGUAAAGACAUUUAUAAAUGACCUUUUAUCUUUACUAUUAGAAAGCCAGACACCCUCUUUUAGUGUCAUGGUGAAACAUUUUUUUUGAAUUACCUAAAAAACCAAGAUAAUAGAAAAUUCUCAAAGAAUAUAAACAUAAGUUACUAUGGGCAUAACUGUAAACACCACUAGAAUUUUAUGGAGAAAAAAAAUGACGUGGUUUGUUCCCACUUUUGACGGAGCAGUUAUCUAAGAAAUAAGAUAAUAUGAUUCAUUCCACUUUAAGUGGAGUAAUUGAAGUUAAACUUCUCUCACGUGCAGAUGCACAGGUAAAAGAUUAGUUAUAAAAAAAUAAAAAAUAAAAAAUAUUUUUAACGAAUUACAAUUGAAAUAUAUUUUGAUUGGUAGUAUUUCUAAUCAAGAAAUAUAAGAUGACCCAAUGACACACUCGAUUGUUGUGUAUGUUGUGGUCAGAUGUCCUAGUUAUAUUAUCAACUUUUUCGAUAAAUCAUAAUCCAUUACUCAAUUUUAUCCUCGUGACUUCAGCACUGGAUCUAUUGACGGUCAAACUCUUUCAUUUCGCGACAAUAUUGUAAUUCCCUUACCAAUCUUAUCUGUAGUCGGUGAAAUUUGAAACUAUAGCCUUCACUCACCGGCUCAUCGACAUCAUGUUUGAUGAUUAAUAUCGGCUGUUGGUCGCAGUCGAUAAUUUCGAGCCUUACAUUAGAUAUAGACCUAACUAUAUCCGCAAGUUGUGGGAGGCCGGGCGGAUUUGAUAAGUCGCAGUCCUCACCGUAUCAGAUGGCUCUCUCCCCUGCAUAGCCUGCAAUCGUUUUCUACGCUCUUAUCUCAGACAUUCCAAACAAAUAAAUCCUAAACACACUUCCAUAUGCUUCUCGAGUCCUCGACACCUAGCCAAUAUAAACACCUGGCCAUGCAUCACCUUCCUCCCCUCCCACUGGCCCUGAAAUCCAUUCCCCAUCUCAAAUCCACCGCUGGCCCACCACCCCUUAUCCGCCGGCCACCUCCAACAUGACGCUUACCGGAAAACCACGUGUCCCUCCCUCCUUCCGUGGACGCCGAAGCUGCCUCACAAAGCAAAACAACAAAAACGAAAAAAGACGAUGACAAGCGCAAGCCAACUUUCCCAUGUCUUGAGCCUAAAGACAGGACGAUAAGCCACUCUCUCUCCGCCACGUGCCGGCCAACCCGAGAGCACCAUCCCACCGUCCGUCGCAUUAGCAGCCGCGGAGAGCGGUGCCACGUGGAGAGGACGGACACGUGUCGGGAAAGUAACGGUGUGGAGAGGAUUAUUUAAUCUUGACGUGACCCAUGUUCCAACCCGAGCUUCGUUCAUUCUAUAAAUACAGGAGCUUCACCAGCCUCCCUUUUCCCACACAAAAUCUUCAAAGCUGAUAAUCAAAAUCUCAGACCGCAAAAGCUCACUGUGAUUGUGAUUCUGAUUCUCCGAAAGGGACUAGAGGAGGCUACCAGAAACUUUCUUGCUUCUUUAUUUUUUUUCUCGUUUCUUUCAUCUUCAUUGUUACUUCGAUUUGUUGUUCCUUUUCGAGCUUAAUUUCAAUUCCAAAAUGGCGUUCAGCAUCACACACCAGAUCGGAGCGCUCGCCGGGACGCCGAUAUCGGUGACGGAGCCGAACAAGUCGUCCGGCGAAUCAACGGCGAGCGUGACCGCAUCCGCGGUGCGGAAGUCACCGGCGGCGGGUCUCACGUGCAAGAUUCAGAAUCCGGAGGGGAAGGAAACCGGGAUGUUGACCCCGCCGAUGAGCCCGUGCCGCUCGCCUGUUCUCGGCGCGACCAGGCCGGAUCUGUCGGUGGCGUGCCAGGCGUACGCGACGGAGGUGGAGGCGGCGCCGGUAUUGGAACACGAGCUUAGAGGCCACGUGGAGAAGAUAAACGGCGUGCCGGUUUUCGUGAUGAUGCCGUUGGACAGCGUCACGAUGAACCACACGGUGAAUCGGAAGAAGGCGAUGAACGCGAGUCUUCAGGCGCUGAAGAGCGCCGGGGUGGAGGGGAUCAUGAUGGACGUGUGGUGGGGGUUGGUAGAGAGGGACGCGCCCGGCGCGUACAAUUGGGGCGGGUACAACGAGCUGUUGGAGAUGGCCAAGAAGCACGGGCUUAAGGUCCAGGCCGUCAUGUCGUUCCACCAAUGCGGCGGUAACGUCGGUGACUCUUGCACGUGAGUGGAUCCUUCUUUCUCGUUCUCUCAUUUCCGCACUAUUUAUCAUCUUCACGUUUUUCUUGAUUGUUUGCUUUUCUAUUUGUGAUUCUCACGCGCGAUCCAGGAGCGUGGCUGCACGCUCCUUGAAGAAAAUGGAAAGAUUAUAAAGUAGUAGAUUGUAGAGUCGGCUUUGCAUACUAAUUCUGCAGUCCUGUAACUGUCAUAUUUAGAUAUUAAUCAUAUUAUCAUGAUUAGGUGCUAAUUCUGGAAAAGGAAAGAAACUAAUUUGGGAAGUUGUCGAAUAUGAAUUGAUAGUUUUCAUUGCUGAUUUUGAAUUUGUAAUGCAUUAAAUGGGCGUUGAAAACAUUUUUCUUCUUGUUGAAUUUGGGACGUUAAUACUGAGUUUUUUUAAAAAUUCUUUUGUUGUUCUUAAUUACAGUAUUCCUUUACCGAAUUGGGUUGUGGAGGAGGUUAACAACGAUCCAGACCUUGCAUACACUGAUCAAUGGGGAAAGAGAAACUACGAGUAUCUUUCACUUGGCGUUGAUACACUUCCAGUUCUUAAAGGCCGCACGCCAGUGCAAUGUUAUGCUGACUUCAUGCGUGCCUUCAGAGACAACUUCAAGCACCUUCUUGGUGACACCAUCGUGGUAAUACUUCAGUCUUUUACCUUACUUAUUGAAUCUUGCCGUAUUUAUUGCUAUUUUCUCAUAAAGGGUCUUGUUAUUUUGAUUGGUGGAACUUUAGUGUAUAAAACUUUAUCGUAGCUGCUCUUUACAUUACAGAUACUGCACAUAUAGCUUUUUACUUUAACUGAAUUCAACUCAAACCAACUCUGCAAGAGGAUGUUGAUAGAAACUGACUUGCUUUUGAAGUAUUAAUCUUGUCCUAUUGGCUUUGCUGCAAUUUGAACCAUGAAAGUUGAACUCGUUGUGGAUGAGGUUUUGUAUCAACUAUUUCUUUUUGAUGUUUGUAUGUUCAAAUGCUUGAAUAAUUUGUUUUUUUUCUAGAAGAUAGGACCUACUGUUUUGCUGGUAAACAUGGUCUAUAUGUAUUGAGCAACCUGACUUGUUAGUCCUUACAUGAUCUGCCCUAAAAAAUAAUGCUAUAAACAUUAGGGAAUAAUUUAGGAUCUUUGUGGUUGAUGAAUGCCUGUUCUUUCAAUAGAGGAUUAUAGCAAGUUUUCUGCAAUCUUUAGUUUUCUCAGAUUAUAACUAAUAUAUCUCCGACUUUGAGCUAAUCUUUUGACGUGCCAUCAGGAAGUACAAGUUGGAAUGGGUCCAGCAGGUGAGCUUCGCUACCCUUCAUAUCCAGAGGGGGACGGGACAUGGUCAUUCCCUGGAAUUGGUGCCUUCCAAUGUUUUGACAAGGUAAUCUAUCUAUUCUAGGCUCUCUCUUUCCGUGCCAGCAGGUUCUAUUAUCUUGAAUUUGACUAAUAUUAUAUGUAAAAUAAUGCAGUAUAUGCUCAGUAGCUUAAAAGCUUAUUGUGAAUCUGAGGGUAAGCCAGAAUGGGGUAGCACAGGCCCCACUGAUGCUGGUCACUACAAUAACUGGCCCGAAGAUACCCCAUUCUUCAGAAAAGAAGGUGGAGGCUGGAAUAGUACUUAUGGUGAAUUCUUCCUUGGCUGGUACUCCCAGAUGCUCCUGGACCAUGGUGAGAGGAUCCUUUCCUCAGCCAAGGCUAUCUAUGAGAAUGAGGGCGUGAAAAUCUCAGUGAAGGUUGCAGGCAUCCAUUGGCAUUAUGGAACCCGGUCUCAUGCCCCUGAGCUCACAGCAGGGUACUACAACACACGAUUCCGCGAUGGUUACCUACCGAUUGCUCAGAUGUUUGCCCGCCAUGGUGCCAUUUUCAAUUUCACUUGCAUCGAGAUGCACGACCAUGAGCAGCCACAGGACGCCCAAUGUUCCCCUGAAGGGCUUGUUAGGCAAGUCGCCUUGGCCACCCAGAAAGCAGGAGUACCGCUAGCAGGUGAAAAUGCACUGCCAAGGUAUGAUGACUAUGCACACGAGCAAAUCUUGCAAGCAUCAGCAUUGAACAUUAAGGGCAAUACUGAAGGCAAGCAGAUGUGCGCGUUCACAUACCUGAGGAUGAACCCGCAACUAUUCCAGGCUGACAACUGGAGGCGUUUUGUGUCAUUUGUGAAGAAAAUGAAGGAAGGAAAGAACACUCACAAGUGUAGGGAAGAGGUGGAGAGGGAAGCCGAGCAUUUCGUGCACGUAACAACACCUCUGGUACAGGAGGCUGCUGUCGCUUUGAUGCACUAGAAAUGCAGGAGUAGGCUUUAGCUAGUUUGCUUGUACGGUUCUACCACAUCAAAACUAGUGGCGUAUAUUCCAUAUUCGAGGUCACAUAAUGACAAUGUGUAAUGGCUCCAUGCCCUUGUCCUUUCUCUACAGCCCUUUUAUUAUUCGGAGGCUGUGGAAAUCGGGUAAUGGAGUAUAGUAGUGUGUUCCAUAAAACGGGCAGACACAGAUGAUGUGUCAAUAGACUCAAAUACUUAAUUGCUCUUUCUUUUCUCUUUUAUUAAGCUACAUGAUUGUAACUUUCAUAUGUGAUCUCCUGUGUAUGAACUAGUCUUUGUAUGUCUGCUGUAAAAUGCCAUCAAUGAAACAAUUUGUUCACUCAGUAUUUGAUGCAAUCUAGCUCGCUCGAGCGUUGUGUUGGACCGUUGGUUUAUAGGCAUGAUCAUAUUAAUUGGAUCAAGUCACAAAAACGGGGUAACAUGGCUAUGUUUCUUGCCCCUAUUGUUGAUGCUUGCCUAUUUGCAAAUUUAUAACUGACCAGAUUGAGAUCAGCAUUUUUAUUUUAUAUAUCUAUUUGUUGAUUACUGUUUAUUUACACUGUUCAUCUACGGAUGCCACUCUCAGUUCUAACAGCUUUGGGCCUGCUUUUUUUUGUCAGCCCAAUCUACAAGCUCCGCCUUGGCACCAAGCUCGCUGUCAUCAUCACCUCCCCCUCCCUCGUCCGCCAGGUCCUCAAGGACCAUGACGUCAUCUUCGCCAACCACGACGUCCCUGUUGCCGGCCUGGCCGCCACGUACGGCGGUUUCGACAUCGCCUGGACCCCGUACGGCCCCGAGUGGUGGAUGCUGCGGAAGGUUUGCGUGCUCCAGAUGCUCAGCAAGACCACGCUCGACUCCGUCCACGAUCUCCUCCGCAAGCAGGUCCGGCCAACGGUGGGGUUCUUCUACGGCCGGGUCAAGUCGUCGGUGAACGUGGGGGAGCAGAUGUUUCUGAACACACUGAACGUGGUUACCAACAUGCUGUGGGGCGGAACUGUGAGGGAGGAGGCACCUGGCUCGGGAGGUAGUUCCGGGAAGUGCUAUCGGAGAUAACGGAGCUGCUGACGAAGCCGAAUGUCUCGGACUUUUAUCCGGGUUUGGCCCGGUUUUACUUGCAAGGCGUGGUGAAGCAGAUGGAGGGAAUUGUGAAGAGGUUUGACGCGAUAUUUGGAAAGGUGAUAGACAAACGGCUGAGGAUGGAGAAGGAAGGUGAUAAGGCUGAGAGGACUCAGAGGAGUAAAGAUUUUCUGAGUUUUUUUUUUUACUGCGGUUAAAAGACGAGAGAGAUUCCAAGACACCGCUUACUAUGACCCACAUCAAAACCUAGUACGUUGUGUUUAUUUUUUUAACCUUUCAUAUGUAUUGAGGGAUUAAAUUUUGAGCUUAAAAAACAAUUUUACGUAUAUUGACACUGUUAAGAAAGAUUUUGAUUUAACUUUGACCUAACUAUUGUUACUCAUCUGUGUUUCUAUUUUUGGUUUGUUUUGUUAUUGAUUCUAUCUAGAUGAGGUACUUGAUCAUACAUGUAAUUGUUUGUACAACAGUAUCUAUGAAUUAAACGACUACUAUCAUUUAUUUUAAUAGCAUAAGUGCGUGGUUUGUGAAAAUAUCUACCACAACCAAUAUGGUGUUACAUUCUUGGUUCUUUAUCUCUAUUUCAGCUUGAUGUGGGAAGAAGAGGAUCCUCCAUGGUUGAAGUGUGAUAUUCAAUAUAAUGUUACCUAUAUUUAAGAUUUCUAAGAACAACGAAAUUAACAAGUAUUUUAUCUUUGUAGUUUGGAAGAAUGAUAAUGUAAAAGAGCAAUAGAGCAUUAAUUUUCCAAAGGCUUUCAUUAAAACUUGCAUAUGGUGGGGUGAGCUGUGGGGUGAUUAUUAAAAAUUGUUAAUUAGUUAGUUUCCAUUACAAUGAUUCUUUUAUUCUUUGUGUUGAGUAUUUGAAUAAUAAUAAAGUUAAUUUUAUAUUAAAGAUAAACUCUUCUUUCAGGUUGAUUUGAUGGGCAAGGCGCGAUGACUCCAAAAGGGUAUUAAUCUAAUUACAGGACCUGUGAAUACUUAUACUUCAAAGGGUUUGAUUAGCCUCCUCCCAUUUGAUUUUGAUCUUAUUUUUUCAUAUACAGUAUAUAUCUUUUCCUUCUUUUUUUUGGUAUUUGGUUCGGCUGCAUACAUGAAUAUGUGCAUCAAUUCCAUUGACAUUUUAGAAGAAUAUAUUUUGGGUCUUGAUUAGUUUGAAAUGGAUAUUACUGCCUGUUAGUAUAUUUAAUCAUAUGAGGCAUUUGAUAGAAGAAUUAUUGAUCGAAAAUAUUUUACCUGCUAACACUGGAGCAUUUUUUUAGAACAGAUUAUUUACCAUCUUAUCUGUUGUUUAAAUUUUUAAGUUUGAAAAGGAUAUCAAAUAAGGCAUUCUUGGUAACUGUUAUCACUUCCAUUAAAUUGGCAAUCUUAUAUCAUCAGUAUAUGUAAUUACUUCUUUUCUGAAUCUAUUAUUUAUUGUUGCUAACUAUUCUACUCUUAGUGUGGCUUAUUAAUGGAUGACUAUUAUAUCUACAUAUCUUCAGGGCAUGGAUUGAUUCUAGAACCAUGUCCAUGGCCAUGAUCAAAUUGAUUUCAGAACCACGUUCAUAUUACAACAAUUCUAUAUAGUGGGGUUUGACUAGCUUACAGCUAAAAUGGACAACAAUGAUAUUCCUCAUGGGUAGAUUUUAUUAAUUAUAUAAGACAAUUUGCCACAAACAUUACUAAAGAUGUUGAGGAUGAAAGAUGAUCGCCUUCUAUAUUUUUCGGUAGUAUCCUUAAAAACAAGCACAGCAGAUGCUAGCACAAUGCACAUGUAUCAAGGUAGAUGUAUAUAUUUUUACUGUUGUCUAUCAGUAAUUUGCAAUCAACAAUUAUCUUUGUAAUUAUAGAAUGAUCGUUAUCAGUUCAUUGAAACAAGAACAUUACAGUGCAUUGUCAUAGAAAAGCUACGAAUAGGGAUUUCUCUAUGUUUUUAAGCAAAGUUGAUAACUGAUACAACAUUUAUUGACCAUAAAAAAUGGCAUGUUACAGUAUCGAAAGUCCCGCAGCAACGCGCGGGCUACCUUUUUAGUUUAACAACAUUUUGGGAUGCUGUUUUACUUGUAAUGUAUAAGUCUCGGAUCAAGAGCAGAUGCUAGUGUGAAAAUAGGCGGUGCGGAUGACGGAGUUGGUUUUGUAUUUAAAGACCAUGGACAUUACUGGAUACCGUUACCAUUAAGGUGAAGGCCAAGGUGUUCGUAGUCAAAGGCGCGUUGUGAGGAGUUCACCUAAAACUCCUAUCACCGCAACCUUGACAUCAAACUUGUCACCGACGAGUCCACCGAGGCUUGGUUAGGCGCCUUCAUCUAUACCGCCUUGAAUUACGUCCUUAUUUUUGCAUCUGUACAUACUUUCGCUCUUGAUCCGGCUUCUAAAGUUUCUAUAAAAUACUUUAAAAACCAUUUAAUUAAAAUGGUCGAAAUGAUCAAUAUUUGUUUGAGAAAUUUUAUUCACACAUCAUAACUUGCUAAAUACACAUCCUAAUUUUUUUGAUAAACUACCUAUUUUGCCCCAAAUCCUCCUAAACCAUCACCCAAACGCCUAACUCAUUGUCAUCUCAUCACAGCAAGCCACUUCAUGGAAUUAUGAUAUUAAUCAUCUUGGUUCAACCAUGAUCAUCUUUUUGAUGAUUUAUGUAAUGAAUAUAAUCAAAUAUAAGAAAACUAGAUCAAUACUUUUCAAAACUACACAAAUUUAAGUUCAUCCUAUGAAAUAUGUUCAAAGCCAUGGAAAAAAAUCUAAGUGACCGCCUGUAUAUGUUUUAAUUUUCAUUCAUGAAUCAUGAUUAUCCAACUACAUGACAUGCCCAAUUUAUUGGUUAUGCUAUGAGAUUCACUUUUGUUUGUUGCAAUCUCAUCACCACGUACGCAUAGAUCGAUCAUGGCUUUUAGGGAUUGGAUUGUGCUGUCAAUUUUAUCAAGGGAAGAAUAAAUUGAAAUUUUUAGGGCUCAUGAUUUGAGGAUGUAAUUAUAAUUAUGUUUUUUUUUUUCCGACAAGAGUAAUUAUAAUUAUGUUGGUGUUUUAAAAUGUAUCAAAAGGUAAAAUUGUAUUUGAAAAACUUACAAAAAAAUAGGGAUGUGCUUGAGUAAUUAGAGAUGUGUGAAUAAAAUUUCUUUAUUUGUCUUCACAAACUACAAUAAUAAUACAAUAGUUGAAAAGAAAAAAGAAAACAAGAAGAGAAACAAAAAAAUGAGCAGACAAAUUUCUUGUUUCUUCAGCUAACUGCUGGAAGGUUGCAAGGUUUGGUUCUAGAAGCCUCAGUAUUGUUUGUUAGAUAAUGACAGGACAGCUUAACGACACAAAACGGCUAAGCCUUCCUUUCCUUGAGAACUCUGGAGCUUUCCUUUCCUUUCCACAGAAAUUACACAGACUGCCACUCCGCAACUCACCGCGCCCAUGGCUUCUUCUCUGCAAACCCACCGCCACCAUUACCAUCAUCUCUACCGCCCUACAACCUCCAAACCCAACACCCAUCAACCUUCGAUAUUCUAUCGGCGUUUCCUGACCGUUGGGAAACAGAGCACUUUUACUCGUAGAGAAAACGGCAGGGGUAGUAGAGAUGGGACAACUGUUACUGACUCGUUUUGCUGCUUGUGCAAAGCUGGCUUGGAGAUUGAUAAGGUCUCCGCUGAUGAUGAAGGAAGUGAACGGCCUCCUUUUGAUAUCAACUUGGCCGUCAUUCUCGCCGGUUUCGCUUUCGAGGCCUAUUCUAGUCCACCUGUAAGUCUCCCUCUCGUUCAUGAAAGACAGUGAGAUUUGAACUCAUGACCUUCGCGGCGUUAGUUAGUUAGUUAGGCCGAAACAGCGUUAAUUAGUAAAAAUGUACAAGUAAGAAAAUGUGAUGGUUUUCAGGUUAAUGUUGGGAGGCGUGAAGUUGAUGCUGCAGAUUGCAAGACAGUGUACCUUUCAGAGUAUGCAAUCCAUUUCCCUUAUCUGGCAAUUUUAAGUUUAAUGUGAAUGAGGUAAAAAUUCGUGCCUGAGUUGGACUGAUUUGUUACAAUGUUACAUUUUCUGUGAAUGCAGGUCAUUUGUGCGUGAGAUAUACGAUGGCCAGCUUACUGUUAAAUUGAAGAAAGGCAUCGAUCUUCCUGCCAUGGAUCCAUGGGUUGGUUAUCUUUUUCAAUCCCCUUCUGCAUUAGUGAUUACAAUGAUUAAUUACUGUCAUGAGUUGUUCUGUGUGUAGUUGUUCUUGUAUGCCUAUACUCUAUGGUUUCUGUUAUCUGUCUCCUUGUGUUUUUGCUGAUGUGUUUUGAAAUUUGGUGUGUGGUUAGGGAACAAGUGAUCCAUAUGUGAUCAUGCAAUUAGAUGGUCAAGUUGUCAAAAGCACGGUUAAAUGGGGGUAAGCUUUUUAAAGAUAUGAUGAUGAAACUUCACUUUUCUUUGCUGGUUUGCUCGAAUUUUUGGUUCUGAAUUCUACUUUAUGUGGGAAAAGUAUCAUAGGAUGUUGGAAUUGUGAGGCUUUAAAGUUGUAUUUCGUUUUUUGCUGCAUAACUAUCAUUGUUCACAAAUUCUAUGAAUCCAUAAAUUCAUAGACAUGUUCCUCAUUUCAACCAUAAGUAAUUUUUUGUUUACAGAUAGUUUUGGCUUGCAGGACAAAAGAGCCAACAUGGAACGAGGACUUCCAUUUUAAUAUCAAGCAGCCUCCAACCAAAAGUCUCCAGGUUAACAUGUACUAAAUGUAUACCAGUUAAUCUCCUUACAAAAUGCUCUUGCAUCCUAUUUUUUCCUUUUUGAAUUUUUGUAAUCUUGAAACUGAGGACCUUGUUUGCUUUGUUCACUGCACAUCACAAGUUUGAAGGCAUAUCGAUAUUUUGUUACAGUAAAGAGUGAUAUUAUUAUCACUAGGAUUCUAUGAAUGAAAGAGUACUUUAGAUUUCAACUUUAAAAUUUGUAAAAUGAUGUUUUAUCCCAUAGUUGUUAGAGUAAUUUUUAAGUGGUCAUAUAGCUCCUAGUUUGCUAAUUUCUGGCUUCACGUUUUAGGUUGCGGCUUGGGAUGCAAACCUUGUAACUCCACAUAAGCGCAUGGGGAAUGCAGGCGUCAAUCUAGAAUGCCUUUGUGAUGGUAAAAAUUCUUGUAUUUCUGUAUGUUUCAAAAUAAUAGCUCAUUAUCUUGCCAGACCGCUGAAGUGGGUUGAUUCUAUCAACACAUUUUGUUAGUAAUAAAUUACGCUUGGUAUAUAUACUAGUGGAUGGAAUAAAUCCUUCGUAGUUUUGUUGUCACUGGCUAGUUGCUGCUAGUAUGGAAUUAUACAAAUUGUUGUGUAAAAUUUGUGGUUGUAAUAUUAGUAAUGUUAGCACAUCUAGUCUUGGAGUAAUGCUUCAAAAUUUGCUUCCUCAGCUAAUAACAUAUAUGUGCUGUUGUAGGGAAUCUGCAUGAACUACUGGUGGAAUUGGAAGGAAUGGGAGGUGGUGGAAAAUUACUUGUAGAGGUGAGUUUCCUGGUGAAAUGAUAUUUUGAUUAAGGUGGAUGGUGCGUUAGAGAUAGAAAGCUUGAAAUAGUCUCCUCUGGUAACCAUGAACCUUUUAAGAUUUAAGAUUUCAUGGAAAAAUAUUUGGUUGGUGAUAUCUCUAUAUAUGCGCCAUAUACAAAUCUACAACAUGACAAAGUAUCGUAAAUGCCCCUAAUAUUUCAUUGCCAAAUCAUCUUAGAUGUGGACUGGGGUUUCUGGGAAGGAAAAAGAUUGUUCCUAAAAAAAACUUCAAAAAAGAAGAAGAAAGGUUAUUGCUCAUCUUUAAAUGCCCCUUCAUUUUGAACUUUAUUCCCUUUAUUCCUUGCUUAUUGUGACUCUCAGGAGAUAUAAGCUUAAGUGAGAUAUAAGCUUAAGUAACCCCCUUGAAGAGAGCAAAUGAAAAAUUGAAUGAAAUAAAAAUCUCCAUGGAUACGGUCUGUUAUACUCUCCUUAUUCAAUGCAGUUGUGACAAUUUGUGGGUUUUAUCCCCAUUUUAUGCUGUAUGGUUCUGUUUGUUUGAUUGCUAAUGCUGUGCUGGUUGUGAUGAAUCUUUCUACAUUUAUUUAUGUUUAAUUCAUUGGGAAUCUUCUCUCAUAUGAAGUUUUUGUUGUUUAUAACUACUGAUAUUUUUCAUUCUAUUGUUAACUUUAAGCAUACAAGUCUUACAUACCUACCCGUGUGGUGGUCUUUCUAUUCCAGAUUUUCAUCGAAAAUUUUCGCAUUCGGCGUAGUUUUCCGUAUGAGUUAUAAUUACUGGUGUUGAACUUUCAGGUCAGGUAUGAAACAUUUGAGGAAAUUGAUGAGGGGAAAAAGUGGUGGAUGAAGGUCCCUAUUGUUUCUGAAUUUCUUCGUAAUAAGGGUUUUGAGCCUGCUCUGAAAAAGUUUGUUGGCUCUGACACUGUGCAAGCACGUCAGUUUGCGGAAUAUGCUUUUGGGCAGUUAAAGUCAUUCAAUACUAAUGCUUACAUUUGGAAGAAUCUGUUAUCAGGUAGUGAAGAAAGUGAUAAAAAAGGCCAUGGGAAAUCUAAUAUUUCUGCUGGUGUGUCAGGUGUGCCUUCCCAGAUGGAGGGUAUCACAGAGGGUUCUUUAGAUAUUGCAGACUGCAAUGAAGUGAGCAACUUAGAGGAGUCUAACAUAGAUAAUGGUGGUGUGAAGAAUGGAAAUGACCCUCAACAAGUGAAAAAGCUUGAUGAUGAAAUGCAAUCAGAUAAGAACUUCUGGAAGAACUUUGCUAAUGAGAUUAAUCAAAAUGUUGUAGAGAAAUUUGGAUUCCCAAUUCCAGAAAAAUUAAAGUGGGAUGGAUUUGAUUUGUUAGACAGUGUUGGUUUGCAGUCACAAAAGAUAGCAGAAGCAACUUAUGUUGAAUCGGGGCUUGCAACUCCUGAAGCGUCAGAUGUUGAUAAUGAUAUAACAACAGGCCCACUUCCCAUUAGCAUUAUGCAGUCUUCAUUUCCAGAUAUAAAGGAAGCAACAAGGGAUUUAUUAAAGCAAACUGAUUCUGUUUUAGGAAUAUUAAUGGUUUUAACGACAACAGUAUCUCAAGCAAAGAAGGAAGAAAAUGUUGUAGGAGGGAGUGCAAGUAAGGAAGAGGAUUCCAUAACUGAGAAGCUUGUGAACUCACAGGGAGCUGAGGAGAUGAAAGCACUGUUUUCAACUGCAGAAACUGCCAUGGAGGCUUGGGCGAUGCUUGCUACUUCUUUAGGACAUCCUAGUUUUAUAAAGUCUGAAUUUGAGAAACUUUGUUUCUUGGAUAAUGAGACGACAGACACACAGGUAAUUAUUUUUCCUUUCAGAGGAUCAAGGAGCUUCAUUCCCAGUCAUGAACCAUCUCCGAUAUAACAAAGAACUGUGAAAAUCUAUGUGUCACAAAAUGAUGUCAAAUACUAUUCAGAUUUAUUUAGUAGCUGAGUUUAAAUGGUGCUGCAGGUUGCAAUUUGGCGUGAUUCUGCACGGAAAAGAUUAGUAGUCGCUUUCAGGGGAACAGAACAGGUAGGUAAUAUAUGUGUGUGUGCGCGUGUGUGUUGUUUUUGUCUCUAGUUCAUUAACUUCUGGCUCAAAAAAUCUAUACUCUAACUUCUGCAGGCAAGGUGGAAGGACUUGCGAACAGAUUUGAUGCUAGCUCCUACUGGGUAAAAUCUAUUUACUUUAUUAUUACUUUAUAACCUAUACAGUUGACAUAGUGGUGAUCUGUGAUCAUUCUUCCUAGUCUAGUUUUCAGUCAUAAUGUGACAUCCCAGUGUUCAAAACCGAACUUGAUGGCCCAGGUGGACCAUGAAUGGUCAGCUUUUCUGGCCAGAACAGUCAGGAAACCAUUUUUUUGAUUAACUUUGGACCUGCAGGUUUGAGCAUAAAAACUUUGAACUCGUCAUGUAUGAGAAGGGUAUACUUGUGUCUUAAGAAAAAAGCAUGUUAAAAAGUUAACUCCAGGUCUUGAACCACAGUUCUUAAGGUUAAAGAACUAUGAAUUAAUGGUUUGGUUUAAAAAAAAAGUGGUUUGGUUUGCAUCUCUUUUUAUUUCAUUUAAAUGGCCUUAACAGUAAAACUUUGAUCUUGUGUUACUAAUAGUUAAGUAUGAUAUGGUCUAACUAAUUAUGCACAUGCCCUAGUGACUUAUUCAGACCGCAAAACAUUUCGGGUUUCAAAUAAUUUUGUAUGUGUUGAGUUUUUGAGCUAAGAUUGACUAAUUCAUAUCAGCUGAGCUCACACAUAUUGAGAUAUUUCAUAUCCAUUAAUCCUUUAUUCAUUUAAUAUACUGAUGUUUAUUUUUGUCUUUUAGGUUGAAUCCAGAAAGGAUAGGAGGAGACUUUAAGCAAGAAGUUCAAGUAAGUAACUUAUUUAUGGAUGAGACGGUGAGAUUAUAUGACAGAAGCCAAUUUCACUUUUAUGUUUAUUGGUGGUGACUAAUUUUUUCAGGUUCAUAGUGGCUUCUUAAGUGCAUAUGAUUCUGUCAGAAUACGGAUCAUCUCUCUCAUUAAAUUGGCUAUCGGUUAUAUGUAAGUUUUGCUUAUGCUUACAAUCUUAUCUUAUUUCUAGUGUGUAGCCAGUGUCUGGAUUAAAAAUGUGACAAGUGACAAAUGUCUUAGGAUGUGGUAAUACUAAAUCUAAAAGGAUCUUGCUGAAGUAGUUUGUUGUUCUUUUACAUUGCCUGAAUCUUUUAUAUAGGCACUCAAGUCAUUUUGACCAUAAAUCUGGAAAUUUUUGGAAUAAGCUAGUUGCUAAUUUCAAUACUCCUUGUGGAUUUCACAGCAUGUGCUUUUUCUAUAUAGUUAUGUUCUUGGCCUAAGCAUGGGUUAUGCAAUCAUUUAAUAUUGUAGUAGUAAAUCCAUGUCUUAACAGCUAAUAUUCGGUAUUACAUCUUGUGUAAGACCUUUCAGAUUAAUGGUCUGUUUGUGUCCUUUAUGUUCCGCAUUUGCAUAAGUGUGGCUUAUGCUAUAACGUAUGUAAAUGCACUUCACAGUUAAUAUUCAAUCUUAUUCGAGGCCUUCUAGUCUAAUUUUCUGUUGGAUCUUGGUCCAAUUAUUGGUUGCUAAGAAUUAGUCCCACAUCUACAGUUAUAUAUUGUUCUUGUAGUGGGAAAAAGCUCAGAAGAAAGGUAUCUUGUAGGGUGUAUGAUUUGAAAUCACCAACAUAUUUAUUAUUUUUCUAUAAAGUAUCUAACCAUUAUUUUUCCUGGAUCAAUAACAUUGAGAAUAAAAGCAUUAUCUUGGUACGACUCUUUUUAUCUCAUGUAAAAGGUUCUUGUGCAAGCAUAGUAUUAGCUCUAGUUUUAUUGGGAUAAAAGAAAAAUCUUUCUGCUUAAUUGGGAUAUUGCAUUCCAGUAGAUUAACCUUUUGGUGCGGAUAUUGCAUCUGCAUAAUGGAAUGUGAUUAAUAGUAUAUUUAUGACAGAGAUGAUCUUGCUGAGCCGCUGCACAGAUGGCAUGUUUAUGUAACUGGUCAUAGUCUAGGGGGUGCAUUAGCUACUCUCCUAGCUCUUGAACUUGCAUCAAGUCAAUUAGCAAAGUAAGUUCUAUUAUUUCAGUCAAUGAACUUAUUAUUCUUUAUUGAGAGUAGAACAGAUAUGGAAUCAGUGUAUAUGUCUCAGUACACAUGCACAUUCGUAUUUGAAAGUCGGUAAAACCUAUAGGUCAGUUGUGCAAUCUGACAUUAUUUAUUAACAACUAGAAAUUCUUGAAAAUAAUGACGUCGCACUAACAGAAAACAUAAUGUCCUAAAGGGUUUAAAAUUGUAUUUAACAUGAAUUAAAAAUUUCUCUCUGUACUAGGCGUGGAGUGAUCACAAUCAGCAUGUAUAACUUUGGAUCUCCUAGGGUUGGUAACAAAAGAUUUGCUGACAUUUAUAAUGAGGUAAAAGUUUCUAUAGUUGUUGCUCUUCAGUUUGCUUUUGAUUUGUGGUUAAAGCACUGGCUAAUCAAUACUUCUCCAUUUAUAUCUGCUUCAGUCAUCUCAGGUUGGAACAGGUCAUAUGAAUAACUUGAUACACCAGGCUAAUAUUUGUUACAUGAUAAUUUCUAAAUCUAGGGUUGUGCUGCAAUAUAGAGAUAAAUUUAAAUUAUGUAUAUAUUAUAGACACUUACAUAUGUAUUUUGGGAAUAUUGCAGAAAGUUAAAGAUAGUUGGAGAGUUGUAAAUCACAGAGACAUUAUACCAACUGUGCCCCGGUUGAUGGGUUACUGCCAUGUAGCUCAACCUGUUUAUCUAGCAACAGGAGACAUAACGAAUGCGUUGGUGAGUAUUUAUUUGGCCAAGUAUCUUUACAAAUUCAGCGUGCAGAAAACUCACUCCAGGCUUCUUUAUAUUCAUAUCAUUUAUAUGCAAUGUGCUAUUCACUUUGCUUUUUGAAAGACAUAAAUAGCGUUCGCACCAGAUCUAGAGGUACACUGCUUGCAGAGCUGAACUUCCCCGCUAAUUGAUAUGAUACUUGUUGGCCAAUAGCUAUAUAAUUUACGCAUUUUUGUUGAACUAUUAUUCUUUGCUUGAAAUUCUAACUUCGUCAGUAAUCGUUAUCACUUAAUUUUUAAGCUGUUUAAACUUCUUUUUUUAUACUUCUUUUGUCAAAAGAUACCCUCUUUCUCAUGUAGACGGUAUCGUCUUCACUCAGUAAUAUCCGUUGUGAAAAAUUACUUCUCACCUAUACCAUGUAUUCAGAAUUUAGGCUAUAACUGAGGAGUCAUUUAUUGGAGUUUGCAAUCAAUUUUUAAAUAAAUUCAAUCUCAGUUGACCUCUUUGAUAACCAUGUAUUUGAAUCAUUAGCUCCCUAUCUCCUGAUUAUUUUUGUCUACUUAAUUGAACUGACUGAUUAAUUAUUUAACGAGGUGUCAACAAUUUGGAUUCCUACCCAAAUUCUCAGUACUUGAGAUGCAUUUCUGGAAAGAGAUUGAUUUAUAUGAAUUGUAUCGAAUUUUAAAUUCAAGCUGAAUGUUCUGAAUAUUCCAUUGAAUGAUUUGUAGUGCAGUAAAUAUUGCUGACCUAAUGAAUGCUAUACCAUGUAUCCAGGAAAAUAUGGAGCUUUCUGGAGAUGGUUACCAAGCUGAUAUGAUUGGGGAGUCCACACCUGAUGUUCUCGUCAGUGAAUUUGUACGUAGUUCAUUUAUUCUUCUUCAUUUGGUAGCAUGUUUACUUAUGGAUGUCCGACAUAAGAUUUAGACGUGUGGCAUUUUCACUUCCAUUAUGUGGAUGUUAUCAUGAUUCAAUUAGCUGGGAGGAAGAUAGAGCAUAUAUCUAGUUGAGGGAACAUCAGUUCUUGUUCCUUCUCCAAUUAUGAUGUAGCAUGAUCAUUUUGGGAUAUAACUAUUGUUGAGUGCAGUGAGGGCGUGAGGCUAAUAUAAAGAGAUGCUAUACAGUUACUACUCAUAAAAGAUAGUUUGACAAGAUCAGAAAAGAAUCUUUCUGUUUGUCCAAAGCAACCAAAAUGAACUAUGUUCAUGAUGUAAUACUCCAAUUGCGUCUAGCGAAAUUCUCAUUCCAGAUAAAAUCAAUUAAUAAUUUGAAGAUUUUGCUGCAUGCAUUUUCACUAUAUCUCACAAAGAGUUCAUUGCUUUGUUGGUCAUAUUUCUUAUUGGGUCCUUUCUUAUUCAAGAUUUGAAACUCUAUAGUAACUUUAAGGGUCAAAUAGGUUUACUGCUGUCAUAAUUGCAGUCUUCUAACUUAUCCAGCAUAACCAUUUGCAUUCAGAUAGUAUAUUUGUCACUGCUUACUGCUUACUGCUUAGCAGUUAGCACAUGACGUGCGAGUCCUGAUGAAGCGUUUCUGAAUUUUCUGCAAGUAAGGUUAACCAAAUUGAGUUUUCUGCAGAUGAAGGGUGAAAAGGAACUUAUACAGAAAAUUUUACAGACUGAGAUAAAUAUAUUCCGUUCAAUCAGAGAUGGAACUGCACUUAUGCAACAUAUGGAAGAUUUUUACUACAUCACGUUACUAGAGGUACUUAUAACAUUUUGUUGGCUUAUCAUUUAUAUUUGGUGGUCUUGUUCCAUAUUUACGUCUGAGCAGCAAGUAGGAACUUUAUAAAUUCAAUAAACAUGAUAAUAUUGGAUGUAGAUAGCUAUAUGUUAUGAUAACUGUUAGUUUCGUUGUGAUUUUUAAUCUCAUUUUUCCUCUCCAGAAUGUGAGAUCAAAUUACCAACCUGUUGUCAAGUCGUUGUCUGACGAACAAGGCAACAAAACAAACAGCUGAGAAUGGCAUUUAUACAUGUACAGGCACAGAAGUUAAUUAGCAGUUCUUUCAAGGAUUGUGCCAGCAACACAUCACCAUGGCACCAUUUGUAAGGUGCCAUAUAUUUUCCCAAAUUGUACAUUUGUAACUAGUUUGUAAUAGUUUUCAUUAGAUAUUAGUUCAUGUUCAUAUAAAAUUUGGUAAUCACGUCCGCAAUAGUUUAUCCCUUUACUAAUCAUCAUUAUACUGUUGGCGCUCUCGGAUUUGAUUGCCUUACCAACUCUCUGUAGAUAGUACUACUGUUAGCCUUUCAUAAAGCAAGAGUGUACAUUUGCUUUGAUGUACAACUCUGGCUUGCAUAAUGUGCUUGUCGUAGGACUAGGAUACAUGCAAGGGAUGGUGACCAUGCUGGCCAGAAGGCUGGGGCGAUAACGGCCAGCCUCGGACAGUCAUUGGUCUCUAAACUUGAGCUGAUUGCGGAGGUUGUUGCAAAUUUCAGUAACUGGUCGUCAAUUCCAACGACAGAAACCCUACAGGAGGUAGAUAACAGAAUUUGGAGCCUAGCAAGAAGUUUCAGGUUACUGAGAUCCCUCAAGACCAUAGUUAAGGGACUCGAAGACGAUAAGAUGUCAGUAAGGUGGUGGACAAAAAUCACAGAGAAUAUCUCUGAGGUGCCUCAUCAUUUUGGAAUCACAUUCAAGUUUAACCAGGCUGUGGCCCUGCUAUCUAUCAUUGCUUUUGGUCAAAUAUCUAUCACACAUCAAACUAUCACAUGCAACAGAAUGAAGAUGUUAUUCCUGUUGGUCUCCGAAAACCUUCUCCAAAGUUGAGCAUUUCUAAUUGUUUUUUGGCUUCGUUAAUGUGUUAAUGUCUGGAUAUGUCAAGUAGGCUAAGCUGGUUCGACAUAAGAGAUAGACAUCUGGAUAUUAAAGUAGACAAAUUUGUGAUCAAGUCAAGCUAGUCUAUAGGCACCCAGUUAGGUCUAUCAAAUCGUGUCUUAAUGUAUUCGUGUAUGGAGAAUUUUUUAUCUCUAUGUUCCACCUGAGAUUUAUGCUCUCAUUGAGAAAUUCUUGACACAGCUGUUGUAAUUUUUAAUAUGUAGCACUACCGCACUUGAAAACAUUAGAAGACUAAAGAGUUUAAUUGUGCUGAAAAUAUCUAUCACAGUUUCCUAGUGUGCUUUUUCACAAGCUGUGAAUCCUUGGAGACAUUCUUGGCGACCUGCACUACUGUCUUCUUGCAGCUCAUGAUUCUCAAGCUCUGCCUCAAUAUGUCAAUCUCUCGCUCCCUCUUGUAUUGCUCAUUCUCCAUCGUAGCUAUCUUUGAGUUUAGGCUUGCAAUGAUCUCUUCUUUGGCUUUCAGUUGUCCCUUUAGCUCUUCCAAAAUAAUGUCCUCUUCUUCUGCCUUCCAAUACAGUCCAUUUCCUGUCGCAAUUGCCAUUGCUCAGUUAUAGUGAACUUACAUGAACAUUCACACAAAAUAUGAUAGUUUAUGCAAGAAAAACUGAUCAGAUGGAGCAUUAAUUUAACAAUUGGAUUUGGUAAUAAUCAAUAAUCAUAGUUUCAAAUAUAAUAUUUGAAAACAGACAGAUAUGUCAUAUGAUGGCCUUAGCUAGGUGCAAAACCAAGUAAGAAGCAAAGAUUGCAUCAUAGAUUCAUAGUAGAUAAGAUAAUAUGUACUUUGUUUGGAUUAUGAUAAUGCAUUAGAGAGAGAGAGAGAGAGAGAGAGAGAGAGAGAGAGAGUACUACUAGGUAUGCGAUCAAAAGAUCGAGGAAGCCAUCAAAAUUGGAACAAUUGAAAGAGUACGUCUUAUUCAUCAAUUAAUGGUAUAAAAGUCUCUGUUUCUUCACUGUCUUGUAGGUUCGUAAUGUAAGACAUCAUACGUAUAAUUAUUAGAAAGCAAUGUGUUCAAGCUAGUCGGUAAGGCAUUCAUGCAUUGUCUAUAUCUUCUUUUCAUUUAUGGAUAUAGGAAUUUCAAUGCACUCAUUUGGUGCUACUAAACCGGAGCGGAUUCAGUGACCUUGGUUCAUUUGAACCGGGUGGGUGCAAGUCACGUGGUUGGACGGAACUCAAACCAUCGUUAGUUAGUUCCUGGACACCAAAUGAAAGUGGAAGUACAGUAAAUGCCAAAAUUACCACGCAGUGGAGAGUUUCUCUCUCUCUCAUCCUAUGAUUCCUAUCCACUGUUUCAAUCCCUCCAUUGUCCCCAAUACCAAAGUUCAUAGCCGACCAGUUAUUCUUCUCAAUCGCGUCUAGGUGGAUGGCCGCCCCGAUUGAGGGGAAGUCGCUGAAAAAAGUAAUUCGAAAUGGCGUCUGGGCGGGUCGGCGCCCAUCUCUCUAACCUCAACUCUCGUCGUCUCUCUCUCAGAGGCGAAGAGCACCGCCGUCUCCGACUGUGUUCCACAAUCUGGGUUUGUUCAAAGAACGGUGGGGAAGAAUGAGAUACUAGGAGUCUAGGAUAGAUGAUUAACACGUGCAUAAGAGACUUNNNNNNNNNNNNNNNNNNNNNNNNNNNNNNNNNNNNNNNNNNNNNNNNNNNNNNNNNNNNNNNNNNNNNNNNNNNNNNNNNNNNNNNNNNNNNNNNNNNNNNNNNNNNNNNNNNNNNNNNNNNNNNNNNNNNNNNNNNNNNNNNNNNNNNNNNNNNNNNNNNNNNNNNNNNNNNNNNNNNNNNNNNNNNNNNNNNNNNNNNNNNNNNNNNNNNNNNNNNNNNNNNNNNNNNNNNNNNNNNNNNNNNNNNNNNNNNNNNNNNNNNNNNNNNNNNNNNNNNNNNNNNNNNNNNNNNNNNNNNNNNNNNNNNNNNNNNNNNNNNNNNNNNNNNNNNNNNNNNNNNNNNNNNNNNNNNNNNNNNNNNNNNNNNNNNNNNNNNNNNNNNNNNNNNNNNNNNNNNNNNNNNNNNNNNNNNNNNNNNNNNNNNNNNNNNNNNNNNNNNNNNNNNNNNNNNNNNNNNNNNNNNNNNNNNNNNNNNNNNNNNNNNNNNNNNNNNNNNNNNNNNNNNNNNNNNNNNNNNNNNNNNNNNNNNNNNNNNNNNNNNNNNNNNNNNNNNNNNNNNNNNNNNNNNNNNNNNNNNNNNNNNNNNNNNNNNNNNNNNNNNNNNNNNNNNNNNNNNNNNNNNNNNNNNNNNNNNNNNNNNNNNNNNNNNNNNNNNNNNNNNNNNNNNNNNNNNNNNNNNNNNNNNNNNNNNNNNNNNNNNNNNNNNNNNNNNNNNNNNNNNNNNNNNNNNNNNNNNNNNNNNNNNNNNNNNNNNNNNNNNNNNNNNNNNNNNNNNNNNNNNNNNNNNNNNNNNNNNNNNNNNNNNNNNNNNNNNNNNNNNNNNNNNNNNNNNNNNNNNNNNNNNNNNNNNNNNNNNNNNNNNNNNNNNNNNNNNNNNNNNNNNNNNNNNNNNNNNNNNNNNNNNNNNNNNNNNNNNNNNNNNNNNNNNNNNNNNNNNNNNNNNNNNNNNNNNNNNNNNNNNNNNNNNNNNNNNNNNNNNNNNNNNNNNNNNNNNNNNNNNNNNNNNNNNNNNNNNNNNNNNNNNNNNNNNNNNNNNNNNNNNNNNNNNNNNNNNNNNNNNNNNNNNNNNNNNNNNNNNNNNNNNNNNNNNNNNNNNNNNNNNNNNNNNNNNNNNNNNNNNNNNNNNNNNNNNNNNNNNNNNNNNNNNNNNNCAAUUAUAAUUUUCAUUAAAUUACCUAUGAUAAACCGGUUUUACAAAACUACCCCUUAUAGAACCACCAUGAAACCACAUUAUUUAGAAUGGGUAAAGAAGUAAACUUACAAAUAACAAAAAACAAUCAUUAUAUGAUUUAUAUCUCUCCCUUUUCUCAGAAACAAAAAUGAACAAAAGAAAGGAUUUUUUUCUUUUUCUUUCUGAAACAACACAGAAAAAAAAAAAGUGAUAAACCUAAAAAAAAAAAGAAUCACAGCCGCAGACAACACUCGCAGAGAAUAGGGAUAGAUUCAUAGAUCUCUUUUGAAAACUUUCCCAGCAGAGGGUCUCCAACUUUUACACACCCAAGAAAGGAUUUCUUCUACACAACCCUCUGCAAUACACUAAAUUAGUCCAGUCGGGGUUUCAUUAUGCUUUAGUAAGGGGGAAACCUGGGUUUAGCAAUCCAGGUCGCAGACGCACCCCAGGCAUCACUAUUCCAAUCGAAUUGCGACUCUAGAUACAACGAAUCUCCGCCGUGUAUGUACUUCCGAUAGCCGCCGUCGUCGGCGGUCUUGACAGGCGAACAAAUCGCGACUCCACAACCUUUUUCAAGCUCAAAAUCCUCCUCCUCUACGAAUCAUACCCUUUUGAUUUUCAUUUUUCCCCUAAACCCAGAUAACUCAUCUAGCCUCUGCAUAUUUUACUUAAGCAGGGUAGAUUUGAUCGGUUGAAUUGUUGACUAUUAACAUUUAGGGCUAAUUACAUAAAAGUCCACUUGGAGACAUUUUCUCCUAUAUAGGUCCACCUAAACAUUUUCUCCUAUAUAGGUCCACCUAAACAUUUUUAUUCAUAUAAGUCCACCCAAGCCUAAAUAGAGUCUUAUCUUAGGUAUUAAAGUUCAACAAAAUUACAGAAUACCAUCCAACCAAAAAAAUUAGAUUUUCUCUUUUAUAUUUACAAAAAUGUCACUAAUGUAAAAAGUCAACAACCACAAAUGAUCUCCGGUUGACCUCAGACAAGGUCUCCGGCCGACCUCCGGCAAACUUUCCGGCCGACCUCCGGCGAACUUCCGGCCGACCAUCUAUGAGGAUUCUAGUGACCACAAAAGCUACUACCAGUGACAACAAAAGAUACUACUGCCGACAAAGAAAGUUACUACCACUGACAACAAAAGAUACUACCGAUAGCAAAAAAAAACUACUGCCACCAGCAACCAGCAAAGAAAUCUACUACCGAUAGCAACAAAAACUACUACUACCAGCAAAGAAAACUACUACCACCGACAAAGAAAGCUACAACCACUGACAACAAAAAAUACUACUGCCACCAGCAAAGAAAUCUACUACCGAUAGCAACAAAAGCUAUUACCACCAGCAAAGAAAGCUACUACCACUGACAACAAAAUAUACUAUUGAUACAAAAACUACUGCCGCCAGCAAAGAAAACUACUACCACUGACAACAAAAGAUACUACCGAUAGCAAAAAAAGCUACUGCCACCAACAAAGAAAGCUACUACCAAUAGCAACAACAACUACUACAGAUAGCAACAAAAACUACUACCGAUAGCAACAAAAGCUACUAAGACCAGCAAAGAAAGCUACUACCACUGACAACAAAAGAUACUACCGACAACAAUAAAAGCUACUGUCACCAGCAAAGAAAGCUACUACUACCACUGACAACAAAAGAUACUACUGUGUCAGUGAGCUGUGACUUGGUUGGUUAAGGUGUUUAACUGACAACUUUGAGGUCAUGGGUUCAAACCUCACGACAUAUGUAGAGUGUGUGAGUUUAUUAAUAAAUUUAAAAAAAAAAAAAACAAAGAUACUACUGUCAGUAACAAAAGCUACUACCACCAGCAAAAAAAAAUACUACCACCAGCAACAAAACUACUACGAUGAGAUUUCUGACAAUAUCCGGCAAGGUCACAAAAGAUACUAUCGCUAGCAACAAAAGUUACUACUAAGCAUCACAAAAACUACUAUUACCAGCAACGAAAACUACUACCAAGCAGGAAAAAAAACUACUACCAAGCAGAUGAAAAACUACUACCAAGUAUAACAAAAGUUAUGAAAGCUACUUUUAGAGACCUACAAAACUAUGAAAUGUAAACGAUACGACUAAUAAAAAUGUUAUUGCAAUCGAGAGAAUAUAAUAAAUUCCAUGGUACAAAAAAUAUGAAGCCUUCUACAUUGAUAUGGUCAUGUACAAAGAUUACAUAAAACUACUACUGUAGUUCCAGAAGUCUACUACAAUAGUUUUAUAAAGCUACUAUCAGUUUUCUAUGGAUGAUACUCGACACUCAUAGGCAUACUUUUUCCACCUUGAGCAUGAUUUUCUUGGUUGGCCCACUGAUCUCUAUGGAAGCUCUGAUUCCCAAACUCACAUGAUUUUCGUAAUCUAUUACGGCUAUGAUAAGGGAAGAAUUCUGCAAGAAUAAAGAUGCAACAAAAUAUUAGUAUUAAAAUGGAAAUAGUAGCUUUUGACAUCAUGUUGAAAAGAUACUAGCAUAGAGUUAGAAUGCUACUAUCACUAUGGUUAAAAGAUACUAUCAUACAAUGGAUAAGCUAUUGAUAUCGUAUUGAAAAGAUACUAACACAAACAUAAAAAGAUACUACCAGUGUAUUGAAAAUAUACUGACACAUACAUAAAAAGAUAUUAUCAGAGUGCCGAAAAGAUACUACCACAGACAUAGAAAGAUAUUAUUACUAUGUUGAAAAUAUACUAACACAGACAUAGAAAAAUACUAUCACUAUGUUGAAAAUAUAUUAACACAGACAUAAUAAGAAUGUAUGAUAUUGUAGGCAAAUCAUUCCUUAAUUGAAGAAUAAGCUCGAUCAGAGAAGCUAAUAUUCAUAUAUACGCACAGUAAUGCACUUGUGUGCAUUAGACUACAUGUGUGGGUUCAUCUGAAGCAUAAGUACGAUUAACUAGUCAAAUCUACAAUAAGACAACAACUAAUAACAUUCAAUUUCGCAAUCAACUAUAAUAUACAAGUUUCUAGUCAUUAUCGAUUCACCGAUAUCAUCUAUUAUGAAUCACAUUAUCUAAAAAGUUAUUGGAUCUUAUGCACACAGGUCCAUAAACAGAUUUAUAGCACUAAUAACAUUCAAUUGCGCAAGCAACUUUAAAAUUCAAGUUUCUAUUCAUAACUGAUCCACAAACCACACAAAUCUACACAAAAUCCGAACCAAAUGCAAGCCAAAUCACAGAUCUAAACAACGAUCAAUAAUCGCAGCACAAGAGUUACGGAUCUGAUGAGAAACGAAAGAAAGCGAAGACGAAUAAGAGAUCAGAAACCAUACCUAGAUACCAUGCUCAAGGCGAUAACGCUCCCACCAGGCAUUCUCGACCUCAAGGUCAUCUAGGCGUCUUCGAUGGAGCACAUGAGGCACAGGCGCUUUUGCUUAAAGAUGUAGGAGGCGACGCGGCGGGAAGAUAUGGUGGCCGGAGGAUGAUCGACGGCGACGACAACGUCAGAAUCGGAAUCGGAAUCGGAGGUCGAAGAGUUGAGAGACAGAGAGAGAGAGACGUUCCAAAUGUCGUUUUGGUGGGGGUGAGAGACGACUGAUGGAUUUAAGAAAUAUAGACCCGAGGGCAUUUUAGGUAUAGUACACAAGUAACCUAUUGGAGUUGGGCCUUAAAGUGGACUUGAAUAGACAAAAAUACUAGGGUGGACUUAUGAAAGAGAAAAUGUUGAAAAGUGGACUUUUAUCAAAUUUUCUAUAACAUUUAUGUGUUUUUUACUGUAUUGACCACGUUUUUUUGUUUUUUUAAUCUUCUAACACUGUUAACAUUGGUGUUAGUGCCAUCUAAGGGGUCAGAUCAAAUAAACGGUUGAGAUUAAAUUAUCACACUUGGUACACUUGAACCUUGGUGCAUACAAGAACUUCCGCUACUAAACUGCCUUAUAACUUAAUUGUGAAAACUAAAAUUCAACUAAGAACCAUCAUUGAAGUUUUGUCGGAGAUUCAAGCCUACUUAAUUUAAAUUAAAAGCAUGCAUAUUCAAAACUCCAAAAUAUGAUUAGUUUGGAGUUGGGAAUUAUCUAUGAAAGUCAAGAGCACUCGUGACUACUUCACGGUUUGAACAUUAUGAGCUACCAAAUUAGAAACACAAAAUCAAUGGAUUGAUUAGUGGAGAUUAAUCAGAUGAAUGUGAGACUCUAAUUGGUCUUUCUAAUUAAAAAUGAGUAAAUCAAGGGACUAAUUUGUCGGAGACUCAUCAUCACCUCUAACUGACAAACUGAAAUUCACCAAUUGAUGAGGUUUAUACGGACACAAACGAUCAUUAAUCUAACAGAAAUUGAUCGAGUUCACUUCAUCUAAAGUGUGCUUAAAUUAGUCAAUACCGCAUGGCGCAUGUAACCGAGUAUAAGUAAUUUGUUGAUAUUUGAUAUAAAACUUUAUUUAUGUGACUUUUUUUUAUCAUGUAAAUAACUUAAAUAUUACUAUUUCGUGAGUCAAACUCAUGACCUCCUAUUUAUUAAGAGAGACUAUACCGUUAGACACGGGGCAUUUCUUUGUUUUACGCAUGAUUUUUUUACACAUUUAACAAGCACUUUAUUUUAUGUCGAUAAGAUAAUAGACACGAUAACAUGUGACAUUGUUUAACAAGAUUGACAUGUAAUACAUGUCGUGAUAUGAUCAUUGUUGAAACUUUCCUAUGUUCAUAUACAUAACUUUCAAGAAGAUUCAUGAAGUAGCAGUCCAUCAUUGAAACUUUUGGUUUAAACGAUGAUGUCAUUUCCACAUAACAGAAAGACCCCCAACACACCAAUAAUCAAGCUUUCAGAAACAUGGAGGAACACAGACUGGCCCUCCGCGGACCCCAAAAAUUGGCAACACCUCUUCAAUUUGGGAGGGGACCUUGUGAUUGAUUCUGGUUUCUGAAUCACAAAUUUCUUUUCAAAAGUAGAAGAAGAUGUAUAUAUAACACUAAGCUAGAAAAGGAAGAAAGAGUUGAUCGAGUUUGCCUUGACUGAGAGUUUUCUUUGUACAUAACGUAAAAUGUAGUAUAAUUUUUACGGCAGUAUCACAUGCAUAUGGACUAUAUAUCCAAGUAUAAGGACAAUACGACAUUCAAUGUGAUAAGAUGAUAUGGUGGUCAAUUUUGUUACCCAUAAAAAGUUCCAAGUAAUAAGCCAUGCAUGCAUGUGAAUCGGUUUGUAAUUGUAUAUAUGCAUAUACAAAUUAAGUGUGCAUAUUAUACAUCUAUUUCUUUUGGUUGCACGUAUGAAGUUAGCAAGAAAAUCAGAGAUCUAUCUCUAUUUUUUUUUUCCUAUGAUGUUGAAAAGAAAAUGAUCUCCCUCAUCUCCGUCCUUGCGUAGAAACUUCAUAGACCGAUAUAUUUCUCUACAUCCAUAGAGUCUUUGGUACAUAUAUGACAUGUAAAUACACGAAACCAUGUUGAUAAUUAAGAUUUAUGACAAGUACAUAGCGAUUUGAAUAUAUAACAAGUUAAGAUUGUUUCAUGUGCUUUCACGUCGUGCAUACAAGAAUUUCAAAUAAACGAAAUAGAAGAAUGGUUGAAGUUGUGCAAUCUAGCACUACAACUGUAGACUCGAAAAUGGAUUGGGAAAUAUCUUGUCUCUAAUAAGAAGGUGAAAGAUACCCAGAUGGCCCUGAACACUAUAUUAUUGGAAUCGAUCCCAAAUAUAAUUUCGUUGGUGGGUGCCCAAAACGAUCGUAGUUAGAGAUCUUGCUGGUUGUUGGCUAAAACUGAACUUGGCUAGCCCUAUGGCAAAUGCAGCAAGCUGAUAUCAGAUGCAUGAUCGAAACACAUGCAACAUAACUCACCAGAGAAAACAUCUGUAUCAGAGAGAGAGAGAGAGACUCAGAGAGAGACGGGUGGAGGGGUCGGUGGAGAGACAAAGAGGGGGGUCGCCCAGAGGUCCGGCCAGCGUGAUAAUCUCACGUGACGGUGCUCGACAAAGGCCAUGGAAAUUAAUUUGAUAAGCAUUGCCGGUUUUAGAAACCCUAGUUAGCUCCGAUCCCCACCUCUGAUGUAAUCCAGCGCCACUUGGCAUGUCGUGAUUAUUGUCAGGGAAAUGGCAUGUGACGCCUGAGCUGGUCGGAGCAAGGGCUUUGACAUAUUAUACUAUUGCCAUCACGUAGUUGUGUCCCAAAUUCACAAGAAGAGAAGAAACAAUGGUACAAAUUAAUAACAUGGGCGGAUCAAAUUCAAGGUGAUCUGAUUGUGUCGGGAUUUGCUAGCUAGCUAGCUAGCUUGUUGCUAAAUCCAAAUUGAAAUGUUUAAUCUAAAUUAACUUGUGUGAGAAACACUAGCCAGCUAGUGUGAUUCAUAUUGAAGUUUUUUAGAAGGAGAUUCAUAUGCGUAUGGUUAUGAAAGGAAUCAUGCGCAUGCACGUAAGUACAAGCGAAAACCAAAACCGUUCAUGUUUAAUCUUUGUUCUAGGUUAAAGAAAUUCAAGCAAAUUUCUAAUUCUCAAACGUUUUGAACAUAAUCACAAGCGAUGCUAAACCAAAAAGCAAAUCACAUAUACAUCCUCCAAAAUGAUUUGAAACACAAAUAAAUUCACUUGUGUUGUUGUUAAACAAAUAAGGACAAUUUUUAACAAUUAAGGACAAUCUUUCUUUGCAUAUGUUAUGGUUUAAUUUACCAAAUUAACCCUACACUAAUUAAAUAUGUUUUUAGAAGAGUAAAGUCUCUCAUUUUGAGAUUUUUCAGGAAAUGGAAUACAGUAUCAAGUUUUUAAUAACUUAGUGUAGUAUUAAAUAUGUUUUUAGAAAAGUAAAGUCUCUCUUUUUGAGAUUUUUCAGUAAAUGAAAUACAGUAUCAGGUUUUUAAUAACUUAGUGUAGUAGCAAUUAAUUCUAGUAGAAGUAGUAGCAGGGGUUAAUAUUCCAAUAGAAGUAGUAGUAGGGGUUAACAUCCCAGUAGUAACACAAAUAUGCUUCUGCAAUCAUCUAGCUAGUUCUGCUACUGCUUGAAGACUAGACAAUGAAGGUUAACUCUGCUACUGUCUUAUCCUCCACUUCUACUACUGCAUUAUCCUUCACUUCUGCUACUGCCUUCUCUUGCUCCAGACUGAAAGGCUUUACACUAUUGCUCCCGACCCAAAGGCUCUGCUGCUGUCUACUAGAAUGCUUUGCUACUGUUGCCGAUUAUUAGGAAGCUAUUACUGUUACUGUUACUGUUACUGUUACUACUGAUGCUACUGCUUACUAAAACGUACUGCUACUGUCUGCUACGGUUAACCACAGAGCUGCUACUACAGACUAAGAUCCAAAUCUACUUUCCUCCCUGAUCUUUCUUAGUUUACUUCAACAACAGAUUAACACCACCAAACCACCUCCAGUAGAAAUAACUUCAUUCCUUCACACAUUAAUUAACCAUACAACCAUAUCAUGCACCCAAAUGAAUUCAAUUAUAAUUUCCAUCAACAAUUAUAAAACCAAACUGAAAAUGAACAUCCACUUGUAGAUCUAUCCCUGCAAUCAUUGACAUCCACAACCUCCAUAACGUCGUCGUAACUGAGAUCUACAAGCAGCACGCCUAUGUCACCCAAGGCUCGAUCAAGCAUGGAUAACUCGAAGCAUUCGAGGGCGACAAUUCAUGGCCUUUGAAGUGGUUGAUCUUCUUGAGAAAAUGCGAUCCGCCGCACCAAAUCAGUGCAGAAGCUCCGAUUUGCGAUGGUCGUCGCCGGCGGCAACUCCGUCGAAGGCAUAUGGAAGAGGAGAGUAGAGAAGAGGCAAGCCAUUGAUUCUGAUUCCGAGCUUUCGAAUCAAAACCAUAGCUUAGAAUUAGAGAGAGAGAGAGAGAGAGAGAGAGAGAGAGAGAAUCAUAUCAGGAGGAAGAGAGAAGGAAGGGUGUGGCAUAUCACUUAAUUUUGUUGAAAAACUAAGCAUUUUGGUAAUUUUCUACUUGAAAUCCAGGUCAUCUAUGUUCCUAUCUGUUAUUGGGUUUGAGUUUAUGUCCUUAUUUGUUUAAAUCUUUUAAAAUGUGAUUUUCUGUUUUUUGCAACUGUUUAGGGUAGUAAGAUGCCAUUUUCUAAAAAGCAAAUCCGAUUUGAUCCUAAUCCCAAACCAAGAGUACCUCUUUUUUACGACAAAAGAGUAAACAUGCACCAUUUGGAAAUCCAAUUGAAGAUACCAAUCCUUCAACUUAAGUUUUUUUGUUUUUGUUUUUUGUUUUUUUUAAGACCUUCCUAUAAAGAACAAAUAUCGAUCAUACCAGAAUGUGAUGCCCUGGCCUGUUGUAAGCUCAGGUGUGAUGCUUGCAAAGUUGCAAGUAACCAAGAAGGUUCGAACCAUCGAGUUUUCUUAUUAAAUUGCAGAGAGUAAAUCUCUAACGGUAUGGUCAUUGUUUACAACAGAUCAGAAGAGUCAAAGGUGCUGAUAGCUUUCAAGACGAACUGUAUACGAUCACCUGUCAAGCAGACCUGUGGAUCUUUCGGUUUAAGAGCCAACCACCGCACGCCAAGUCAGAAUCUUCGAGAAAACUAACCAAGUCGUUCCCUCCAGCUGACUAACUGCCCUGAAACAUAGGAGUAGUUGUGGAAGCUAAAACGCACAGGGACAGGGGCGAGGGCUUCCGUGGCAAUCACCCAUUGGUGAGUAGUUUUCAGGGACUAUUGCUGUGCAAGUAGAGAGAGAGAGAGAGAGAGAGAGAGAGAGAGAGAGAGAGAGAGGGAGGGUGGCCUAGUCGUCUUCUCCCAAUUGCUUUCUCCAAUGCAGUUGUCCUCUUCACAUCCAACAUCGCUAUCUAUCUUAUUGUACGUUUUAUAUAUUAGCUCAGUGGUCCUUCGAGUCCUGGCUAAACCUCUUUAUAUCUCUCUUAUCACUGUCGUCCCCCCUCCCCUCCCCAUUCAUGCUCAUAUAUAUCUUACUCCCAUCUUACAUUUUUCUAAGACAAACUACCACUGCUACUACUCCUACUUCCUCUGCUUCUUCUUCUGCUCUUUCUUCCUCGGCCCCUUCUCUUCUAUCUCAGAACUUGCUUCUCUAGGUUUUUCUCCUCCUCCGGUACCGGUACUACUCUACUACGUACUAUAUAAUCUACUCUAGGUUGCUCAUAAGCUUUGGCAAACGCUAGGUUGAUAUAUAAACUAAGUAGCUAUAUCUAGCUGCUGAGCUGAUACAUAUAGAAGGAAUCAGUUUGUCUGGGAAACACAGUCCGAUCGAUCAUGUCUAGCAGAAGGUCAUCAAGGCAGUCAUCGGGAAGUACUCCAUCAAUCAAAGAUGACCAGAUCAUCGAGCUCGUCUCCAAGUUGCGCCAGCUGGUUCCUGAGAUUCGCGACAGGCGCUCCGAUAAGGUACGUUAAGCAUCGGUCUCUCUCUCUGUGAUUUUGCUAACUAACUAACUAACUCAGGCCGGCCGGCAGAAGAUAGAAAAUGGCCGGGAAAUUAUGACAGAUAUAUAGAUGUAGUUAAAUUGAAAACUAAUGCAGCUAAACUUGACCCGGAUAACAAGCGUAUGACUUGGAUAUAUAUUUCCGUAGCUGCUUCAAUUAAUUAUAGAUGGCUUCUCGAUGAAUUGACCCCCAUCUUUAGAUGCUAAACAAUGUCUCGUGGUUUGAGUUUGGACCUUGUCGUAAAAACUACUCCAUCAUGGUGGCGUAUAAGCCUAUAUUAUAUGUCUAUUCUACGUACGGCUUCAGUGUACGUAUCCGGGUGUCGUAUACAUACAUCAUUGAUACAUACACCUUCUGAUAAACGAAACAAGUUAAGGGUGGUUGUAGAGAGAUUGUUAUAACGUAGUCAAAAGCCAGAAGUUGUUGUUGUUUCAGCUUUGGUAAUGGGGAUGGGAUCUAAUAUAUUGUCGACUUUUUACUUGGUUGUGUUGCAGGUAUCAGCAUCCAAGGUCCUACAAGAGACCUGCAGCUACAUCAGAAACUUACACAGAGAAGUUGACGACUUGAGCGAGAGGCUGUCCCAACUGCUCGCUACAAUUGACGCUGAUAGCGCUGAGGCCGCCAUUAUUAGGAGCUUGAUUAUGCAGUAGAUCGACGUGUACUCUAUAACUCUAUAAAUAUCGUUAUUUUAGUUGAUUUAUAAAUAUCUAUAUAGUUGCACUACAUCUUUAUAUUACUUAAUUUCUAGGUUUCGAUCACCAUGAUCAUCAAGCACGGUUAAUUGAGCACUACUACGUACUCAUGUACGUACCCAAUCUUAGACAAAGAGCUCAUGUAAUGGAUCAAGUUUGUUUGAUUAAUAAAAAGGACUUGCACUAGCUAGCAAAUCCUAGCUAUUAUAUAGAGAAGACCAUGAUAUAUAUGUCUUUUUUGUUGUUGAACCCUAAUAUAUAUGUAGUCAAUUCAUACUUACGUGCAAAUCUUCUUCCUCUUUUUCAUCUCUUGUGUGUUUUCUUUGAAUUGGUUAUGAUUUUCAUGUGAAAGACCAAGUACUCCAUUGUACAUAUAUCCUUUACGUACUACCAAUCUGAGCUAAAUCCCAACAGGCAAUUUUCAUGUAAUAUAAUUAGUAACGAGCUGAUUAUCUACUUAAAUACAUGAUGAUCAAUCCCAUUCUCUUCUUGGCAAAGUGGCCAAAGACAAGAAGUCGUAAAAUGUCAGCACACCUGCCCACCAAACACUCACGUGAUAAUAAUUCAGUCGUUAUGUUAUUGUCGAUACACUAUUCUUAAAAUAUGCAGGGUGAUUCACAUUCAAAUUGCAAUGUGGCAAGUAAGUUGGUAACCACUAUACUAUUAUAACAACGAAAAUUAUACUAUUAUAACAACGAAAAUUGGCUUCAUGCAUCGAUCUCUGUUUAUCUUUAACGUACCUGAAUUUGUUGGCUACUAAUAAACUUUAUGGACUCUCGAGAAUAGAAGUCAAGCUCCUAAUUAGCACCGGUUAGCGAGUUUUGAAGGCAUAAGACAAACUCUAAGCGCUCACCGGUUUAAUUAGGAGUUUAACUUCACAGCUGAUUAGUUUCGUAACACGUAUAACAGUAGUUUAUAAAAAAUAAAUGUGAUUUCUAAUCGGUUGUUUAUUUGUUAUUUCUUGUUACCAAGUUGAAAUGCACAUGUGAUCUCCAAAAGAAUAUUAACUAAUUUAACAAUAUGUUUUCGCAUGGCCGGUCUUGCCCUAAUGCAGGUCGUGCGACAACACGGGGCCCAACAUCAAAGGGGGUCUAAAUUUUUUUGUUUUGUUUUGACAUAUAAUAAUAUAUAAUGAAUGAAGAAAAUGUAAUAAAACACAAUUAAAGUGGUUAUUUAAUUUCUAUCUUGUUGCUUAAUGCUUUUUAAUUUCCCUUUGGAUCAUUAAUUAUGUUCCGAAUGUCCUUUUUUAAUAUUUGCUCAUCCCCCCCCCCCCCUACAUAGUAUUUGUUCAAAUUUUUGAAUAAUCCUUGCAACCAUUAAUCAAACAUUUUGUUCUGCACCCAAAUCAUGUUGUUGAACUGAACGCGAAACACCUGGUGUCAUAAAAUGCAUUGUAUUUUUUUUUUUCUUCAGAUGUAUCAUGUAUUCUCUUCCCUCGGUUGUAUACUCAUGAGUUAACAUAUUAAUAAAAAAUAUAGGCGUGGAGAUAAGUCUUCUGGCAUUAUAUUUGGUUAGGUUCAAAACCUACGAAAAAAAAAAAGUUUACUUUAUGUUAGGGCCAUUCUUCUUCUUUUUUUCUCACAGAGCCUUAAAUCUUUCAGGACCGGCCCUGUGUUUUCGGUAAAUGUCUCUUUAGAACUUGUAUAAAUUGAAUUAAAAUGCAUACAAACAAUUAGUGUACGUCAUGUCUGUCUUAAUUUGGUAUGAGUAGUACUCUACGAGUCUGCAUCAAGCAAGGUCUCUCAUGGGUUUGUCGAUUAAUUUGUGCAAGAAAUUAAGAAACUUUUCGUGGAGUGAUGGUUGUUUUGGCUUAUUUUGAAACCAUACUUGUCAAAUUAUUAUAACGUGAGCACUUACAGUUGCUGAUAACUGACUGCUCCUUUGGCCACAUGCAUAAAUCAUAACCUCAUUCACCGCAUAUGUUCAUGCAGUACCGUCGAUUAUUAUGAAUCAUUUGCAUCCCCCAUCGUCCUGUAAUUUUCCAUUGCCAUGGACUUUUGCCAAACACCUUAUUUCUAUAUAUAGGUUAGCUAGGCCCCCGGACGGCCUAAUUUGCCGGAUUUCUGCCGUGCGCGAGGUAGGUACAUAAUGUCUCCGGUCAUAAUUGUUGUAAGUCGCGAGAUAUAUAGUUUGACAUGCAUCUUGUGAAUGUUAUAUUAGGGCAGAAUGUGUAUAGAAAGGUUUCAAAGAGGCUGUUAAGAAUAAGAUGAAAUGUUGUUUGAAUUGUAGCUGUGUAUAUGUACGAUUAUGCAAAAAGAAAAUCAUAUAUAGAUCGACAUAUGUCUAGCUAGCAACAUGAUUUUAAUCAAAGGUAUUAAUUAGCAAGUGCAUGCUAUCUUAUAAAAUUGAAACCAUGGAUCGAUCUAGAUCUCUCCUUCCAUUUCCUAUUCUAAUACGUGCUCUAGAAAACAUUUAUACGCCAAUGUGUUCAUGGCUGGCUGAGAUAGCUGUUACUUACGUUCAAUCGUUGCCUUGAAGUGCAUAAUCUGUUGAUGAGACUAGCAAUCAACUUUUUUGUCUGUUUCAAAAUGUCAUGGGGUUAAUAUAUGUAUAUAGUUAAAGAGAGGGUUAGUGGAGUAUAAUGAACCCUAAACAAGUCAAUAUAUAUAAUAAACCAUAAAAGAUAUACCUAAAUCUUUCAUGGGCAAGGAGCCAAUUUUGUACUAUAUGUAUCCACAGAUAAAUAAGUAUUAGCGAAAGUCACCCCUCGAUAACAGAUAUCUUUUUUUCAUUUCCUUCUUUUGUUUGCGGCAACAGUUUUCUAGACGAUCCGGCCUAAUAUUCAUACCAACAUUAACUCGGAGAUCGAUUACAAAUUACAACGAUCAAACUAGAACUUUACUACGUAGAUUUGUAGAUACUUAACUGGUAGAUCGAACUUCAGAAACCCAAAAGGCCAAAACCGUAUUCUGUAGAUACAUCAGUUGAUUAAUAAUCUCUUCCUGAUCGAUGUUUUAAGUUCUUCCUAAUAAGUUAAACACAACCAUCCAUGCAUGCAUCUGAAUGACUAAAUAUGUAUGGAACUGUAUGUUUAUUAACGAUGACAUCCCCUUAAAGAAGGAAACUGAUCGAUCAAACAGUACUGGAUCGGAAGGGAGUCGAAGAAAUAGGUUAUUAAAGAACAAAUUCAUCACCUCACUCGAUCUCUGGUCAAAGCAUCAGAAAGAAAAAUACGAGGCCGACAAUUCAAUCAAACCAAGGAGGGAUCUCGAAACUAUUGGCUAGCUGUUAUACAGCACAAGGUUUUGGCAUGGAAGAUCGAUGCAUGAAGCAAACCUGGCUCGAUCUCUCUCCCUGAUGAAUCGUACAUGAAGAUCAAACUAUACAAUAGAUAAGUUGUCAACGUUAUAAGAAUCAUUUGUGAGUCUCUCGAUGACAUAUUGCCUUGUAAAUACGCCACAUUAAUUCUAGUUAAAACAAAUUUCAAUGUUUAAUGAGUCGUCUGGUCGUCCCCAUUAGCAACAUAAUUAAACUAAUUAAGGACAAUCGCAGUUUUACAUGAGGUUUUGUUUGUUUGCUACCAAACAAAGUAAUGGAAACAGAAGGAAGUUUGGAUUAUACGUAAAAUUCCUCUUAAACUUAUCAUAUUUAAUCAAGUUAUAAUAAGAGGUAACUUUAAUCGAUCGACUACUGGCCAGCUAGCUUGACUGUAAUUUUCUCAGGGGUUAUGCAUACAGUUUUAAGUUAUCAAAUCAUAACAUAUAUAGGAAAUGACAGAUCAACAAAAGCAAGUAGAGAAAAUGUAGGUAAGCUCAUCGGGGUUAAUCCAGCCAAGGAGAACCAAUGCUAGUAAUUUUCUGCGAUCAAACUUCACUGACAUGCAUUCUCGCUCAUGUAUAGCUCAUUUUUCCAUCAGAUAUGAAUCUGUUUGCACUGAGUACGUAUAUAUCAUCAUUAUAUCAUCAGCAUGUUACCAGCUAGCUAGGGUUCUCAAUUAAGAGAUCAGAACACACAACGCGACCCUUUGUUAUCACUUAAUUCGUUCGUUUCUGAUGCAAUCCAUGAAUUAAAUGGAGCCUGUUUCACCGUUUACAAUAACCGAGAUGACUAUAUAAACCGAUCAAAUUAAGUAACAGUUUGCAACAUCCUUUUCUUGAAGAGGCCGGUAAAGAAGUAAAGCGAAACAACCCAGAUUAUUAAGGUAAGCUGAGCAAGCAUAUUCAGCUAUUUACAGAUUUAAAGAACAGAGAAAGAAAUUUACCAUCGGCCAUCGGUAAUACACCACUGUUAUCCAUAAUACAUCGAGCCUCACUUAAGUUGAAUGGCAAGAAGAAAGUUUAAAGUAUUUCCUUGGCAGAUUUAAAUUGUAUCCAUUAUCUCCCUUUCGGGUUUCGGCCAUGAGUGAUGAGUCCAUGACUUGAUGACUAUUGGCAUCUUUCCGCCUGCAUGCCUAAAAUUAUUGAAUAAGGAUCUUUUUGGUCGAAGAAUUGGGCUUCUUGAUUAAUAUUAAUCGAACGUAAUGAUCUGCUUCUCAUUUCGUUCCAAAACUCUAGCUGCCACCAUUAUACCCGACAUAGCUAGAAAGUAGUUGAGAUUAACCGGCCUUUAUGUAAAACCUUAGACCGGAGAGGGUUGAUUAUUUGACAUACGUAGAACACAAGAAUGAAAUUUAUGAGCGAUGGCAACAUUGAGCUUCUAAUGCUCAUAAUGAAGUUCUUUUGCAUGUACAUUGAUUGUACGGUAAUUCCAUGUAUAGUUUAGUAUUUUAGUAUAUCGACUUUAACAUUGAGUUAGGGUAUAUCUUUUUUCUUUUGAUUGUGAGUGAGAUAUAUAUAUGGUAAACUAGCUACAUCAGUUACGUUAACAAGUUAAUAAUACACUCAUCUAGUUGGUAUCAGACAUAUGUCCAUGAGAAUAUACCAACAUUAAGUGACGAUAUAUUUUUGAUUCAAACUUAAAUGAUUUCAUUCAUAUCAAGCUAGAGGUUACUGCAUGCAUAUAUCAUUCGAGUACUUGAUCAUGUAGAUAGAACAUAUAAGAACGAAGCCUGUCGCUCUUUUCAUAUGAUUUUGUUUACCUCUUGUAUACAUAUAUAAUCAAACUGAGAAAAUAGCUAGUAUAAAUUCAAUUAUACCAGUAUAUACUUUUUUUUUUGUUACAAAAAAUUUAGGUGAGAGCUUGGUUACGUUACACCACCAUUAUUAAGACAAAACUGCAAUCCUCAUUGUUAAUUUAUUACACAUUUACCUCUCUCACUCAUAUAACAACAUAACCAUAACGUAGACUGACCCCCACGUUUACCUCUAGGCUGAAGUGAUUCCAAAUCAGUCAUUGAUGCUGUCAACGACACUUCUCAACCCACUCCUCAAGCUGAUCCAGGAUAUUAAACCUUUGGCUUCAAACUUUAAGCACAUUCUUUCUCCCACAUCUUUAGAGACUAACUUCGUUGCCGAUAGGUUUAGUUUAGGAUACGAUAUUGCAACUGUUGUCGUUUGGGAGAAUAAAGAUCCACUCAAUGCUUUAAAGACACUACUUUUCGACAUUGUAAACUUAAGAUGUCCUCACGUCUCCCCGUUUAGAAAUUUUUUCUUAUAAAAGGAAAGAGAAGAAGACCGACACCAAAAAGGAAGGUACGAAAAAUAUUAAAAAUCUUCCAAAAUUGAUUGAAAAGCAUAGAAAGUGUUGAGCUUUUCAGUUCGGGACAAGUAGCGCCGACCCAUUUGGCACCUUUAUCUUAUCUCAGCUGAGAAACCAGAUUCCCCACCAAUCGGAUCGUACCCAACUCCGGCAGAGGCCCAAAACCGGAGUUCCUUGUGCUUCCAACGCCAUUAAAACCACGCUCCUUCGGCUUCUUCUCUCCGACCCUCAUCACGAUUCAAUCCCAGGUAUGCAGACUGUUACCAUUCCUCAAAUUCAUAAACUUUCAUUUCUGGGUUUUCAUAUUCAAGAAUCAUUAUCAGUUGUGGUGUCUAUUAUUGCUGAAUCUAAUGUUGUGUAAUCACAUGAUAAAGAUACAACCUUUCACUACAUGUUAGUAGCUUUCACUUUCUACUUUCUAGGGACCACAUGUUAUGGUGUUGUAGACUUGUAGACAAGAAGAUGAUGGGUUUGGCUUCUAUCUAUGUUGUGAUAAUCUUUCUUAUCCCUAUUAUUUGAGCAUGCCCUUGAUUCAAGUUGGAAUUUUGAUUGAUUGGGAAUGCAUUCAUUGAGGAAUUGUUAUGCAAUGAAAUGCCUUUGUAACACCAACUAAAAUGUCGUUGGUGAUUCUUAGAUUACCAAUUAGGCUUGUUGUGUAAGCUGGUUUUUGUUAUUCUUCAAUUUUCCAGGUCCAGUCAGUUGAGUUUGUAAGAGGGUUUGAGGAAAAUGUACCCUGGUGGUUACAGUGUUGAAGUUACGAGCUUAUCCCCUAAAGCCACAGAGAAGGAUGUUUACGAUUUCUUCAGUCACUGUGGUGCAGUUGAGCAUGUUGAAAUCAUGAGGUAGAAUUCAUCUGUCCCUGACUCUAAUUGCUGAAGUUGAUUCCUUUUUAUAUUUUUAUUUGAGUGACUCUGGGAGUUAACAUAGAUUAUACAUUUAUAUGUGUGUUUGUCCCCCAUAAACUCAUUGAAUUGGUCAGCAGCUGUUUGUUUACUGAAAAUUGUCAAAAGAAACUACCUUUUGCAAUGACUCUUUCACUUGUUAGAGCUUUGGAUAUGGUAUCAUUUUGUGCUUUGGCAUUUGCAAGUCAUCAUUUUGGCUCAGUCGUGAUACUGCUAUUUGUACUCCUAAUGGCAUUUCCCAUAGCCAGUAACCAUAAGAAUCAUAAUUUAUGAAUAACAGUAUUUCGUGUCAUUCUGCCAAUUUCCAUUCUGCAACUAACUACUGUCAAUAAAUAAUAACCUUGUCGCCACAAAUAUGAGCAUCUGUCAUGAGAAAUCUUCAACUGAGAAGACAAGGUCCAAAAGAUUGAAUGUGGAAACUCAUAAGUGUGUUUGAUCUUAAUGAUAGUGUAUCUGAUUGGGAUGAUGAUUUCAUUGUUGAUAAUAGGUCUGGUGAAUAUGCUUGUGCUGCAUAUGUGACAUUCAGAGACGCUUAUGCUCUUGAAACUGCUGUAUUGCUCAGUGUAAGUUGUUGGUUACUCUUAUCUGAAAAGGCUUCCUGGGUUGAAAAUUUGCUCUUUGAGCCUACACUAACCUGAGUUUUGGUCAAAAAAAACCUGAGUUUUGGUCACUUUCUAUCAUUACGAGAGAUACUAUAUGCGAUUAGCUGUAGAUAUCCAGAAUUAAUAGUUUAGAAUAUUGCAUAACUUUGGUUAUAAAAUGAGAUAUGCAUUUGGUAGGGGUAUCAAUAGGCAGCACAAGUUCUUAUGCAGUCCUUCUCCAUUUUUUCUUUCUAAUAUUGGGAAUAUGAUCUGAUGAGGAUGAAGGACGAUCCCUUCAUUCAUGAAUCAUAUAAUCCUCAUAGAAAUUCUUGUCUCUCAUUUUAAUUUGUAAUGAUUUGACUAUCAUCGGAUACUUGAAAUGGCUCCUCUGAGCUAAUUGGCCAAAUCCAAGGAUGAACUUUCACAUGUUGGUGCCUAGUGACCACUGAGUUUUUGUUAUCCCCUUGUUUAAAAUUUUCAGGGAUCCAGAAUUGUAGAUCAAUGUGUCUGCAUUGCACGCUGGGGUAACUAUGUUGAUGAAAUUGAUCCUUGGAACGGUCCUGCAUUCAACUCUGAAAACCACAGUAGCUCAACGGUAUGUGACAAACCCCUAUGAAUCGAAUUGGAUUCCUUGCAGGUUCAUACCAAAUUAAAUGCACAAUACAAGCUUAUCAUAAUUACUUCAUGUGAUUUGGAACUUAACUUGUUUGUUGCUUUAAUAUUUUCGCUGGUUAAAUUUUGUCUUGAAAUAUGUGGUGUUGAAGCUUAGAUUCCCGAUAAUAUACUAGCUUUUUAUCAGUUAAAUUACCUUUUCUAAUAUUAAUCCAGGCUUUUCACACAAGGCCAAUUCAUUUCUUAAAAUGCCAUUGUUCUACUAGCUUUUUAUCAGUUAAAUUACCCCUUCUUAAUAUUGUUCCAGGCCUUUCACACAAGCCAGUUCAUUUCAAGCCCUGGAGAGGCUGUAACUGUUGCUCAGGAAGUUGUCAAAACAAUGGUAGCCAAGGGAUAUGUUCUGGGACAAGAUGCAUUAAUCAAGGCAAAAGCUCUUGAUGAGUCCUAUCAAGUAUCGGCUACUGCAGCAGCCAAAGUUUAUGAGCUUAGCGAUCGAAUUGGGCUCACUGAGAGAAUUCAUGCAGGCAGGGAAGUUGUCAAGUCCCUAGACGAGAACUUCCAUGUUUCAGAGAUCACCAAAACAGCUGCAACUGCUACCGGAACAGCAGUAGUGGUAGCAGCAACAGUUACUGGGAGAGCAGCCUUAGCAGCAGGAAGCGCUGUAGUGAACAGCAGCUACUUUGCCAAGGGAUCUCUUUGGGUUUCGGACAUAUUGACUCGUGCAGGCAAAGCUGCAGCUGAUUUGGGCAGUCAUGACAGUAAAUAAGUAACACCAUUUCUCAAGUACGUUCAUCUGUAUCUGAAUUUCUUUACAAAAGAUCAAUAAUCUGCUAAAUGCCAGCCUAGUAUAUAGAAAUUGUCUCUCUAAAUCGUCUAUCUGAAUAUUUGUACAUCAAAAACAAUAUUGAAUUUAGUAAAAAACAGUGGUCGGUCUAAAUUGUAUUGAUCAUGAAUCAAAAGGACUUGUUCAACAUUCUUCCCAUGAUGAUCGGCAAAGAUGGUUGACUCUGUUACAGACUGUUUCUGAGAUUAAUAAGUCAACUUCUCUUCCAUCUCUGAACUCUCUCUAACACAGUAAAAUCUAAAGCUCUUGGUAAAUCAGAGUCAGAGAGAGACAGCAAGGUUGUGGUUACUUUCAAAAUUGAAGGAGUAGACUUCAAAAUUCUAUCAGCUUUCCCUCAACUACUUCCUAAUUAUUCUUAACAAUGCUACUCUCAUCUGCCAACCAAUCUUUAUAUAUCAUUCAGUAUUACAGCAGUCUUUACCUCCCAACGACCCCGUGAUUUUGAAUGUUGACAUUGUAUUCUUCUCUUGCAGUAUGUUGAUGCCCAAAUUCCGGACAAUAACAUCCGGAAAAGGACAACUACAAAAAAAGAAAAAACAUGAGAUUAUAGCGACUCAAAGUACAACUACUUGAUACAUUAUUAUGCACCUUUCUCCCUAACAACAUUGUUAAUGUUAUGAUUUAUUAUUUGAGGGUGACCUUUCUCUUCCCUUUUAGGGGUUUAUGCCUUACUUCAUGGCAUGGACAAGAAUCGACUAAUCAAAGGGUUUUGGCUUCUAAGAUCUUGAGCUUUAUGCUCCAUUAUGACAUUGAGUCCACAAAAGUACACAUGCAUACACGGACUAGUAAACAUGGCAAUGUAAGAGCUCCAUCAUUUGAAAUCAUAUAUUACAACCAGAAAGGCUUGAAUUUGGCUUCCCUUUUCACAAAUUGGGUAUCACUUUCCAGAGAACAAGCAUCAUAUUUAGCAAAGACGAAAGAUGGACUUCAACCCUUUUUCUUCUUCUUCGAUCUUCUUUUACAAAGACGAAAGAUCCCAGUGGAGGAGUGGACCCAAAUAGGCUGUUAGAUUAUGUCGUUUCCUCCCAAAGAAUUAAUGGAAAUGUUCCAAUUUUAUGGCAUUUUGUUUUCUACCAGAAGCAGUUGUUCACUACCCUCCUCUUCGUUUUGGGCACCAUUAAUACCCAAAUUGAACAACCGUAAUGAAAGGAUAUGAUUUGAUUAGAUGGAGAUGUGAUGGCCUAUUGUGGUUUUCUGGUGUUGAUUGUUAAGAGCAUAGAAUGAGAACUGUGAGCAGGUGAAGAUAUCUACAUUUCUGGCACUCAUUGCUUUGUAGUAUGCUGGUGUCCCUUGUUGGCAACUCCAUUUCUAUAUGGCACCAUCUCCUAAUAUAAUAUUCGUGCUGCAUAUAUCUUCGUUCGCCGUGCCCUGGAUUAUAUUUUAUUGAAGAAAAAGAUCGUGUAUUAAAAAUUUUAAAUUAAUAUAUAACGUGAGGAAUACUAACAACCUUCUCUUUGAUUUUUUUUCUUUAUGACAUACUUAAAAUUUUUCAAAUCUCGAAUCCUAACACCUUCUAAAUUGAUACACAAGACUUAAUAUUUUCAUUGUGUGAUUAUGACGAGACUCAACUAUUGAGACUGGUAGUUUUACGGCAUUAAGGGUUUUGUAUGCAACUUGGUUAUGAGUUUUAGGUGACUUCAAGCUUUUUUUGGGGGGGGGGGGGGGGGCGGUGGUCACACAUUUUGCUUUCACAACAAAGCCUUACCUAAAGACAACUCUUUAUUUGGUUGAGAUUUAGUUAUGGAGUGGAAUUGAAUAGCUUGGAGUCCCUUUUUAGGGGCUCAAAAUGUCAUGCCCAUUCAGAAGAUGAAGAGCAAUAUUCAUUAUUCAACCAUUGCUUUCUUUCUUACAUAGUUCUCCUAGCCUCUGUUUCUAGUAGCCUGAACCCUGAAGUCCAAAGACGGUGGAUUGACCAGGUCACUCAACUGAACUUUGAUUCACUCGCCGACUUUGACCUAGAUGAACAUUUCUAAUUUGCUUGUAAACUUUUGCAUCAACAUGUUUGAUGACCUUUCCCAUCUUUGAGAUGGUUGUUUCCAACUACCGUAUCAUCACGACAAUAGAAGUUGUAUAAACAAUUUCAUACUAAACUAACUUGUUUUCUUGUAUAGAAUAGAACAGUGUAGUAGUGUAACACUACACCAAACUGAAUUUUCAAUUGAAGCUUUCCUUAAUUUUAGAUGGAAGAUUGACAUAAACAAUAGGAUUAGGUGGUCCUAACAACCUUAAUUACUGGCUUAGAAUCAACUUCAAGUCAGAUAUCUGUUUCAUUAAUUAUAGUAGGAAAGUUUUCAAAUAUCUUUAAAAGAACAUAAUUCCGAAGCUACAAUGUUUGAUCGAUUUUAUAGACAGAGAGAUGUUAUUGACAAUACAAUAAGAUGAUACGUCCAGUACUAUUUUGUCUAAUGGUACGAGUCGAAAUCAUUCGGCUUUCAACUUUGAGGAUCGAUUAGCAUUAGGUCGUAGCCGACAAGUUUACUCUUGUAAUUCUCAUAUCCCAACUACUCAACAACAGAAAAGCAAGCUGAAUGCAGAACAAGAAGCUAGCAAGAUUGUGCAUUUCAUAUGUUUCUUUGAGUUCUUGUAAAGGAGAUACAAAUAUGCGAUACAAGCCUUUCUCAUUUGUUCUCUGGAAAAGAACAAAAGUAACAAAUUAUACAACUUUCAUGGCACUGUAGGUGUUGAGGAACCUGCUUGAAACAUUAUUCAUUGUUAUCCCUAAUGCAGUUCCUUUUUUUUCUCAUCCAUUUCUUAUGAAACGUAACAUAACUCUUUUCUGUACAAGUACAAGAAUCAACUCACCAAAGAUGGAAAACCCAAAAGAAAAAGAAGCACCAAAAAGAGUGUCAAAACUAAUUAAGUACCUGGUUUUAGGCCAUAGAAAGAACAUUAAUAGCAACAAAUGGGGCAACGUGUUAGGCCAUUUUCAUUACAAUCUGGGCAUCGUUGGAAUCCACACUCACCCUCCAUUGCUUCUUCUUCCUCUUGGCCCUCAAGUUCUUCGUCUGGAUCAUGAUCAUCUUCAUAGUAAAUUUUACAGCUACCGGAACAUGUCUCACAUGGCACAAACCUUAUAUCCCCACAAGCCUCACAAACUCCACCACCAUCUCCACCAACAUCAUUCAACUUCUCACAAGAUUCAAGCAACUUCUCGAGCUUCCCAUCUUCGUGCAUUUGCCGAAUCUCUUCAGCUCCACCAAUGUAUUUCUCCCCCACAAACACUUUAGGCAAAGAAAUUCCACCACACCCACCUUUCACUAGCUCUUUCAGCUCCUCCUUGAAUCCUGAAUGCAUCGAAACAUCUCGCUCAUCAACUCGAACACCUAUGCCUUUUAGAAUCACUCUCACAUGGCAACAAUCCUCGUAAGUCUUGCGCACCCCUCUAAGACUAGUGAAGUACAACACCACUUUCUCUAUAUCCUUUGCCUUACCAUAAGGCACUUGACAAUUGAAAUCCGAAAUGACACAAGAUUUUUCAUCAGAGAAAUGAAAAGAAUCAUCCUCCUGAAGCUCAUCUUCUUUAUCCUUGAAAUCAUCCUCAUCGAGCUCUUCUUUUCUAUGAUCAAAAUGAAAGGAGAUAUCCUCAUUGGGCUCCUCUCCAUCUUGAAAAUGAAAUGGAUCAUCUUUCUUGAGCUCUUUGAAAGACUUUCUAAAUCCGGAAAUGACCUCCGGAUCAAAAUCGGGAAUCCCAGCAUUGGAAGAAUUCAAAUUAUUCUCGUAAUCAGCCAAUUGAAGCCACAUAGGCUUAGGAGAGGCAGCACCAUUUUCUUGGAACCUUGACUUGGGACGAUCAACACAACCUGUAACGGGAACAGGACAUGGACUUUUAAUAACGUCAAAAGAAAAGCUCCGAAGAUGAUGACCUGAAUUCCUCAGGGGACUUAUAUCUUCAAGACCCUCCAUCAACUCCCAAGCAUCGAUCAUCUCCGGCUCUCCCGGCGGCGUUCUCGUCGGCGUUUUCGGUAUAAUCUUGGGAAUCUUCUGGUUGAUCAUUUUGGACCACGUCUUAGCCUCAAUUAAUCCCAUCGAAAAAUCCUUAUUGUUUUCAUUCACAUUCACAUUCUCGUUCUCCUUCUCCAUCACCUUGUGGAUAUGAUCCUUAUUGUCGUUGACAAUUGUCUUGAACUCGUACUCGAUCUUAUUGUUGCUGAGAGAUCCCAAGGUGGAGGAGGUGAGCGCAACGACAUGGUAGCUAUCGCCUCUGUUCUGAGGUGGAUGAUGAACAUGCAUUGAGUAGCUCCGCCGCGUGACCGGAGAAGAAUAGUUGUUGUGGCAGUGGCGGCACCGCGGAGACUUCUUCGAGCUUGCGCAACCCAUCACCAACAAAACACCACUCACAAAAACAGAGCAAGACCCUGAGACUGGUAGUUCUUUAUAUGGAAGCUAGAGAAUGGAUUUGGAUGAGAUGAUGCACUGAAAUUCCGGGAUUUGGGAUUUUAAGAAAUGGGAUUAGGAAUCCUGUGUGAUUGUUCUUGGAUCUUCAUCAUGCAUUUAUUUUGGACAGACAGGGAUGGAGACAGGCACAGGGAUAUAAAUAUGAAGAAGAAGAAUGUGGAAACUCACAAAUUUAUGAAACUGUGAAAACCCUUUUGCAGGAUUGGCCUUUAACGGUUAACCACCUCAACCAGCACCAAUCUGCAAAUAUUUGGGGUGGGAUUUUCAGAAGGGUUCGAAUUGUUGAGAUUGAAAUCCCGUGAACUUUUUGAUGGAAAUUCUUCAGAAAGUUUUUUAGAACAUAAAAGUCAGAGAAUGAGGGCGAAGACCAUUGAGUUGUUGGUUCCCACCUUUGAUGAGCGAUCCUUCUUCCCACCGUCUCUCUAGAAAAGAAAGAAAAAAGGAAAAAACUGCAAUGGGGUAGAAGCAGGAAAACCCAAAUUGCUUUUCAAGAAUGUGUCAAUAUAUAUGUGCUUACAUGAUGAAUGACAUGGUCUCUGCAUCUUUUUCAUAAACUAAUGAAAUAGUAGCUCAACUUUUACUAUUAUAAUAAAAUGAAAGAAAAUUACUAAAACAACAACAACAACAAAAAAUUGGUUUUUGAGAAAACUAUUAUAUGGGUUCAUGCAUAAUCCCUCUCUCGGUUGCAAUGUAGAUUAUCGUUAAUCCUACCAAAAUUAGAAAGUGAAGAAAGUAGUUAUUAUAACUUUAGUUUUAUCAUACAAAAAAUUUUGGCUUGCAAAUCACGUGAGAACAAGAUGUAUAUAAGUAUAUACGUCAUUGAGUUGUGACUUCGUUAAUUAGUUGGUUAGGUACUGUUUGGUUGGUUAGGUAGCCUAACCAACAAUGUUGAGAUUAUGGAUUCAAACUUUACCGACGUAUAUAGGGUGCGUGAGUUUAUAAUAAAAAGUAUACAUAUGGUUUGAUUUGACACUUUUUUGUAUAAAUAAUCAAAAAAAGAAAAAUACAUGAUGUCUAUGAUGAACAGUUUUAAUUUUUCGAUAAUUAAGCUGGUGUACAUAUGAAACAGCUGUAAUUACUUCCUUAAAGAGCAGAUUGUGUAUGUGAUCUCAAUUAAUUUGAGGUUGAACAGACAAUCUUGGUCCAUUAGAUUAUUUCAAUCAAAAGCUACUCAUUUCAAAAAUUAAGAUGAAAAUCAGGAGAAAUUUAUUAUUCCUUGAAUGGCUCAAGAAGAAGAAGAGAGUCCAAUAUAUAGUAGGACCGUAGUCCGUAGGGGACGAAUGUCUAAUACAUGAUGCCGUGACGGCCGAAACAGGGCACCAAUCGCUGCUUGACUCGAGUGAAGACCGUCACGUGAUUUUAGGGACUGUGGUUCCCGUGUUCGUGUUCUUGUAAUUUUGCCUCCAGAUUAGAGCGUGAUUGGUCAACAUACCUGAGGCGCGUGGGGUCAGGGUUGAAGUUUAGGGAUUAGAUUACUGAUUUAAGUAUCGAGGGUUUAGGGUUAAUUAAACUAAAUGAUAAUCUCUCCGGGACGGCGUUUAAACAUAACUGAUCAGUUAAUUUCGUCUUUGCUCUCCUAGGAGAUUCUAAUCACAUCCCCGUUUCAGAUGGUUUUUUUUUUCUUUCUAAAUCUCUCCUAGAUUUCUCUUCUUCUUUUCUUAUUUCGACCAUCAACCGAUGUCGUUAUCUCACCUUAUCGAAAUCUAUUAACAUUACUUAUAAACAUUAGACGAUUGAUUCUUCGAUGGAUGUAAGAGGUGAUACUAUCGCACCAUACAAAAUAAAUAAACAAAUGAAUAUAAUAGACUUGACAUUGUUCCACUUGCUACAAUUCUUAUAUAUUCACACUUAAAUCAACUUUUUAUUUUGUAAUACUAGCUAUAAGCCUAUAACGAGGGAUAUGAAUCUUGAUUUUUCUUUUUUUAAAAUAGGAUUCGGACUAUAUACAUCGUUGAAGUGUUGACCUUGUAGCCUUGUAGGAGAAAGAAUACAUCCCCAUGUUAACUGUUUGUUUGUUAAUUUUUGAAUUUCUUUAAUGGUACGGUACCGUUUGGACGUUAAAAUUAUGAAAUAUGUAAGAACUUAAAAAUGAUAAAAUCAUUCGUUGCAUCAAUUCAAAUUCUAUUUAUUGUGAUUCUAUCUUUCUUUUGGUUGUGUCUAUGUAAAAAUUUGAAGUGUUUAGGGCGAAUAGAUAAUGCAUCUUGCUAAAGUUACUCCUUUUUUCCAGCAAUCAGAAGCUUAAAAAUUAUUAAACCAUAAUGCAUGAUAUCUGUGAAUUGCUGUAAGAUUAUCUGAAAGCUAGACCCUGAGUUUUACAGCCAGGACAAUUCAUGGGGAUUGGAAUUCGAAUGAUUACUGAGGGCAGUGAUGAUUUAGCCUCAUCCACGUGACGGCACGUGGACUCUUCUUCUUCUUCACAGUUACCCAACACCACCAUGAAAGCAAACACACACACUUGAUUAUUGCUGCUGCAAAUAAUCGAUUAUGCUUCGAACUUAAAACCCAAUGAAAGGUUUUAGGUACACAACUACACAUACAGAUACAGAUUAGAGAAGCCAAGAAUGAAAUGAAUAUUUACACCUAAUCCUGAUGCUUACGAACUACCAUAUUCAAUUUACGUGCAUCCCACUCCCUCUCUUAUUCUAUCUGCUUAAACCCUAGAAAAACCCUAAUGCAUGGCUGCAGAAAUCAACGAUUAAACUAAGUCGAGCUGACCACGUUUUGUGGGUUUCAGAAAUGGGUGGCUUUCUUGGAUGGAAUGUUUGUCUGCGUUGUGCUUCUCCUCCCUCAGUUUGGGGCAUUCUUCAUGGCUUCCACUAACCCCAUUAAGUAAAUAAGCCAUUGCUUAAUAAACUAUUUUAGGCAAGUCAGAGUCGGAUCCAACGGUGGAGGCUCUCUAGUGGAUGUCUAAUUUUUUGAGAUGGUGUUUCAAACUGCAUUACUAUAUGUUUAUUCAUAGAAUGUUGCAUGUCCAUCCAUCGAUCCAUUGUUAAAUUAAGUGUUCAUUCGAUUCAUCUAAUCCUAGCUAAUCCCUCCCUUGAAUCUACUCGUCAACAUGUUGCAUCUUAUGUUUUAUAGCUCAUGUGGAGGAUGUUUGAUUGACCGAUCCACCUCCUUAGUUAAGUUUGAGCGAGAUGUAGCUAUCUCCGUAUGAAAUUUCUGUUUCGAUAGUCGAGUAAAUGUUUGCGCCUUUUUUUGUAUUUGUAUGCAUUUUUUAGCAUUAAAGCUAUAUUAGUUAAUUAAUAAAUAGUACGUUGGUCCAAUAAAGAUCUAUAACAAUAAAGAUAGAUAGUCUUUUUUUUUUUUUCCAUAAAGAGAGAAGGUAAGAGUAAGACAAUAGUUUAGGAUCAAUAGAAGUGGAAGCUUCAAAAAUUCCUUCUAAAAGGGCGGAAAGCUUCCUGUCGGUCAGAUGUCGGAGAGGUUGAUCGGAGGAGAAAAUUUAUUUUGGGAAUAUUGGGGUGUCCACCUGCUUAUGUUGGGUUGUUGUGUAUUAUGUGUUGGUUUUUGGGCUUCUAUUUCUGUUAUGUCACUAGUGUUUAGGACAAGCCUAGCGUCUGAAACAGACUGGGCUUAUAUUACUUAAUCUCAAAUAUGGUUUUCUUAAGUUUGGGCUUUGCGGGGCCCUGUUUGAGUAACCAUCUGUUUAUUAAGCAUUUAAAAUGGUCUUUUGAUCUGCUAGGCCUUCUCUGAGGAUCACCAUCAUAUGGGCUGCAAUUAAUUCUACAAUAUUUUCUUGAAAAGUCAUGGUCUUUUUUUUUUUUUUUUGGGUAUAUAGGAUCAAUUAAGUUGUACCAAAGCUAGCCUAAUGGCAUAUAAUAAAAAUACAUAAUCAGUCUGAUGGACAUGCCCAAACUUUUGGACUUCAAAAUAGCUAGUAACAUGAAAUAAAUUCCUGACAAUAAAAAAGCUAAUACAUAGGCCCAAAAAGAGGCUCAACCAACUACCGGAACCCUCGUUUUUGUCUAACACAUCGCGGUGAUUGCGCCAUGAGCAAUGCAUUGUCACCAAGCCGCUAAAACCAUAUUACCCACAAAAGUUGUACCGAUGCCAAUCCAAUCCCAAAAUACAAGAUAAAAGAAGACCAAUAACCAAAAAUAUGAGAUCCUUCACACCAACAUCAUUUUCUCCAUCAACGAGACAGAGAAGAAAGCAUGACGGCUGAAAAGGAUCCGAGAUCCCAAGCACAAGACCAGAACAGUAACAAUAGAGAAUGAGGGGUGAUAACCAAUACGUGACCACCCAUACUCAAAUAGGGAAGUGACAUGCAUUAUGGUCGCUGCCAAAAGAGCCCUCUUGGAGAUUGUGGGUGGAAAGAAGAGAUUGUGUUGUGUGCAGGGCCGGUCCUGAAGGAUCCAAGGCCCAGUGUGGGAAAAAAAAUGUCCCCCCUUGUAUAAUUUUUUUUAUUUUUAAAAAAGUAUUCAAAAAAUACCAAUUUUUUCGGGGUUCCAAACCUAGUCGAGUGUAAUGUCAUGAGGCUCAUCCUCACGCCUGAAUUUUUUUUAUUGAUAUGCUAAAACAUGGUACAAUAUUGGAGGGACAUAAAACCAUUACCCCCAAAAAGAAAAGAAAUACAAGGAUUACAAUAAACACAUAAAAAGUUGCUUAUGAGAAUGCACCAUUUACUCAAAUCUAGAUAUUCUGAAACGUUCAUUAAAAUGACAUAUGCUUUAGAAUCGCCUUUCCAACUUUGUCUUCCACAUGCUUCUUGACUGGUUCUGUCAACUAAGUUCACAUAUUCAAAUUCCUCAAUUAAUUUUCACUCAUUUACAUAGCUAAAUACUCACAAUAUAGAAUAGUUUAAAUAUAACGACAACUUAAGGUCUCAGCAAAAGUUUCACAAGUCAUUGCACAUUCUAAAUUCUACCUAUAUAAAUGGUUCAUAGUGGCUUUAAACUAUUAGUCUUAGAAACAUAAAAUUCAUUCUAUCAAAACCAAGGUCCCAAGCGCAAAACCAAAUUCUAAUCUUCUCUGCAAAAACAUAAGAACAAUUUCAUAAGCACAAUUUCAUAUAUGAAUUUCAUACAUCUCAGAUGCAUGAUUUCAUAAAGGAAAAAAAAAAAGAGAUUCAAAGCAACCUUUUUUCAACCCAAAAAAGAAGAAUUCGAAGAUGUGAUAUUCAUAGUAACCUUAUGUUCAGUCUUUAAAAACUGGAUUGUGAGAGAGGAGAUGUGAAAUUGAGAGAGGAUGAAAAAUUUCUAAGGAUCAUGAAUAAUUUAUAAAAAGAGCAGACAAAAAAAUUUUGGUUCCGGAGAACAUCAAUCUCCAAUCAAGCUCCUUNNNNNNNNNNNNNNNNNNNNNANAAANAAAUAUAUAUAUAUAUAUAUAUAUAUUAAUACACUAUAUAUAUAAACAAUAGAAAAAAAAAAAAAACCCCUUCAGCCUUGGCCCCGGUGCCAGCACACUUACAGCACUAGGCCAAGACCGGGCCUGGUUGUGUGGUUUAAUGAUUUAUUUUACCUAGAAACAUGUGACAUACAGAAGAAAAGAAGAGAGAAAACAAGGAACUAAGUCUUUCCGUGCUAGACAUGGCCAGUAACAAAAUCACCGCAAGGGUGAGAAAAAGCUGAAAAAGCUAGAAGAAGAACAAUAAGGAUAGAGGGAAAUAGGUAAAAGGCAUAGCUAGAAAAGCCAUGGAAAUUUACCUUCGUAUGAUUCAACUUUUAGGAUCGAACUAGAAGAUGUCAUAUUUUUCAAGUAACUCAUAGCAGGGGACGAGCAAUUAAAUAGAAAUAUCACAUAUAAUUUCUUGUUAAGAUGUAUUGUUGUUGUAUCUGCAGGGGCCUGCUUAAUUAGUAGAAACAGACACCAUAUAAAAAAAUCUUAUCAUUCCCUCACCCAUCCUCAUGUUAUGUUUUAAUUAGUAGAUACAGAAGCACCAUAAUCUUUCCACACGUCUAUUUUUCUUUCCCAAACCAGAACACUCUCAUCUGCUUAAGGCAACUGAAACUCAAUUGGAUUCCCUUCUGACUGAUCAAUAUAAGGGUGACUCUGUAAGGAAAGGUCUCCAUCAGAUUAAAUGAUAUGAUAAAUGUUGGUGUAUCAGAACACUGAGAAGUAUAACUACAAGAACAUAAUGAACUAGAAGAAGUGCCAUAAAAUAGUGGGAUAUAUGGUUGGAGAAUAGAAGAAGCAGAUAUUGAUGUAAUAAACUAAAAGUUUAAAUACCAUUUUUGGUUGAAGAAGAAGAGGGGUAGGGAGAGGGGGAGGAGUUGAAGGGCAGGGCACAUGGAAACAGAAGGCCAUGUGGGGAAGAUUCAGAAAGAGCACUUUGUUUAAUUUCAAAUUUUUUUGAGAGGUGGUGAUGAGCUGAGGUGAGCAAGCUUAGCAACAAAAGGCAAUAACAUGGAUGGAUCCAAGUCAUCCAACCUAUCCCCAAGGGUGGGGGGUACCCUCUAAACUUCCAAUAAAGGCAUGUGAUUGUAAGAGGAGCUUUGUUGUAGGCCAGGCUAAUUCAGCAGUACUAUCCCACUUACAUGGGAACCACAAGCCUUCCCCAAAAGAACCUAACCCCAUGUCUAAGGCUAUCUUAAUCUCUGUUUAUCAGUGUGUGACCUAAUUGCUUUUGAUCAAUGAGAUUGUUUAUGAUGGGUAAUCUUCUAGUGUGAUUCAGAGAUAGAUUGACAUUAUAUAAGUUCUAGUUUAGGAGUACAGGCACUUCUCCGAUCCAUAGUGAGGUAAUUAAGUAUACUUAUCUUAGUAAUAUAUUGACAUGGAGUAAGAUAUAUCUCUUAACUCAUUAUCUCGAUCAUUUUAACACUUUGCUCCAUAUUUUUUAUGUUGGAUAUGGUACUGACAUUUUCUCCGUUUAAUAUCUAAAUCAAACUAAUAUAAAGAUAACCGAUAACAACGAAGACUCACAAUAAUGAUAAUUGAUGAGACUAACCAACAAACCAUCGUACGUAUUGACUAUGGAGAUAUGUUGGAGCCCUUAAUGAUGCAUCCAAGAUAAACGGACUGGCUGGAAGAAAAAAGUGUUUAGCGAAGAAACAAAGCUCUCAUGUAAUGUCCUUAUAAGUUACAGAUGCUAACAAUAAGUGCUUAAAAGCUUGCUGAGAAAUAGCUAAUAUAUACCUGAGAAAAAGGAGAAUAAUCACACCGAUGUUAGAAUUUUUCUAGGUCUUGGCACUAGAAAAGUGAAAGCAACCAUUGAUUUCUGCAUCCAUGGAAAAAUGACACAGAGAGUCCCAUCGGUUUUCCUUUUGAGGGCAUAUCUGCUUAGCUUUCAAAGAAGAAGAUGGAGGCUAAGGAGUGGGAAGAAAUGACCCAUUUUCAACUAAUACGGAAUCUCAUGUGUUCUACCAUUCCCACUUAAUCAUGUCCUCAGGACAAUAUAUGUCGGGGUAGCAGUUGGUGAUUAAUUAAGAUAAUCAUGCAGUGUUUCUUGUAGGUUAAUUAGGUAUAUAUGCCUACAUCUAAGCACUACUUGAAUUCCAUCUCCUUAGUUACAUCCGUGAACAAUAAAAUUAAUUAGAAAUCCUAGUUCUAUCUCUCAUUUCAUGUGAACGAGCGAUGAUGUUUACGUGCUGAUCGAUUUGCUUAUCCCACAUUGAAGAACAAUGUACAAUUCGAAGCUAUAGAUACAGAGAUGGAGUCAGCCAGGAUUCUGAUACGUGUGUAUAAUAUUACAAAUAUGAGUUUCUUCAGUUCUCCUCGACCCGGCCCCUAAUGCUGCAAGAUAGAAUAGUUACCUGGGCUAGUUGUAAUAUAUUUUAACAACAUGAAAAUUUUUUACGAAAAGAAAUUAACUAAACCUUAAAAAACGAGGCCGUAAAGCUUCAAAAUCUUUAAUCAUCACCUCAUACUCAACCACUUUAGCAAUUUUUUUUUUUAAUGUGAAGCACAUUUUCAACGAUUGAUUUUUUAUCAUACAUUUUGGUAAUAAAGCUUCAAAAUCUUUAAUCAUCACCUCAUACUUAACCAUGUACUUCAGCAAAAUCUUUUCAAUGUGAAUCACAUUUUUCAAUGAUCGAUUUAAUUUUCAUCAAACAUUCUUUUAUGAUUAAGCAUCGUUGCCAUGUUGUAGUUGCAUAUUGUUGGUGGCUUGCAACAACCAGAUUUCUACCAAAUUAUGCACUUAAUAGUUGAUCAAGGAAGACUACUUAUAUGGUUACUAUACUUGAAGAAGCAUGCUAGCUCCACUAACUAUUGUACAUAUACAUAUCAAUCAUCAAAGGUUGAAAAAAGAAAAUUGAUCAAUUUCGAAUGUUAUAUAUGCUUAUGUUUUUGUGUUAUAACUUGAUAUUGUGCUGGUUUAUGAUUAAGCAACUAAACCUAUAUAUAAAGUUUGUGUCAAAAUUCUCACCUAAUUCUUAAGCCUAGAUAAGCAUAGGGUUGGAUCCGCAAGUGCUCAUGAUCGAGUUCAAAUUAACUUUAUGGCCUUUGAUUUAUUCACCAAGUCGAAUCAAUUUUUAUAGUAACCGUGGUUGAAAUCCCAAGGAGACGCAGCUGAGUAUAAUAUAUCCACAUCUUUGAGACAGAAUAACCAAAAUUCUCCAGCAAAUGACAGAGUCGGAUCACUUGAUUAAUCGAUAAUGCAAUGUCCACCAAGAUGAAUGUUAAUUUAGUUCAUCAAUGGCUGCUAAACACACAUUAGCUUGCUCUAUAUAUUGUCUAUUAUUUUCCUCUCCUUGGAUUCUGGGUUUUCAUGUUGCCAAGUUUCCUCGUCACACAUGAUGUGAUCCAUGUGGAAUCAAAUAUGUGAUGCCAAUGUGAUUGUAGGGUUUCACUUUUCACCUUGCCUUACCCUUUAUCGUUAAUUAGUAAUUACUUGAUCAAUGCCAGAUUUACGUUCAUUUUCUAUAAAUUCAUGUUGCUGAUGAACUGUAAUAUGGGAUCUAAUUUCUUUUUUCUUCUCUGUGAUUUUAGAUUCACAUGAUUUUCUGGGCUGAGAUUUGUUUCAUUUAAGUACCCCAGCUGAUUUGUUAGUGUAUUUAAUUGUAUGCAAGAGAGAGAGAGAGGAGGUAUAGUUGUGUACUUGUGUAUAAUAUAGUAGAGAGGUUGGAGAGGUUUCUUGGACCCAUCCUAGGAUAUGGAUCUCUCCCUCCUUUCUUUUUCGCUUCUUCUCUCUCUUCACCUAAAAAUCGCUGUCUUUCAGUCUCUGCAGCACCCAUCACCCUCUUCUCUCUUUCUGAAAGCUCUGUCACCAUGAGAGUGAGAGCCAGACCAUAAUCCCAAAACCCCUUAAAUUUGCUUCAAAAAAGCACCCAAACCAAGGACACUCAUAUCCUAUAUAUCCUUAGCUGCAUGAACAGUACCCAUACCUAGCUAGCCCUUUUAGCAAUAACAUGCAACUCUGAGAGUGCAAGUGAGAGAUAGAGAGAGACGAGAUAGAGAAGAGAGCAGUUGCAUUUUUGACAUGAAUCAUGGCCUUCCCACCUUGUCAUAGUUUCAUGUUCCAAACCCAUGAAGAUCCAGACCUCCACCUCUCUGCAGCUUCUUCCUCCCUCAACAAUCUUCCCUCUUGUCCACCGCAACACUUCCAUGGUCUUUUUCUCUCUCACUCGUUUCUCUGUAAUUGAUAUUAUUGCUAUGGGGUCUAAUUAUGUGUAUAAUUGCAGGCGGUGGCGGUGGAAUUCCUUUCAUGAUGAAGAGAUCGCUAUCCUUCUCCGGGGAUGAUAAGUGCAAUCACCAUCACUAUGAUCAUCAAGAUCUGCAUGGAGGAGGAGAUCAAGAUGAUUUGUCUGAUGAUGGGUCACAGCUGAUUGGGGAGAAGAAGAAAAGGCUGAACCUUGAGCAGGUUAAGACCCUUGAGAAGAGCUUUGAGAUGGGGAACAAGCUUGAGCCUGAGAGGAAAUUGCAGCUUGCUAAGGCUCUUGGUCUGCAGCCAAGACAGGUUGCCAUAUGGUUUCAGAACAGGAGGGCUAGGUGGAAGACAAAGCAGUUGGAGAAAGACUAUGAUGUCCUCAAGAAGAAGUUUGAUGCUCUCAAGGCUGACAAUGAUGCCCUUCAAUCUCACAACAAGAAACUUCAGUCUGAGGUAAUUAACAGUAGUAUGCUUAACCAGAUCAGCUUUGGAUGAAAACUGUUUUUAUUUUUAUUUUUAUUUUUUAUGGAGUUAGAAUAUUAGAUUAACUUUGAAUCUUUAAGUAGUUUAUCUAUAUGAGAUGAUCGAAGAUCAGUUUUGAUUAUGGUGCAUUAUGAUUACUAGGACAUCUUAAUUCUACUAGUUGUUGGAGCUCUUGAUCCAAUGUACGAUAAAAUAUAUAAUCACGUCCAAAAGUCAUACUAAUAUUCCCUAAUUUCUCUUAUAAUUAACUAGUCUGAUGAUCUGGUCAGUCUGUCUGUCAGAUGUGCAUCUGAUGAUCAUCAACAAGAGUAUUUUAAUCUUGGUUGCCUUCAAUUGUUGUAAUACUUGUUAUGUUAAUUGAUGACAUUUUCCCCUUAAAAUGACCGUUUGUAAUCUUGUAUACAACUGUGUCUAUCGAUCUGUAUAUCUUAUCAAGUAAAUUCAGGCGUGUGCUGCUUGUUUAUAUUCUUUCGUACUUCGUCUUGAUUUCUUGAGUUCAUAUGCUCGAUGAUGCAGUUGUUGGCUAUAAAAGGCAGUAAAGAUUCAAACUUUGAAGGGGGGCUUAGCAAUAACAUGAAGAAAGAGACUGAUCAAGGUUCAUGGAGUAAUGGCAGUACUGAUGACAACAGUUCUGAUCAUAUCAACUUAGACAUGUCAAGAAGUACCACACCAGCAGCAACUAGCCCUCAAUCAAAUACCCAGAUCACAAAUGGAUCAAAAAACCUGUUCCCAUCAUCCCUAUGCAGGCCACCUCAUGCUAGCAUAACCCAACUCCUCCAAGGCUCAUCAAGGUCAUCAGACCUCCACUGCCUCAAAGUUGACCAGAUGAUUCAAGACGACCAAACCUUCUGCACCAUGUUCAACAAUGGCUCCAUUGACCAAGACCACCAAGGUAACUUCUGGCCAUGGCCUGCUGAGCAGCCGCACCAUUUUCAUUGAUCAAACCCCAUUACGCGGUUCCCGGCCAUGGCUCAAAUUCCUAUGAGUUUUCAAUUAUCAAUUCAAGUUUUUUGGCUGUAGAACAUUGAUGUACAGAGUUAAAUAUUUUUGCUAAUUUCAUCAGUAAUCGAUUGCCACUGAAUAAUACACUUAAAAUUUCCAUUUCACAUUUUUUCCUUCUUCUGUAUAUAUUACGCUAGCUACAUUUGCUUGCUUGGUAUCAGAUCAUAUUAGGGAUUAAUAUAUUGGAGAAACACACACAUGAACAUGUGCCAGUGAGUGGAUUUCCAGCUCUGGCAUAGUUUUUUUUUUUUUGAUUAGGAGCUCUGGCAUAGCUGGUGCUUUGGAUUUGUAUAUAUUAGGGAAUCAAAAUUAGUAAUUGGGCUGAAGUAAUUGUCACAGUACAAAUCAGAAGAGAAAAAAGCUGACUUCAUGCAUCAGAAUUCAGAAGUAGUGAUGAUGAUGAAGAUUUAACUGAGGAAAAGUGUGAGGAAAAUCUCAGUGGAAGAUACAGGUACCUAAGGAAAUGACUAUUAUCAUCUGGAGGGGGAAAUUAAAAGAGGUAAAGAUUCUGAGCACACAGUCCAAGUAAGAAGAAGCCAAACAGAAGAGGAAGGAAGGGUUAGGAAAUGGUCUCUGUUUUGUUUUUGAGGUUCUUGAAGGUGACGUUCGUAAAUUUGCAUCUGACAACUGAAAGUGUACGUCUAACUGCGUACUCACUCUGCGGCAUAUACAUAAAACCAUGUGAGCUUUCUGCCAUCAUAUCCUUUUUCCUAUCAUUCAACACCACCCCCACCCAACACCAACACCUCUCUCUCCAAAACGAGCAAGUUUUUAAGCUUUCUAUCAUGGCUGUACAGAACAAGCGGUUGAGAGUACGUAGAGUUACUAUUUUGAUCACAUUAUUGAUAACAGUGCUUCUGAUGAGUACACGAUAUAACCAAGGAAAUUUAUUCAAAAAAGAAGAAGAUUACACUGAAAAAUGAUGAGGUACAUGAGAAGAAAUUCAUCUCUACGUGUCAGUCAGACAAACGAUCAACAAAUUCUAAAAAAAAAAAACGAUCAACCAAACCAGAAAUUAGGGAGAACUGACCAAUCAUGAUUACCAAAAGAAAUGAUAAAUGGAGGAGUUUAUAUCCCACCAAUUUAAACAUGUAGAGUUGAUGCCAUUGUUUGUCAAAACAUCCGUAACUUGGUUGCCUUCACGUAACGAUAUGAAUUGAGUGAAAGUGCAUUUGAUUCAAACCUGGUUCUUGUUGCGCUUUUCAUAGUAAAUGUACGUAGUCAUCAUUCUCGAUCGACUACUAAACAUCCCGAGCGCACCUAAGUUCUUUUCAAGUUUAAAGGAGCGUGAAUAUUCAUAGAAUCAUAGGCCGGGUAUUAUUCACAUACUCGUGUCUCAAAACACUACUCCCAUCAUUUAGUUUAGAUCCCUAAUUAGGACAUUCCCUCUCGUUUUAAUGAAUUGUCAAAAUGACCUCAACUAUUCCCACUACAUAUAACAUCAACAUAGAUCAAAGGAAGCUAUACUGGAUCAGAAGGGGGCCUCAUAUAGAAGAGCAAACUAGAAUAAGAGAAGAAGAAAGAGGAAAUGUCACAUGUUUUGUGAGCAUAAUGUUGUUUUAGGGCAGCUUAAUUUGUAAACUCAUUUAAAAGAACAUUGAAUUAAGCAAAAAGAUGGGAUCAUCCUCGUGGGAGUGUGAAUCCAAUGGAUAUAUUAACCUACUAUAGUCAUCACAUAUAUGAUAUAUCAAAUAACGAACUACCAUAUAUCUUUUUUGGCAAAUUGCCAUAUCUUCCCACUUUUAUUUGGUAUUUAAAAUAGAGUGACAAUUUGUUGACUCUAAUUAAUUCCCAACCCUCACAAAAUAAAAAUAAAAAUUCAUUACCAUCUAAAGAAUCAAAGCAUGCAAAAAGGAGAAAGGUUCUCUUACCAUCUGGGCUAAAGUUCCAGUUAUCCAAGGAAAGAUUUGUUCUUGGAUCUUUUUGAGGUUGGCCCAAAUAGAAAUUGGCAAAUCCGAGGAGAAGAACACUGCUACUUUGACAAGUUCCAAGCAAAUAAACCCGACAAGGAAACACAAAAAGGUCCUCAAACAUGUAUAAAAAAAAUAAAAGCAACCAAAACCCAGAAAGAGAACACCAAAAAAAAACCACCUUUCAAUGCAUUUUUACCAAUUUUGAGUUGUUGACACACAAUUUUGGGCACUCACUUCUCUAAAAAAAGAAAAACACCCCAAAAUGUUAUUUGAAAUGCCAAUAUUGCAGAAGAGAGUGAGGAGCUUCUGCGCUCUGGAUUUACCAGAAGAAGAAGCUGUAACGUAGAAGAGUGCCAAGUGGGAGGAAGCCAAUAUGGAAAUGUUGGGGGAGGCAUUGCAUCACUGCCUGUGACUACUCUUCCUCAUCCUCGCUGCUUUUCAUGUUCAACGCACGUUUGUGGUACCAUUGUUCCUCAAAAAGAACCAAACCGCAUUCUUGGUUUUGUUGGUUUUCUGUUCUAGCUUAGACUCAAUGCCAGCUUUUCUUUAAUGUUGUUUUGUAUCUAUCUGUGGCCCCUCUUUCGCUUUCUCUCUCUCCCCGCGAGUGAAAUGUGAGUGAGGUUUGUGUUUAUAAGCUGGAAAUGAGCUGAGCAUUUUGAUAUGAUCAGUUGCAGGGAAUCUGUUUCUGGGUUGGUGUCGUCUUCUUCUUGCUUUGCAUGUCCUUUUUUGCAUCACAAGGGUCUUGUUUCAUUGAGAAUCAUGGUCUUGGUUGCUGUUGGUUUUGGGUUGAAUUGUUUCUGAAAAGGGUCUAAUGUGUUUUGUUCUUGAAUUUUGAUGUUUUGGGUGGGUUUUUCCUUGAUUGGGAGAUUGUUAUGCAUUUUGGUUUUGUUGAAUUGUUGAAGGGGGUUGAAAAGAUUGGUUCUUUUGGUGAAUGAGGGUGUUUUGAACUUGUGGGGGGUUUGAUUUUAGGGUUCUGAGAAUAUGGGAGUCGGGGUUGAGGCUUUGCAGGUUGGGAGUUGGAACAAGGGAAAAUCAAAGGGGAAGCAUAAGAUUGAGGAGGGAGAUGAAAUUAAAGGUUGUUGGAUGAAGUUUAGGUUCAUGGGGAGAUGCUUGUCUCCAAAGACCAAAAUGGAUAAUUCUACCAGUGGAACUAGCACACAAUAUGGUAUAAUUCAAUCUGUUCCUUAAACCUUUGUAUUAUGUUACAAUGUUUAUAAAUUCCUCUGCUCGAAUUUUAUGGUUUUGUUUGGAGUUAAGUGUUCAAUAUUGAUUCUUUUCAAUGUCAAGGGUGUUACUGUGUCUUACAGCAUGCUUGUUGCCCCCCACAGAUUUCUGUGUUCAUAGAAAAGCAUGUCAUGUUAUGUGCUAUGGCUUAUGAAUCUUCAUGGAGUACUCAUUUAACUAUUUACCAUAAAUAUCUUUGGUCGUAUGAUCAUAUCUGUUUGUGGUUGGUUGCUUAAAAUUGGUUUCAGUUGCUUAGCUGAUAGCUCGUGUUGUUUCCUAAUCAAUAAAGGUUUGGAAUUAUCAAAGUACAUCCAUGAGGGUGUUGUCAUAUUUUUCAUUUAGAAUUGUACUGAUGUGUGUUUUCUUAGUUGCAUAUAUUUUCUAGCAUGUUUUAGUUUUGUUCUUAACAAAGUCCUGUUAUUUAGCUUCAACUUUGAUCUGUGUUUGCUGGAUGUUCCAUGAACAACAGAUGCACAGCCGGUUGGUUCUUCGAUUAUUAUAAAUAGAUGCCAUGCAUCAGUUAUGUUCAACUGUGUGCUGCAUGAAAUAAUUCUGAUUCCAAUUUCCUCGGGGAAAAUGAUUGAUCUUCUGUUGGCAUUAAUGCAUUUUUUUGCAAUGAGAUGUGUUCUGUGUGCACGUGUCUUAAAGGCAAAUCUAGCUUUACUCGCCUAUACGUUUGUUAAUGUGCUAUGAAAUGAUUUUGACUCCAAUUUGUACGAGGAUUGAUUAAGAGUUCUCUUUAUAGUUUAUACAUAUGUUGAGACUCGUGAGGGAAAUGCAAGCGUUAUAAACGUGUUGUGUGGAAAAUACUAGCGUUAGCCGCCCAUGCGCGAGUGUGGCAAGUGAAAACCGAAAAACAUUUCUUUAAAUAUGUAACGGUCUGUAUGUGCUUUGUAAAGUGUUUGACUUGCUUGUAGGUCACCUACUUAUACUAGUAGUCCAUAUCCUUUUAUAUACUCUGAAAGUUAAUUCUAUUCUAUAUAGACACAUGAUCCUGUGAUUGAAAGAAAAUAGUGUUUGAAAAAGAAAAUUAUGAGAAGAUACUCAACUAGGAAACACAUUAUCUUAUUGCUUAUUUUAGUACACUACUUGCCUUAUCAAUACUUUAUGCAUAUCUAGGCAUUUUUUUCAAUGUAUUAUCAUACUGAAAAGUUAUUGCAUUCAUUCCAUAUUUUGGAUCUGUGACUGCUGUUUAUAGCUCAUCGAAUACGUGAAUCAUCAUUAAAUUUCAUCGUCACCACCAGCAAACUUUGAACCCUUGACCUUGAGCAUGCAAACAUUGACAAGGCUCAAAAGAGGGCUGAGAUAGCGAUUUCUGUUUUUGAUGAGAUAUUAUAAAAUGAUUCUGUUUUAAUAGCGGUGAGCUGGUUUUUUUAAAAUUCAUCUGAUGAUAUAUGUAUUAUCUUUUUUUUUGAACCAGAAGAUAGCAAGUCUACAAAUGACACAAUCUACAACCAUGCAGUAGCUCCAGGUGCUUUGUCUUCAACUACUAGUAACACAGAAAGUGCUUUGUCCACUCCCAAAGCACCUGAGGAACUGAUAGUUGCUUCUCAGCUUCGAAGAUUCACCUUCAAUGAGCUUAAGUCAGCAGCAAAGAAUUUUAGACCUGAGAAUCUUUUGGGGGAAGGCGGAUUUGGCUGUGUAUACAAAGGCUGGAUCAGUGAGACUGGAACGUCUCCAACAAAACCUGGUAUCGGGCUUCCCGUCGCUGUAAAGACUCUGAACCAUGAUGGACUUCAGGGCCACAAAGAAUGGAUGGUAUGGUGCCUCAUUUUCAUUUAUCUGCAUUAGCACUUAUCAGGAAUGAAAAGUAUUUUCACUCCCAUGAUUGAAGGAUAAUUUUUGUCCUGUCCACUUUUCAGGCUGAAGUUAUUUAUCUUGGUGAAUUGCUCCAUCCUAACUUAGUCAAAUUAGUUGGAUAUGGCAUCGAGGAUGAUAAAAGAUUACUUGUGUAUGAGUUUAUGCCUCGAGGGAGCUUGGAGAAUCACCUCUUUAGAAGUAUGAAAAUUUAUCUGUAUCUCAUAGAAAUUUGUUUAUCUGCAAUUUGCUCUUCCUAGUGGCAAUUUCUUUUAGUAUAUUUUUUGGGAGGUACCAUGAAAUGUGAAUUUACUCUAUGAAAGUAGAAGGUACAGAAAAGUUCCCAUAAUCACUUUGCAAUUGUUGCAGGUACAUCUGUGAUUAUUCUUUCAUGUUUUAUAUUGUUACUUAGCUAAUGCAUCACUGCAGCAUACUUUAAAUGUUCUGUUCUUCUCACCCCUAGUUAAUAGGCCUUAUAUUUUCUUGUUCUUGAAGUUUAGGUUUUUUUUUCCUUUAGAUUUGCUGUUGUAUUUGAACAGUUAUGGCCCAUAUUGUAUGUACACUAUUCUAUAAUCACUUUCCAAAACAAUGAUUAAAAUAGGCAUGAUACUUUCACCCUAUAGUUUUUUCUUAUAUUGUUUUUAUUCUUAGGGUGAUAAGUUAUGGGAUAUUAUAAUUACCUGACAAUUUUCUAGUAGAUGAUUUAAUGUUUCAGAAAUAAUGUUGUUAUCCAUUGUAGGGAACUUGCCUCUUCCUUGGUCCAUCAGAAUGAAAAUAGCUCUUGGUGCUGCAAAGGGUCUUGCAUAUCUUCAUGAGGAAUCUGAAAGACCGGUGAUUUUUCGAGAUUUUAAAACAUCUAACAUCUUAUUAGAUGCGGUGCGUAACUAAGCUUAACUUUCAAAUUUUUGUUUUGUCCUCCCCCUGUUUUCUAAUGAUUUAAUAUUAUUCCAGGACUACAACGCCAAGCUUUCUGAUUUUGGGCUCGCUAAAGAUGGUCCAGAGGGAGAAAAAACCCAUGUCUCCACCCGAGUGAUGGGCACUUACGGUUAUGCGGCACCCGAGUAUGUUAUGACAGGUUAGUAUUAUAAACUGUAUGUAUCGUCUUGUUUGCCUUGUUCUAAAAUUUUUGACUGCAUGUUGUUGAACUCUGUGUUCUUUUGUAUUGGCAUUGCUUGCACCCAAAAUCUGAUAGACCUGACACUCUUAGGUAUAUACCUACAUAGACAGGAAGUAUUGGAAUUACUUCCUGUGUAUUGGUAUAUACUACGAAGAAUAACUAUACACCACAGUCAUCACAUGCCUGCCAUUGUAUUGGAAUUACCGUCUUUUUUCCAUUGAUGCAGCUGACACAUUUUUGCUCAUGAAAGGUAUGUCUAUAAUGUAUAGCAGGUCAGCCUUUCAUGUUCUAGUUGAAUUAAAUUUAUUUUCUGAGCAUUAUGUUCGUAGCUUAUGCUUAUCAUUUUCCCAGCUCCAGUUCUGUUGUGCAUAAUACUCGACUCUAUAUGCAUGACAGUACAUCCAUAUACACUUGUUUAAAAGUGUCAAGUGUGAACUAAUUUAGUGUUCAAGGGUAUUUGCCAAUUAAUCCAAUUUUAUGUCUUCAUCUUCUAUAGGUCACCUUACUUCAAAAAGUGAUGUAUAUAGUUUUGGGGUGGUUCUGCUUGAAUUACUGAUUGGACGAAGAUCUAUGGACAAAAAUCGACCCCAAGGAGAGCACAACUUGGUGGAGUGGGCACGCCCACAUCUUGGAGAUAGGCGAAGAUACUACCGACUAAUAGAUCCUCGACUUGAAGGUCGCUUCUCAAUUAAAGGUGCUGAAAUGGCAUUUCAGUUGGCUGCCCACUGUCUUAGUCGUAACCCAAAGGCUAGACCUCUUAUGAGUGAAGUUGUUCAAGUGAUCAAGCCUCUGCUGCACCUCAAGGAUCAAGCAUAUUCCUCAUCUCACCCCCAAGGCAUGCACACAGAGCGUCCUGGUUCCAGUCCCAACUUUAGAAAUGGCCUUUGGGUUCCGGCAAGGAAUGGACAACCAUCUAGAAGUCAGUCUCUACCAAAUGGUCCCAAUGUCUCACCAUAUCACCUUAGCCAUCCUCACCGCUCUCUACCAAAUGGUCCCAAUGUCUCACCAUAUCACCUUAACCAUCCUCACCGAUCACCCAAACCAUCUACAGCUAAGUCCCCCAAAACUACACCAAAAUCACCCAAACCUGCUACUGCUUGAUUGUAAGAUUGAGUCAGAUCUAGAAGUGAUCUGUUUUUUGGAGGGGUGAUAAUAUAAGCUAGGUUUUGCCUUGGCCAUGCAGUUGCAGCUGGACUUUAGGAAUCCAUACACAACAUAGCAUAGUAUAUUAACAAAGAAAUAUAUAUCUACAGCUUUUAUUUCUAGGUCAUUGUCCUUUCGAUCAAAAUCAAAGAGAACUUUUACUUUGCAGCUGCAUGUUGUAAUGUACAGGUGAUGCUUUUUAAUUUUUAUAUGUUUUCCCUUGCAAGUUCCUAUCUUUGUAAAUAGUCUUUGAUCUGUGUAUUUCCCUUUUGAUAUGCUUGAGGGGGAAUGGUCUCUCUCCUUUUAGAGAAUCUGAACUGUUUCAUGUGGCUACUUGCAUUCCUGCAUCAUCCUCCUAGAACAGCUUUGGGAUAACAAUUUGGGUAGCUGCAAAUGAUACUAUAUAAGCUUUGUGUAUCAACUAUAUCGGAAAUGUGUUGUUUGUAGAAAAAUGAUGACUUAAAAGCUUGAACUUCAAUUUUUUGGAAAGAAAAUGUAACAGGGGCCUUGUGUUAAUAUUAAUUAAGUUCAUUGGAAUUGGAACUCGUUGUCAGAGUAUUUGUAACUUUUAUGUCUCCAUACAGUUCAAGUUUUGCUGCUGCUUGUCUAACAAAUUUUUUAUUAACAUUGACACCAGAUAAACAAAUAGGUAAGCUUGAUGUAAAGCCCAAACUUUGUCUAACAAAUUUUUUUAUUAACAUUGGCACCAGAGAAACAAAUAGGUAAGCCUGAUGUAAAACCCAAACUUUGUGAAGUUUGUAUGAAGGUCGGGGACCACAUGUCAAUUAGAUGUCUCUACUUGGAGGAUGUUCCAAACCUUGACACCGCAGUUGUUGGUGAGGGCUAUGAAAUAUGUUGCCAUCACUGCCUUGAGUCGGAUCACGGCCACCCCAAGGGAAGUUGGGCAGAAUUUGCAUAUAAAUUGAGUAAUGAUGAAGAAUGCUCAGAUGAAGACUCAGAGUCUGAAUCAGAUGUUGAGCCUUAACUUUGUGAAGGUCGUGGACCACUUGUUAUUUAUAUGUCCGAUCCCUACUUGUAUGGCAAGUUUGAUCCCUAAAGACAUACUAUGAUGUAGCGACUAACUACUUGAUUCAAGCAGUAUUUUAGAUGGGCAGAGAACUGUUAUGUGAAUAAGAACCUCUAGAAGUGUCUGUGUUGUUAAGAAUUAAACUUAUCAUUGUCCUACUGUUGUUUGCCUCUCUUUUAGAUUUGUGAAGAUAAUUUAUUGGUAUCUUUGGUUUUGUCUCACUUUCAUGUAUUUUCACUUUGAUCUCUAACAUUCGCUCAUGCUCGUGCGCUUUGAGAUUUGGUUUUAUCUUCUUAUUCUUCUUUUAUUGAAUUGUUUCUAGUUUUUUUUUUUUUUUUUUUUUUGGGACGGUGUGGUUUACAAGAUCAUGAGUUUAUAAUACGAGUGUGCUGAGUAUUUCGGUUGCCCAAUCUCAGUUGGUUUUCUGAAAUCAAUCACUAAUGCAUGAGCAAUUAAUUAUGUUAAAAGAAUUGAUAAUCUUGAUUUUUUGAGGUUUAUGAGCCUCAAGUCUCUAGAUAUUGUUAGGUUUACUGGAAUUGGAGCUCAUUGCCAGAGUAUUUGUAACUUUUAUGACUCUAUACUGCAGGUUCAGGUUUAAUUUGUUACAAGUAUGUUUUCUUAGUUUUCCGCAAAUGAUACUAUAUAAACUCUGUGGAUCAACUGUAUUGGAAAUAUGUUAAUUGUAGAAAUUAUUGAAAAAAUAAAAUAAAAUAACAGUCUUUAGAUAUUGAGGUUUCAUUAGCCUCCAAUCUCUAUCUUCAGUGAACCUAACUAGUACAGUGGUAAUUGCAUUCUUGUUUUUGGUUGUGGAAUGUCAUCAUGACCUCUUACAAUUUCCUCUAAUUUAGUACCGAAAUGUCAAGUGGGCCUAUAGAAAUCUUCUUAGCUAGUUCGGGGGUCGUGGUAGAAUUAUGGCCUCUGGGUUAUGCUAUUGUCAACUAGGCCUUAUGAAUAGUAAAGAAUCAAUAAGGUGGCAUGCCAACUUAGCUAAAUCACUUACAACAAUAGCUCUUAAGAGACUAUUUCAAGAGAUUGCGAUGGAAAAAUGCAUCUCAACCACAUGUAAUAAAUAUAAAAAUUAAAAUUAUAGAACUUAUUUUAGAUUUAUUUGUCCCUCAUAUGAGCAUGCCUUGUGAAAACUAUCCUGAAACCAGCAUGAUAGUGUUUUCUGGUUAUUAAUGAAACAAAGGCGACCAAGGUUAUUGCUAUUUGGUAUUCCCAACUAAAAGAAAAAUAUUAUAAAUCAAGGUUGUGAAAAGAAAAAAAUUAAAGUGAAUUUUUGAAAAAAGAAAUUUGAUCAUGUGUUAUUAUAUAAUCUCUUUUUAAGUAUAUAGAAAGAAACAUAAUCCUAUUCUUACCUGUAAACAUAUUAUUACAUGGAUUCGGAAAUCAUAUUCCUGUUAGCAGCAGACGAAAACGCGCACACAAAAUGAACAUCCUAAAAGGAAGGUGAGAGUGUGAGACAUAUUAAUAGAAAACUGAAAAAGUUGUAAGAAAAAAAAAAGGGAAAAUAAAACACAUAUAUUGUUCGGGCCAAGUUGCGGACCCAGGCCAGACCCGGCCUUGUUUGUCACCGGCUCACCGCAAUAUAUAGAACAAACUGAAUUCCAAUUCUAGAUCUGUAAAUUCUCCCAAACCAAAAAAAAUAAACAAGUUUUGAUCUGAGAAAUCAGGGCAAUGGAUCUGAUGCGCUACCAACCUGCUAUCGGCGGCUCCGCCCGGGCUACUCCGGCCGAGGCCGGCUGCGGGAGCUGGAAGCAGGGAGACGGAUGUCAUGACAUCAAACAUGAUUCCUCUAAGAAACGAGCGCUUUCGGGAGAAGAACUCAAACAGUUUCUCUAUGAUUCCUCUAGGAAAUCCGAGAUUUCGGAACGAGAGUUACAAGAGAUAUUUGUGAAGAUCGUCAAGGGUAUGUUUUAUAUAAAUUUAUAUAUAUAUAUUUGUGUUUUAGCGUUUCAGUUUGGUUGGUAAUGUUUAGGGUAGGAAAUUUCUAUCAUGUAUUUUGGCCGUGACUUGGAUGUUUCCUUCUCUUCAAACAGGUGCCGAUCCUAACCAUAAAUUGUCUGAAAGUGAAGCCGAAUCCACAAGGAAUCUGUUAGAUGGGUGGAGAGUUAGAGGAGAGUUGUUUAUGUUGCCGCACGAGGAAUUCGUAAAGAGGGUGUUUAUAUCUGAUGAGGAAUUUGAAAAGAUAUGCAAGGAAGCCGAGGCAGCUAGGAAACUGGAGAUAGCUGAACGUAUGCUUUUGAUCCUUAUUUUGCAGUCUGAAUCUAAUUAAGCUUGAAUCUCAUGUGUUUUUCGUUGUUUAUUUUUUUGUUCUACUUGUGGUUUUUUUUUAAAAUAAAUAAAUUAUACAAUCAGGUUAAAAUUCUUGUUACAAGUUUGUUUUCUUAGUUUUCCGCAAGUGCUAUUAUAUAAAUUUUUUGUAUUAACUGUAUUGGAAAUAUGUUGUUUGUAGAAAAAUGAUUGAUGACUUAAAAGCUUGAAAUUGAAUUUUUCAGUAAGAAAAUGUAAUAGGGGCCUUUUGUUUUUCCCAUUAGGUUCACUGGAACUCAUUGCCAAAGUAUUUUUGUUGUUACAAGUUUGUUUUCUUAGUUUUCUGCAAAUGAUACUAUAUAAGUAAGCUUUGUGUAUCAACUGUAUUGGAAAUGUGUUGUUUGUAGAAAAAUGUUGACUUAAAAGCUUGAACUUCAAUUUUUUGGUAAGAACAUGUAAUAGGGGCCUUGUGUUAUAUUAAUUUGGUUCACUGGAAUUGGAACUCAUUGCCAGAGUAUUUAUAACUUUUAUGACAACAUACCGUUCAAGUUUUGCUGCUUCUUGUCUAACAAAUUUUUAAUUGACAUUGGCACCACAAAAACAAACAGGUAAGCCUGAUGAAAAGCCUAAAUAUUGUGAAGUUUGUAUGAAGGUCGGGUACCACAUGUCAUUUCGGUGUCCUUACUUGGAAGAUAUUCCAAACCCCGACACCGCAGUUGUUGGCGAGGGCUAUGAAAUAAUUUGCCAUUGCUGCCUUGAGUCGGAUCAUGGCCACCCCAAGGGAAGCUGGGCAGGAUUUGCAUGGAAUAAGAGUUGUGAUUGGUUUGAAAAGCUGAUGCCCCGUGAUCAAGAAGACUCAGAUUCAGAAUCAGAUGAAGACUAGUCUGAAUAAGAUGAUGAGCCUUAACUUUGUGAAGGUUGUGGACCACUUGUCAUUUGAAUGUCCCUACUUGUAUGGCAAGUCUGAUCCCUGAAGACAUAAUAUGUAGCGAUUAACUACUUGAUUCAGUGUAGUAUUUUAGAUGGCCAGAGAACUGUUAUGUGAAUAAGAACCUCUAAAAGUGUCGUGUUGUUAAGAACUUAUCAUUGUCGUACUGUUGUUUGCUUCCCUUUUAGACUUUGUGAAGAUAAUUUAUUGGUAUCUUUGGUUUUGUCUCACUUUCAUGUAUUUUCGCUUUGAUCUCUUUAACAUUCGCUCAUACUCCCUCUUGAUGUGGUUUUAUCUCCCUGUUGUGCUUUGAUAUUUGGUUUGAUCUUCUUCUUAUUCUUCUUUUAUUGAAUUGUCUUCUUUUUUUAUUUUUUUGAACUUUGUGGUUUAUAAGAUCCUGAGUUUAUAAUAUCUGAGUGUGCUGAAUGUUUCGGUUGCCAAAUUUCAGUUGGUUUUCUGAAUUCGGACACCAAUGCAUGAGCAACUAAUUAUGUUAAAUCUUGAUUUCUUGAGGUUUAUGAGCCUCAAGUCCAGAUUUUGUUAGGUUCACUGGAAUUGGAACUCAUUGCCAGAGUAUUUGUAACUUUUAUGAAUACACAAUUCAAGUUUUGUUACAAGUAUGUUUUCUUAGUUUUCUGCAAGUGAAAUUAUAUAUAUACUUUGUGGAUCAAUUGUAUUGGAAAUAUGUUGAUUGUAGAAACUAUUGAAAAAUAAAAUAAAAUAAACAGUCUCUAGAGUAUUGGAAAUAUGUUGAUUGUAGAAAUUAUUGAAAAAAUAAAAUAAAAUAAACAGUCUCUAGAUAUUGAGGUUUCAUAAGCCUCUAAUCUCAAUCUUCAGUGAACCUAACUAGUACGGUAGUAAUUGCAUUCUUGUUCUUUUUUAAUCUUCAACGUUGCUCAGUGCUUUGAACAACGAUGUAAUUGCAUUCUUGUUUUUGGUCGUGGAAUUUCAAAAUGGCCUCUUACAAUUUCCUCUAAUUUAGUAUCAGAAUGUCAAGCGGGCCUAGAGAAAUCUUUCUAGUUUGGGGGUCGCGGCAGAACUCUGGGUUAUGCUAUUAUCAACUAGGCCUCGCGAAUAGUAAAGAAUCAAUAAGAUGACAUGUCAAUGUAACUGAAUCACUUACAACAAUAGCUCUUAAGAGACGGUUACAAGAGACUGAUAGAAAAAUGCAUCUCAAUCACAUGUCAUAAAUUUAAUAACUGAAAUUAUACAACUUAUUUUCCGUCGUUAGAUUUAUUUGUCCAUCAAUCUCUUAAAAAUUGUCCUUUAGAUGAGCAUACCUUGUGAAAACUAUCCUAAAACGAUAGUGUUUUUCGGUCAUCAAUGAAACAAAGCUAAAAGAAAAAUAUUAUAAAUCAAGGUUGCGAAACAAAAAAUAUAUAUCUACAUAUUUGUUUUAUUAACCAGAUGAUUCAUCAAUCUUCAGUGUUGUUAUUGAAACUCAAUGCAUCCAGAAAAUGAAGAACGAAAAGUUCUGGCCAUCCCGUUCUGCCGGAAGAGGUGCUCAAAAGGAACGACAUGCAGACUCUUAGACACAACCCACCAGUCAGUUAAUGUAUGUGAACAUACAAAGCAUCCACAACACUGACUAGAGGUCCAUUUAGCCAACACGAAUGAAUGUCCCUUUCCGUCUAAACAUGAAUGAUCUCACAAUGUCAGUUCAACGACAACAGACCAUGUCAACUAGUCAUUAGAGCCUCAUAAUCACUUAAUUUGGUCGAACUCCUCUUGAGUCUCGAAGAAAGGUUUUCAUAAGUUCCCGUGACCAGUACUAGUUUUGGAUCAUCAGCAGGAAUCUCACCUUCCAGCAAUUAGAGUAACAAAGGAAUUGCAAUUGUCCAAAACAACACAAAUGAAAAGACCCAGCUCAUUCUGAUGUACCAGUAAAGCUUAAAUGUGUAUUGAAAAAACAGGGUUUAAUGAACGCAAAAAAAAAAGGGAGUAUACUGAACUCAAAAUCAUAUCAGAGAAACCAAGAAAAAUUUCAACUACAAUUUAUUCUAACGUACGGCACUUGUGUGAGACCCAGGUUCAUAAGCAUAUGAUCAAUUUAAAUUUGAAACUACACCAUGGGACUUUGUUCUAAAUGCACCAAGUGAACAAUCCCCCAAUGCCUCUCUGUUGUGGUUUUGAACUGUGGAGUUGGAUACUGCAAGUGUUGAAAUAUGGGGUUAGAUACUGCAAGUGUCCAGUUAGACAUAGAAUGACAUCACACAAUUGUAAUAGCUGGUUCAAAUCCAUGAUGGAUUCAGACACUAUCAAGAGACAGGAAAUCUCAAUGAGCUUGCAUUGACACAUAUUCUAAAGGAUGCAAAAGUCUCAUCUAAAUGUUCUUAGUGGAAAGUUAGAAUUUGACAUUGGACUAUAAAUUUUGUGAAGAAAAAGGUGCUGCCAUUUCUAAAACUCAUAUUUCUCUGGAAAAAUUUUCUUUUGCUGCUAUGAUCCCGGCAUGAAAUCACCCCUGCAAAACAAAGAUCCAAACGUAAAUGUAGUAUCCGAACAGCAGAUAUAGCAAGAACUAUCUAACAUGGAAAGUUUAAAACCAUAUACCGGACUCAAUUCCAUAAUUGUAACUUGGUUUCUUAACACAACGCCCUAAUAUGAUAAAACCAGCAGUCAUUUGCAAGCAUCGACUUCAUUGAAGACUUGAAAUAGAACAGACACACAAAGCAAUAACACCCAAUUGACAGUGACACCAAAAGUGCUAAAGUAAAAACUGCACCAAAUUCAUUCCUACAUAUAUGCCUCCACGAAUCACCAAAGCACCAAAAUUUAUAUAAAAACGUAACCCAUUAACAGAACCAAAACAAAGUUCGCCUCAACUUAGAAAAGUCACAAAGAACAGAAGUGAUUCAGAAUUUCUUGAUAAUUCAUUCAUCCCUAAGAAUAGGGUUAAUAUACAUGAUACAUAGUAACAUAUUAGGAAAGAUACAUAGUAACUUGUUAGGAAACUAAUAUUACUAAUAUAUUUACAUUCUUAGGACCAUAUGGGCGCGUGACUCACACCAACACUCCCUCUCAAGUUGGUGCAUACAAAUCGCAAAUGCCUAACUUGUCAAAUGAGUCACGAAAGGCCUUAACUGAGAGAGUCUUUGUAAGAAUAUCAGCUAACUGCUCCUCUGUACAGACAAAAGAGAAAUAAAUGACUUCUCCAUCUAAUUUCUCCUUAAUGAAGUGUUGUUCUACCUCCACAUGCUUAGUACGAUCAUGUUGAACAUGAUUGUGUGCAAUUUUAAUUGCAGCUUUAUUAUCACAAUACAAAGCCAUAGCCUUGCUCUGUUUAAACCCCAAAUCUCUCAGCAAAUGUCUCAACCACAACAUCUCACAAAGUUCUCGAGCCAUUCCUAUAUACUCUGUUUUAGCACUAGAAACGAGCCACCACUUACUCUGCCAAGUUACCAAGUUACCACAAACAAAUGUAAAAGAAAUAGAAGUAGACCGACGAUAUGUGAUGUUACCUGUCCAAUCUGCAUCUGUGUAUCUAGAAACAUCCAAGUGACUAUGCUUGGAAAAGAUCAAUCUUUUCCCUGGAGCAGACUUCAAAUACCGCAAUAUGCAAAACACAGCGUCCAUAUGAGUCUCACUGGAAUUAUGCAUGAAUUGACUGACAACACUAACCGCAUAGGCUAAGUCUGGUCUAAUGUGAGAUAAAUAAAUCAACCGACCAACUAACCUUUAAUAUCUUGCUUUAUUCGUAGGAACUUGAUCUAAAUACUCUGCUAACCGAUAGUUCUACUUAAUAGGAGUAUCAGCAGGUUUGCAGUCAAGCAUACUUGUUUCUGCUAACAAGUCUAGAACAUACUUUCGUUGACUCAAAACAAUGCAAUUUUUUUCACAAGCAACUUCAAUUCCCAAGAAGUACUUUAAACUACCCAAAUCAUUCAUCUCAAAUUCAGAAGACAACUAUACUUGUAAUCUCUGUAUCUCCUCACUAUCAUCACCUGUCAUAACCAUAUCAUCUACAUAAAUAAUUGAGGCUGUCACCUUACCACACCGAUGUUUAAGAAAUAAAGUAUGAUCUGAGUAGCUCUGACGGUAUCCAAUUCUUUUCAUAAACUUGCUAAACCGUCCAAACCAAGCUUUGGGAGAUUGCUUCAGACCAUAGAGAGAUUUCUUCAACUUACACACCAUCUGUUCUCUAGUAGAAGUACCGUACCCAGGAGGCAAAUCCAUAAACUUAUUCAUGCAAAUCACCAUGUAAGAACACAUUUUUAACAUCAAAUUGCUGCAGUUGCCAAUCAAGGUUAGCUGCUAACGAAAGAAGUACCCGAAUUAUGUUCAUUUUAGCCAUAGGCGCAAAAGUCUCAUCAUAAUCUAUCGCAUGCUUCUGAGUAUAACCUUUUGCUACUAACCUUGCCUUGUACCUAUCUACUGAACCAUUAGAAUUAUGUUUCACAAUAUACACCCACAGACAACCAACUGUCUUCUUCCCUAGUGGCAAUGACAUUAACUCCCACAUAUGAUUCUUCUCAAGAGCAUCCAUCUCAACUUUCAUUACUGCAUCCAUUUCUCAUCCCUCAUAGCAUCAUGCAUUUUACUAGGAAGAGACACAGAAGAUAAUUGAUUCAUAAAUGCUACAUAUGGUUUAGACAACCUAUGGGUAGACACAUAAUUAGCAACUAGAUAUUUACCCUUAGCACUUAGAGUAGGUUCAUAAUGUUUUGGAGGCUGACCACGAGUUGAACGACUAGGCAAGAUUUUGGUUUGAACAUUAUUUGACACAGAAGAACUAUUAGAAAAACAAGGAUUAGGACAUAUCUCGGGUGAUUAUUCAACAAGUGAAACCGAUGAAGAAGUGGGAGAGACAGAAGAGCUAUUUAAAAUACCGUCAGAAGACUGCAACACAUCAUUAGAUUCAGGAUCUGAAAUCACUUCCUUAACCGAUCGGUCGGAUUGUUCUGGAUCUAAUUGAUCGUUGGGUAAAGCACUGCCCAAAGAUUCUUCUCUAACCGGACAAUCAGAUUGAUCUGGUGUGUCACUAAUUCCACUGUUUUCUGUUUUUACCUCGGAUGACUGAUCUGUAGAGUUGGGCUGACCAUUUGGUGAAAUUUUGUCAUUCCUUUCAAGCUUUGUUGAUACACACUCCACCCCUUGUGACUUCUGGUGUCACACUCCCAUUCUAUCUAACAAACAAAUCUUCAUAAUAACUAAACCUCUCCUCCUGACGAGGAGUCACAAGAGGCAAGAAAUAACAUACAUCUUCAUUUAUAGUAACAUCUAUGGUGACAUAAAACCUCUGGGACUGAGGGUGAUAACAUUUGUAGCCUUUCUGAUGAGAGCCAUACCCAACAAAUACAUAAUUAAGAGCUCUAGCAUCUAAUUUUGACCUUCGAUUUUUAUAGAGACGAACAUAAGCAACACAACCAAAGACACGAGCAUGAAGAGUAUUAGCUGAAGGGAUAGAAACGUAGUUAGACAAGACCUGAAGUGGGACACGACCUUGAAGAGGGGCAGAGGGAAGGCGGUUAAUAAGAUGAGAAGCACAUAAAACAGCUUCUCCCCAAAGGUACUUCGGCAUAUUAGCACUUAGCAAAAGAGAUCGAGCGAAGCCAUAUCCAAAAGGUGACGAUUUUUCCGUUCAGACACCCUAUUUUGCUCAGGUGUCUGUGGACAUGAAGUUUGAUAGAUUAUGCCGUGGUGUUGGAAAUACUCACGAAAAAAAUGAUUGACAAACUCCCCCCUUGAUCGGAACGAAAGACCUUAAUAUGAGCAUCAUAUUGAGUACGAACAAGAUUAUGGAAUGUUGUAAAGGCAAAGAAAACAUAUGCUCUCGACUUAAGCAAAACUACCCAAGAUAAUUGAGUAAAGUCAUCAAUGAAUAACACAAAGUAACACAUUCCAGAAAGAGUAAAAUUUUUGGAAGGACCCCACACAUCAGAAUGGAUUAACUCAAACGGAGAACUACUAGAAUGAAAACUUGAAGGAUAGCUAGACCUAUGACUCUUAGCCAAAGCAUAAGUUUCACAAUGCAAACUAGACUCACUCACUAUGAAAACAACGAAGGCAUGGACUUUUUCAUUACCCCAAAAGAUGGAUGUCCCAGACUCCUGUGCCACAACCAUAACUCACUCAACCGAUCAGAACUCAAUGUCAGGGCCAAAGGUUGUUCUGGUGCUUGUGCUUGUCCUGCGUACAUGCAAUCUAAGUGAAACAGUCUCCCCCUCAGGUCUCUCUUGCCAAUGAUCACCCGAGUGCAUAGAUUCUGAAAAACAACAUAUAUUGGAUAAAAGGUCACAUAACACUUAUUUUGUGAACUCAACUGAGAUACUGAUAAUAGAGAUGAGACAAUGAGGGUACAUAAAGGACAUCAUGUAAAACAAUGGACGAUGUUACUUGGAUAGACCCAAUACCUAAGACCGGAAAAGAUGCACUAUUUGCGUUAGAGACAUGAGAAAUAGGAAGAUAAGACAUAGACAUAAAAGAAACAUUUAUCAUAGGUCAUAUGGUCUGACGCACCAAAAUCAAUAAUUCAUGUAUCUCCACCAGUAAAGUUAGCAACAUGUAAAACAACACCAUAUUUACCUCGAGUUUCCUUAGUCAAGGAAACAUUACCCGUUGAAGGAUCUUGGCCUUUAAUGCCACCAAAAUCAGGUUCUUGCACCAAUCGAAUUGCCGCUUUGUCGCUUAGACCAACACGACCUCCACGUCCUUCAAUGUUAUUGCUUCCUCUCCAACCAGAUUUGUUGGAAGUAACGUCAGAUUCUGAACCAUCGAUAAUCUUCAAGUCCACCAUCUUUCUUCUUCUACUCAAUUUUUUUUUUUUUUUCCAAGAAACCUACAACUUUGUAACAAACCCAAAGUACCUCCAAGAUGUGCAGACUAUCUCAAUAUUCAAGAAAGGACAAACUAAUGAUUAAGGAUGAAACUAAUUGCUUCGCAAGAAACCAACCAAGGCUAGCUAUUAGCAAAACCAACAAAAGGGACCAAUUGAUUUGUAGAAAUUACAAAUCAAUUUACAAAGGGACCAACAGAAGUACCAAAUCACCAACUUGACCAAAUGAACCACGCCAACCAAAUUAAAAGGACCAAAUCAACAAAAAAACUGAAUUUGCAGCAGAAAAAGCAAACCGAGUCCAAGAGGAUCUCAGCUCUGAUACAGUCACAAAAAACAUAAAUGAAUGAGAAUUUCUUGAUAAUUCAUUCAUCUCUAAGAAUAUGAUUAAUAUACAUGAUACAUAGUAACCUAUUAAGAAAGAUACAUAGUAACCUAUUAGGAAACUAAUAUUACUAAUAUAAUAUUUACAUUCCUAGCACCACAAGGAUGCGUGACUCACUCCAACAAGAAACAGCCGAGAACUAUUAAAUUAGUGGGCAUUAAUCAACAUCUAAAACCCAUUAGAGUACAAAACCCAGAUCGACUACAGUAGCCAAAACCAAGACAGAAAAUCAAGAAAACAUGGCAUGGAUAUAAAGUGAGUUGGGCUUUCAAACCUCGGCUUCUUCGGCCUCCAAGCAUGAUUGACGAAUUAGAAGAAGCAUCAACGAUCAUAGAGAAACACGCAUACUGUAUAAAAUAAAAUAAAUGGUUUUUCUGGUAACACUUCCACUUCAAACCGCGCCGGUGCAAAACUGCUAUUCUUUUGUAUGGGGAUUAGUGGGCCGGGUUUUGUUUAUCUUUGAUCUGGGCUUGUUUGAUAAUUGCUAUUGCGCUGUCCAAUAAAGCUCCCACCAAAUGUAACCAAACAACAACAAAAAUGUCCCCCCAAAUCUUUUUCAGGCUUUUGUAAUUAGGUUUUUUUAUUACUAUGAAGACAAUAUCCAAUUAUGUUUUUCAGGUUUUUGUAAUUUUCAGCCUAAUUGAUUUUAAUUAUCUAGUUACAUACUGUAUGUUUCAAAUAUAUUUCCUUUCAAAAAAUAAAAAUAACAAAUAUGUAGAAAAACUGCCUUAUUGUUUGAAUGUACUUCAUGAUAACGACUACAUUGUUUCCUUUGGAAUUAAUACCUCCCAACUUCUAAGAGAAAUCUUGAGUUGGCUAACCAGUGUGAAAUUAUAUACGCAUUUAAUAGUUUCUAAAACCAACAACUUGUAAGGUUGCACGUGCUAAAAAUCCGGUACAUUCCGUUUUCUUUCCAUUCCAGUCUUUCGCGACACUUCAGGUUUACUUCGACUCGACUGAAUGAGUAGCUUGUGUUUUGAUGUAGACGGAGGUUCUUGUGUUAUGAUUUAGUUAGGACUUUGUCUCCCUUUCGUUAUCUUCCGCUCCCCCACCAGAAAAUUACCAACCUCACAGUACAAAGAGCGUUUUCAGGGAAUCCAAAAAGACCAAAACAACGUUCGACUUGCAUGUGUUAAGCAUAUAGCUAGCGUUCCUUCUAAGCCAGGAUCAAACUCUUUUUUUAACUAUGAUUGGGCCCUGCAAUGGUAGAACCUGGUGAACCGAAGAGUCUUUCCACAUGAAAUAGGUGAUACUACUAAUGGUACGUUUGACGAAACUUAAUUGACAUUAUUGACUAUGGUCGAAAAUAGUAAAAGACAAAAAGAAAAAAAGAAGCAGAUCAAAGAGAACCUAAAAUUGGACACAAAUUGACAGGUUAGGGCGUUAGGCUUUGGUAUCCGCUGAGUUUGAUGCACCCUUCUGGUGCUCUUCUAACGUGGUUUCGAGCAGUGAUGGAACCAGGAUUUAUAAUCUGGGGGUUUUGAUACAUAAACUGCUAGUUUGAGAAUAAACUUGUGAUUUUUAUGUUAACACAAGAUAUUAUUAUUAUUUUCAAAAAGAUAAACAACUAUAUUAUAUAAUAUACAAAUUAUUAAGCUAAACAAGAUAUUAUAGACAUAUAUGUGAAGAAAAAAGUUAGUAUAUAAUAGACAAAUUAUUCGUCCAUACAUACUUUCAAAAAUAUUCCACCAAAGUUCAUUACUUAUUAUUAAGUUUGUUGUUUGUUGUUGUUGUUGUUGUUGUUUUUUUUUUUUUUUUUUAUAUGAACUCAAAGACAAUUUUGUCAUUUAGUACUAAAGUAGAGGGUACAAUACGAAUCAAUCCGUUGUUGCCAUGCGUACAGAGGACAAGCAAGAUCAUCUGAUUCGUAUGAGAGUUGUAUCCUCAUUACAAAUUUCGGCUCACAAGGAGCCUAUAAUCUAAUAGAAAUAGAUCAUAGGUAAAGUUUCUAACAAAACUAAAGCUAGCAAAAAUAAAGCUCUCCCAUGUGAAAAGCAUGGGCCAAGAGUAAUUGUUCUGCAAUAAAACAAAAACAAUAAAGCUGAAAUAGAAGGAAAGAAAAAGCAGAACUUCAAAAAACCUCAUUGCCCUUCACACUAGGGCUUGGGGGCGUUGCAGAUGGAGUCAGAGAAGGAGUCAAUCCUCUUGAUUAGCACUUCUUCUAGGUUUCUGGUUUUUAGAGCCAAUGAGACGUCCUCUUUUCUUCUUUUGAGCUUCAGUUGUCACCAGAGCCAUCUCAGUUGAAUCCGAUGUGAGGCUGAGAGUCUUGGCCGAGAGAGCAACCAAGAAGUCAGGCUGUUUCAUUCUCUUGGUAUGCACAUGAGCUUCAUGUGACUGCAACAAGUCUAUCAAUACCUUCAACUUCUUGGGGGAGGUCUCACGUGAUGAUGGUUGGCUCCGUUUGCGUCCCUCUCCAACAGUCAAGUCACCUUCAGGUUCAUGCUCCGGUGCAUUUUGGUCAGAAGAUAGAGUGAUCAGGAUCAUUCACAUGUAUAAUAGCUAGGGCAUCAUCUUCAGGUUCACACGUCGGCUUCUUGAGAACAAUAGGGCGCUUGUGCAUCAUCUCUUUCUUUUGAUCAAAGAUUGCAUUGAGGCAGCAAUUGGUGUAGAGGGCAAUCCUGAACCAUGGAAUUGAAGGCUCUAUGCAUCAGAGCUUUGGAUGCAAAGCUGAUCACAGGGGCAGGGUUUGGCAUGUCUGUAUGAGACAGACCUGCAGUGUUGUAACUAGCUCGGCAUUUUCCAUUCUCAUAGAACACCAAGUUACAAGCAUCACAAAUACUCAAACAAUUCUCAAAGUAAAAAUCAAUCUGUUCCACAUAAUUUGUUGCUAGCUUGAUGGUUUUGGAGGUAAGAAUAGGAUCAGAUAGUUUCUUCUCAACCCUAACCCUAACCUUUUUUUGAUCUAAUGAAUAGUUUGUCGUCAUAUUCAAUAUAACGACCAGCAACAGAAGUAAUACCAGGAAAAUUCUCAGGGAUCUCAUACUUAGGUAGAAUAUUUUGAAUACGUACCCAGAAGAAUAAGGAGUCCAUGGCGAGGCUCUUGAUUGAUUUGACGCCAUCAUAAAGUUGGAUCACAACUGGCACCUGCUGGUACCACCAGGGUCCUCCUCGAAGGACUUUGUCCCUAUCCUUGAUGAGAUCGAAGCUAAUGAUAAAGAUAUUGUUCGGACGUUCCUGGAUCUGAAAUUUCCGCUCCAGGAUCCACACCCUUCCACAGAACCGCUUGAGUUCCAACAAGCUUGGCUGCUAGGGGUUGAGUUCAACGGCUUUGCUAUCAAGAAGAACUGCGCAACACCUCUUUUAAGAGGCAGAGAUGCGGUGAGAGAGAUCCACAACCUUGGAAUUUGCCAAAACCAAGGACGCAACAAAGGCUUGGUGACAUCCUCGAUCGAUGCUGAUUGGAUCGAUGAUGAGGAAGCAAAAGACUUGCUCAAAUUCUGCAGAGAAGAAGUUGCAGAGGACGAGUGGUUUGGUGUUGGCGAUGGAGAUGAGGAGGGGAGGAUGAGUUCCGGGAGCUUGAAAGCCAUGGGAAGCAACAAGAUUGGUGAUGGAGAGGCUGUGAGGUUUGGAGAGGUAGGGUUAGGGUUUUGGGAGCACAGAGUCGCUCUUAGGGUUAGGGAGAUAGGUGUGCAAACUUUUAAGUUUGUUGUUGUUGUUUAGGUACUCAUUUGGAUAAAUCAAGAUUUCCUUCAUAGUAAUUAUGUCGUUAAAAAUAGGUUUCCUUCGUAGUAAGUAGACUAAGAAAUGUUUUGUAAUAUUAUCAUUUUGGCCCUUGUCUGAAAUGAUACCCUUGAAUUCUUUGCUAAUUCAUUGGUCCUUGUCCGAAAUGAUACCCUUGAUCUUUCACCCUUGAUUUUUGUUGAUUCUUUACUAUUUUGUUAUUGUAGUGUAUAGAAGAUGUAUUGUUCGUUAAGGUAGCGACGAACUAUUGUAGUGCCAAAGGCAGAACGGCGAUGGAAAUGUUGGUUAAAUCUAAAAAUUAAUCUAAUACCAGGCUUUAAUGAUUAAAUGGUUUUUAAUCAUUUUGUACCAGCAUAGUUUUUAGAUUAAUUUUUUAUAUAUAUAGUUUUAGAUUAAUCAAAUUUUUUAGAUUAAUCAAAUUCUUGAAUGUUUAACCAAGAGGUAGUUCCAUAAGCCAAAUUGGCUUAAUUAAUAUUGAUAUAUAGUUUCAUUUUCCAUAUAUAGCAGUGUACAAAACUAAAAACCAUUUUUCACCCAUUCAUGAGUCAUUUGCACACGACAUGAGGAGCAUCUCCAACAGUAUUGUUAAAUCAAACUUUUUUUUGAAAUUUAUCAACUUUUCGGAUGAAUAUGAGCUCCAACAGUAUACCUAAAUGAUUGAUAAAUUUAAGAAUUGCUAAAUUUAAGGACUGCUAAACGAAAUUGAUAAAUUUGUCAAUUGAGCCAUGAAUUGGUAAAAGAAUACAUAUAUUUUCCGUCUUUUUUUCUCCACGUGUUAGUUUAUAAUUCGUUAAAAAUAUUAUUUAACUUACAUAUAACAAUAACUGCUGGAACCAAAUUCUUAUAUAAUAACUAAAUCUCAUAAUUAUUGCUAAAUUUAACUAUUAUUUUAGUUACACGAGAUGCUGCUGUUAAUCCCUUAAGAGCUGGUUUUCAAAUGGUUCGGGUCUUCAAUUGGUUCCGCCGCUGGUUUGGACUUUUGAGUCCAUGACCUAUUUUCUCUAACUGAUUACAAGAAUAAAAAGAAAAAAAAAGUAUUACAACGGUAAAAUCAAAUCCAAUUUAUUAAACGUCUGACGUCCACGCGUAUGAAUGCUCACCCACAGUAGUACAAAGCUUCCCUCCCAUUUUCUUCUCAAAAAAAUAAAAAAUAAAAAAGCUUCCCUCGCAUUAAGUGUCCGUUUUCUGUCGGAAGAGUGAAGACAAAAUAGAGAGAGAGAGAGAGAAGAGAGAGAAAAAGAAACACAUCGGCGACGAAGAACCUCUGAAAGUUAGGGUGUCUUAGUUCAUCAAAGCGACGCCGUUUCACCACGCCGCAAAUGUGUUCCAUUCUCCGCCGUCGAAUCCUGAGCUCCGUUUAGGGAUUUUGGACGGAUCUGGGGCUAUGUACUCUCUUCGAAUUUAAUGUUUCAAUCUUUUUUUUUCCGAAGUGGGAUUUCAAAAUCGUGAUGAUUUUGCUGGAAACCAACAUGAAAACGACCUUAAGCCAGGCUCGUACUGACCUGAAGAUUAAGGACGGUGAGGCACACAGUUAUCGUUGACUGACACAAUUUAAUCCGUGCUUUCAUUUGAGACGAAAAUGGCUGAAGGCAUUACUCCCUUCCCUGUAACUCUGCAAAUAUACCUUAAAAUGGAAAACUGCUCUUGUCUAUUGUUUCAAAUUAAGCUUUGGCAUAUGUGAGGUUUUCCUUCACAAAACUUAUAUAUGGUGUCUAUUGUUGCAAAUUAAGUUGAUUUCUGAAAUGAUCUUUCUUCAAAACGCUUUUGUUGCCCAAUCAACACACUGUCCACUUCAAUAUAAACCAUAUUCUAAACAUUUAUAGUUAGUGAAGGACCCAAAGUUAUCAAGACGACCUAAUUUAAUUUGUGCUCUGAAUUACUAGUUGUUAUUUUGUUGUAAUCAAGUUCGUGCUUCUCACAUCAUCACAUGCAACAACUUAAUUAACUGGUUUACUCUGAAACCGCAUGUCUUAGUUGCCAAUUGGGUUAUAAUAAUUAUUUGUUAUGUGAAUGUUAAGUUAAUUUGAGAAGUGUUUCUUUGAAUGAGAUGAAAUUGUGGCAGGUCUAGUUUAAUAAUCACAUGUAAGCUGCUCAAUGCAAAAUUCCAUAUAAGAGAAAAAAAUAGGAGGCCGGGACUAGAUGAAAUACUGCAGAUCUUUUGGCUUGUGGAUUUUUGCUACAGGCUAUGCUGCAAGUAAAGGACAUACACGAAGAGGGAAGACAUCGAUCCGAACGAUUUCUAUGCCAAAGCUGUAUUCAAAUUCUUUUACCAUUUCAAUGUUAAACGACCAUAGCCUUAAGCUACUGCAUAUCUUCCCAUUUGACUAGUUAUUAGGCUCUGGUCUCCACUGAGUUUGAUGCACCCAGCUGCCUUCUGGUGCUCUUCUGUCCAUGACCUAUUUUCUCUAACUCAUUACAAAGAAUAAAAAAGAAGAAGAUGUAUAUUAUUACAACGGUAAAAUCAAAUCCAGUGGUCACCCCCACUACCACUAUUAGUACAAGGCUUCCCUCCUAUUUCGUGUGUCUCCGUUUUCUGUCAGAGUGAAGACAAAAUAGCGAGAGAGAAGAGAGAGAGAGAGAGGCGACGAAGAAGUCUCUAGAAAGUUGGGUUCUAUUCAUCAAAGCGACGCCGUUUCAUCACUCCGCAAACGCGAUCCCCAAGCCGAUUAGCGAUUUCAGAUGGUACUGGUUCGUCUCAGCUCUACUCUCUUCAAAUUUUUGUCCAUUUUUUUUUCUUUGGAGGUGGAUUUCUCAACCGUAAUGAUUUUGCAGGAGGAGCUCUUCAACUCGGAUCAGACGAAGCGUGUCGCCGGCGAGCUAGACCGAGCGACCGCGUCGAACCUCAACUCGGCUCCGAUAUGCACCUAUUUUGCUUACAACGGCCAAGACGCCGCCGCUUCGUGUUCCGACGUAAACGCGGCGAGUGCGUCGAACCGGUUCGACAGCGAGGCCAAGGCGAGUCUGAUCAGAGCGUUGUCUCGGGACAGCAAGGCCGAGCUCGCGGCACAGACGAAACGGCUCUUCGGCGAGCUGGACCGAGCCACGGCGUCCAAGCUCCUCCACUUAUGCUGCAACUUCGACUAGGCGGAGUGCGCCUCCGCCAUUCUCGGCUGCGAUCUCGGGGAGGUUCCGCUGCUGAACGAGUGUGACGACUCCGGGAAAUCGCCGCUGCACACGGCGGCGACGGCGCACGCGUCACGGUGCGUGGAGGUUUUGCUUAAGAAGCACGCUCGGACUGAUUUGAGGACCGAGGACGGUCAGGCACAGCUAGCUCUGGAGCUGUCGCUUGCUGACACAAGGUAAGGCCUUGAUACGCAAAUGGCUAAAGCCAUUAAUCCUUCCCUGUAAGCUCUGCAAAUAAACCCUAAAAUGGCAAAUCUGCUUUUUCGUUUCAGGUCCUCUUUUUUAUUAUUUUAUUGAAGCUUUUGUUUGUCUCGGUUUUUCAUCAAAAUAUAUUUACUAUUUUUCAUUUAAUUUUAUUUACCUUUCAGGAUUGAUCUCAAGACUUGGAAUCCGAAAGAUUUCCGCGUUGACGACUUGGUCAUUCGCUUGACUGAAAAGGUAAAAAUCUUAUACUAGUAAAAAGCAAAAGAUUUAUUUUUUACCCUGACACAGCACAGAACGACGUGUCGCUUAUUGAGUUUCCUUUGUUGAUUUUGUGAAGCACACUCUCUCCGAAUGCCUCGUAAGGGAGGCUCUGGCCCUCGGCGGCCGUGCAACGCCGCCGCUGAGGGCGGCAAAACGCGCCUCCACGGCGACGGAGGAAGAAAACUCGGAGAGGAGGAAGCUGUUUCUGAGGGAGAUAGAGCUGCUUCAGCUGUUCGGAGCUGUUGCUCAGAGCGGUGGUGGGGAGAAGAAAGUGACUUCCACACUCAUCCGUGCAGCUCAGGUGAGCCUCCGUCGUUCUGAUUAGUUCUCAGUAAUUUUCAGAGGGCAAUUUUCUUACUGUUUGAAAAAGACGCAAAAUUUGAAGAGAGGGAAACGAUAAUUUGAUCAUGAUUUCUGUAUGUCUUGUGUUAAAAAUCUCAUCUGUGCAUUGUUUGCUGAUUAGGAUGAUCCAAUUGAAUUAUAGGCAUUGCAACUGGCCACUAGAGAGUAUUGUUCUCUUUCUCUUUUGUGUUUGGGAUAAUGUGUUGGGUGGGCCUUGGGUGUUUUCUUCAUUCCCUUUGUUGUUUUCUUGCUUUCAUUGAAUAUUUGGGUGUAUGCACUUCCCCAUUCCAUAAUGUCUCCCAAAUGGAAACAAUCUACUACUCUGUUAGAACUUAAGGUAGACUCAGAAUAUGUAGCGGAAGCAAAUCAAAAUAUAUUGAAUCACAUUGCCUCAUAAAUCAUAAUGAUCACUGAUAAAUAGCUCUUCAUCUUCGAAGUAUUGUGCCUCAGCAUACAUUGUAGGUAAUCCAUACUGGUAGCUUCUGAAUGCAAUCUAGCUGGAAGAAAAUAUGCAUGGUAGUUGCAUGGGAACAAAUUUGCAAUUGUAGAGCUCUGCUUUUUAAAUUUAGAGUGAUCGAUUAUCAUAUACAGUACUUUCAUAUCAUGAUAUGUGACUAUAAUUUGAUAAAUUUUUGAUAGGGAGGAGAUGAAGCUGUUAUCCAGCUGCUUCUGAAGACAAAUUUAGAUGUCAAUGACGCUGAUGCAGAAGGAAAUACUGCUCUUCAUUGGAUCCUUAAACAGCCCAGAUUGUUGUGUCCUCAACAGAUCAAGUCUCUCUCUCUCUCUCUCUCUCACACACACACACAACACACACACACACACACACACACANNNNNNNNNNNNNNNNNNNNUUUGUCCAUUUUUUUUUCUUUGGAGGUGGAUUUCUCAACCGUAAUGAUUUUGCAGGAGGAGCUCUUCAACUCGGAUCAGACGAAGCGUGUCGCCGGCGAGCUAGACCGAGCGACCGCGUCGAACCUCAACUCGGCUCUGAUAUGCACCUAUUUUGCUUACAACGGCCAAGACGCCGCCGCUUCGUGUUCCGACGUAAACGCGGCGAGUGCGUCGAACCGGUUCGACAGCGAGGCCAAGGCGAGUCUGAUCAGAGCGUUGUCUCGGGACAGGAAGGCCGAGCUCGCGGCACAGACGAAACGGCUCUUCGGCGAGCUGGACCGAGCCACGGCGUCCAAGCUCCUCCACUUAUGCUGCAACUUCGAUUCGGCGGAGUGCGCCUCCGCCAUUCUCGACGGUGAUAUCGGGGCGGUUCCGCUGCUGAACGAGUGUGACGAGUCCGGGAAAUCGCCGCUGCACACGGCGGCGACGGCGCACGCGUCACGGUGCGUGGAGGUUUUGCUUAAGAAGCACGCUCGGACUGAUUUGAGGACCAAGGACGGUCAGGCACAGCUAGCUCUGGAGCUUUCGCUUGCUGACACAAGGUAAGGCCUUGAUACGCAAAUGGCUAAAGCCAUUAAUCCUUCCCUGUAAGCUCUGCAAAUAAACCCUAAAAUGGCAAAUCUGCUUUUUCGUUUCAUGUCCUCUUUUUUAUUAUUUUAUUGAAGCUUUUGCUUCCUUUUUUUUUAAUUUUUUUAUUCAAGCUUUCGUUGUCAUCAUCAAAAUAAUUAUUUUUUAUUUAAUUUUAUUUACCUUUCAGGAUUGAUCUGAAGACUUGGAAUCCGAAAGAUUUCUCCGUUGACAACUUGGUCAUUCGCUCGACUGAAAAGGUAAAAAUCUUAUACUAGUAAAAAGCAGAAGAUUUAUUUUUUACCUAGACACAGAACGACGUGUCGCUUAUUGAUUCUCUUUUGUUGAUUUUGUAAUAGCAAUCUCAGCAAUUACGCACGGUCAAACUUUUAAGUGAAAAAACGCCAGACAUUGCUGAGGUGGCAUAUUCAUUGGCUACGAAAGGUCGCGUUGAUUCUCUCACCGCUCUUCUCAUCGUCGCCGCCCAGAAGGUUAACGAUUCCGUCUUGAAGUGGCCCAAAGCGCGGCGGUUUAAGGAGAAGCACACUCUCUACGAAUGCCUCGUAAGGGAGGCUCUGGCCCUCGGCGGCCGUGCAACGCCGCCGCUGAGGACGGCGAAACGCGCCUCCACGGCGACGGAGGAAGAAAACUCGGAGAGGAGGAAGCUGUUGCUGAGGGAGAUAGAGCUGCUUCAGCUGUUCGGAGCUGUUGCUCAGAGCGGUGGUGGGGAGAAGAAAGUGACUUCGCCACUCAUCCGUGCAGCUCAGGUGAGCCUCCGUCGUUCUGUUAAAUUCUUAGUAAUUUUCAGAGGGGAAUUUUCUUAGUGUUAGAAAAAGACGAAACAUUUGAUCAUAAUCUCCAUGUGUCUUGUGUUAAAUUCUCAUCUUUGCAUUGUUUGCUGAUUAGGAUGAUCCAAUUGAAUUAUAGGCAUUGCAACUGGCCACAAGAGUAUUUGUUCUCUUUCUCUUUUGUUUUUGGGAUUAUGUGGUGGGUGGGCCUUGGGUGUUUUCUUCAUUCCCUUUGUUGUUUUCUUGCUUUCAUUGAAUAUUUGGUUGUAUGCACUUCCCCAUUCCAUAAUGUCUCUGGAACGGAAACAUUUUUCUACUCUGUUAGAACUUUAAGAUUACAUUACUAUGCAAAAUAAAGGUAGACUCAGAAUAUGUAGCAGAAGCAAAUCGAAAUAUAUUGAAUCACAUUGCCUCGUAAAUCAUAAUGAUCGCUGACAAAAAGCUCUUCAUCUUUGAAGUAUUGUGCCUCAGCAUGCAUUGUAGGUAAUCCAUAUUGGUAGCUUCUGAAUGCAAUCUGGCUGUUAGAAAAUAUGCAUAGUAGUUGCAUGGGAACAAAUUUGCUAUUGUAGAGCUCUGCUUUUAAAAGUUAGAGUGAUCAGUUAUCAUAUACAGUACUUUCAUAUCAUGAUAUGUGACUAUAGUUUGAUAAAUUUUUGAUAGGGAGGAGAUGAAGCUGUUAUUCAGCUGCUUCUGCGGACAAACAUUGAUGUUAAUGACGCUGAUGCAAAAGGAAAUACUGCUCUUCAUUGGAUCCUUAAAACGUCUAGAUUGUUGUGUCCUCAACAGAUCAAGUACGUCUCUCUCUCUCUCUCUCUCUCUCUCUCUCUCUCUCUCUCUCUCUCACACACACACACACACAUGCAUAGGGUCUAAUUACCUUACUAACUUUCUGUUCUUUCAUUCCCAGAAUUUUAUCGCUUCUUCUUGAUCAUGGUGCUCGAGUAAGCCAAAGGAAUAGAUUGGGGUUAACAGCAUUUCAUAUUGCUGCUGGUAAUGGCAAUUCAGAGGCACUUGAGGUAUCAUAUGUUUCCUAUUCUACAUAUCCAGUUUUCUUAACAAAUCAUCUUGCUUGGCAACCAGAAAUACAUUGGUUAACAGCACCCUAUAUGAAAUUCAGUAGCAGUGACUUUGAGCCAUUGACAGGUCCUUCUGUUGGAAGAUCCGUUUGGCGUCCAAUAUAAGACGGAAAUGAAAGAAACCCCCUUGUUUUUUGCUGUGAAGAAUAAGAGUGAGGACUGUACUAAGCUUCUUUUGACAUGGGGAGCAGAUUAUGAAGUCCUUAAUAAACGGUGAGGAAGAAUGAAAAACUUGUCCUCUAAUUCCAUUGUGUAUGUCUUCAGUAUUGUUCUUCAGAACCUUGGCUAACAUUUAUUUUGUACAUGAAUUUCUGGAAUUACUUUUCAAAUACCAGCAACCAAAGAGCUAUAGACCUGGCAAUGUCUCAAGAAAUGCGUCACAUAUUGCUGAAUGCAAUCACUGUUAGCCUGAGUAAGUUCAUUAUUAAAAAACGUGGAGUAAUAUAUCAAGCAACUGUACCCAUCUUUUGUAUAUUAGAUUUAACUUCCCUAAUUUCUCAUGUUCAGUUGAUGAUGACUUUCCCUACCAACUUAAAUGUACGGCUCUGGAGUUGGCAGAUGAAGAGACCACUACCAAAAGGUGACCCUUGUUACAUCAUCAAAGUUGUUAUGUGUUUCGAAGAAAAAGAAAACAUUUUGUCUGAUAUGCUUGUGUGUCAGUAGGCAUACGUAUGUGUUUUUAUAUCUUGCUUUGUUCAUAUAUGGUUCUCAACCUGUUACCCCUGUGAAUGCUAGAAAUGUCUAUACCAAGGCUGAGGCAGAGGUUUGUAAGUGCAUCAACUCUCAUCAAGAUGGUGUCAGAGGAGCAAAGUGCUUUUAUGCACAAAGUUCUUGGGCUGAUAGAUUAGCCUCCUCUGGGUAUCCUGUAAGGAACAUCACUGAUUCUUGCAAGGUAUUAUAAGUGACUAAAUAAUUUUUGUUGGUAUAUAUGCUCAUAUAGGAUUUAUAUUGUAUUGUUCCAUCUUAAAUGCAAUUUACAGGUUAAAGGCACAACAAACAUUUCAUGGCUUUCACCAGAGUUUGCAGUCAUUGCCAUUGAUUCUCGUGGUACUCACAAUGGGAAAUUAGGUAAAUUUGGUUGUUACUUCUUAUUUGAAGAGAAAUUAUCACAAUUACUACUGUUCCUUCUCAUUUACUAAUGUUCCUUACAUUUUGUAAAAUUUUAGUUGAAGAUGAAUACCAGAAAUUUGAUAAAAUCACCCCCCAUAUACUUGCGACGAAGGUUGGUGACUCUACUCAGGCUGACAAUACAAUUCUGCACAUGAUAAAUACGAUUGGUGAUGAGAUCAGGGAUGGUACAGAUGUGAAGUGUGUGUGGAAUGCGGGCCAAGCCGGACUGUCAAUGGAGAAGGAUCCUAACGCGCCUAGUUCUGAAUCAUUAAUUGCUGGUGUACAAUCAAAGGUAGUCCUAUUGUAUUACAUUUUUUGUAUGUUUGUUAGUUAAUUUUAAUACUCUUUUAACUUGAAGUUUUUUUCAUGUAGGCUACAUAUUGUUGUUAUCUGUAUGAUAUUUACGAGGAGGGUAAGGAUCGUUUACGUGUCUUAAAAGAGGUUCCAAACUGGAAGGCAAUUGGCAGUGGCAGUGCGUUUGCUACAACAGUCAUGGGUCCAAUGUGGAAAAAGUAUAAAAAUGGUGCAGCUCCAUUGUUAAGAAUAGUUCGGAUUCUGAACUACUCCAUCUUGCUAUCCGCUUUGUUUAGUGUGGAAACCGGAGGAAUAAUGACUGGUAUUUCUCACUCUUAUUGAAUAGUCAAUUUUUUCCCCCUUUUUUCCAGCAUCCCUUUUAUCAUACGUCACUUCAGCUUAUACUUAUCAUAUCUAUAUGCUCUCUCAAGUAAUAUGCAAAUAUUAACAUUCUACUGAAUUUUUAAUUUUUUUUCCCAAUAACCAUUUCAUCAUGUCACUCUAGGUAUCUAUACAUGGCAUGGCAUAUAUACAUCCUCCGUGAAAUAUUAUGGAAAGAAAAACAUGCAAAUAUGAAUACAACAGAAGAGGCUACCUCUGUCAAACCAUGCAUGCAUAUUCCAUAUGUGGAAAUAGUGUUAAAAGUGAAGAUUUGAAUUGAUUUUUUUCAUGGACCGAUUGUUCCAUCUUCCAUGUCUUGUUUUUCAAGUUACACUUUUUUCCUAUGGAUGAUUUUGUAUUAUGUUUGUUGCAUCUUUUAGUUGAAAUUGAAUUAAUAUUGUUAAUUGUGUUCUCUACAGUUAUAUGCAUUAGGGCUGAUGGUACUAUGAGCAUAGAAUCAAGCAACACGGUGCUCCAGUUAUAUAUCUGUUUCUAUAAGACCCAAAUUCGGUUACCUCAUAUUGAAGACGGUGAAUUGAGUGAAGAUGCGCCGAAAUAUAUGGAGCUGGCUAAGUUAGAAGAAUUGGAAGGAAGAGCUAUAUUUCUGUUCUAUGAUCCUCAUCUUAUUAACAUGGAUUUUAUGAAGGAAUGGUUGAUGUACGUAUUUCCUCUGAUUUCGUAAUUAAUUACGUAUAUGUUAGAUAAAUGUCACCGACUCUUUUCAAUUUUGUAGGACACAAAAUGGUAUUGAUGAAGAUGAUUUUGGACACCCACUGACGGAGUUGAAGGGAGGGAAGUAUAUGCAUAGAGUUGUUUUCGAAACAACCGAAGAUUGUUCAUCUUUUUUGAAAAAAGCGAGACAGAUUACCCGGAAGACGCCAAUUCCAUUUUCAAGAAUGCGAGAGGGCUUCAAGCGUCUUAAGCAUAAAGGCCAUAUAUUUUUGAUAGCAGAACACACUUUGGAGAUGUUAAAAUCUCUUGAAAGUUCAGAGGCCAUGAAGAAGAGUUUUGAAUAUGUUCUUGAGUAAAGAAAUUUAGAUUGUUGUAUUCUUAAUUUCUUAUAAUCUACAUUGACACCAUAUUUAGCUACAUUAUUUGGGAUUUGGUGCUGUGUUUACUGGAUUGACAUUGACACCAUAUUUUGCUACAUUAUUUGGGAUUUGGUGCUUUGUUUACUGGAUUGUUGAAUUUGUGGUGACAUUUGAUAUGCUGGGUAAAUCACCCUGCGCUGAGGGUAAUAGGUACAACUUGCAUAAACAUGUUUCUGUUUCAUGUCUACACUAAGGAUGCAUAACUUGACUGGAACCGGAGGAGUCACUUUGAUGAGUAAGUUGAAUCCUAACAAAAGAAUUUAUAUAAAAAUAAGAAACUUCAUCAAAACCAGCUGACUUGAAUACUUCAUUGUAUAAAGGAAGAAAGUUGAUGUUGCUGAUAAGGUUCCCAAUAACAUCAAACAUUCUUGUACUUAUCAGCUGAAGUUGUGUACAUGUUCAUUCUACCAAAAAAAAAAAAAAAAAAAAAAAAAAAAAAAAAAAANN